rnacentral:lncRNA from 1 species
CAUCACCAAGGCAAUGAUGUUUGCCCAUACCUGGCACUACCAAGAUUGAGAACCUCAAUCAGAAUAUAGGAGCUUUGUCUGUAAAACUGUCGCAGAAGAUAUGGCGGAACUUGAAUCUAUUGCUUCUGCAGGAGUCAAGGGUGAGAGAUACGGACCUGAAAUCAGCAAUGGCAAAAUUCUGAAACUCCACCCAUUGUCAACCUGGAAGAGGACAUGAAGACAUAGCUUUGUUGUGGCAAUAAUUCCUUCUAGCUAUUUGCCUGAUGGUGGAUUUCACUAUAUUAAGAGUUGAGUGAUAUGUAUUUGUCCCUAUAAAUUUCGUCAUACUAUUGUCUCCAGGGUUAAGGCAAGUAAAGUUAUAAGAAGAAUGGAGUUUUCUUCAGAAAGGUUGUAAUGAAUAAAGAUCUGGUCAUGUAAAAGCAGAACAUAAUUUUCCUUGCAGUUGAAUGCAUUAAAGGUUAUGUAUUGUACUUUUGAAUGCUAAAGUGGUCCAUUUUUUAUGUGUUACUGCUACGAGAGUUAUAGAUUGUUGGACAUCAUUUUUUGGUUGGAAUGUUUACAUCAAACGUCUCCAAGGACAUGUCAUUCUAAAGUUUAAACUACAUCAUACCACAAAAUGCAGAAAAAGGUCUAAAGUAUGGGAUGUUUGUAAAUUUUCACGGGAGGCUUUGUUGGGUAAAUUGUAAAGGACUAGCAAAUAUUGUAACAAGAAUUGGCUUCAAAUCGUGAUAGAAAUCACUUUCCUUUAGGCUUUAUUUGUCCGGUAUAAAGUGCAAUAACCUUAGACAAAUAUCCUUUAAGAUAAGAUGAAGUUUUGUUUGUCUUAAACUCUUGCACAAAGCAAGACAAACCCUUUGUGAACUAAGGAGUGCUUUUGAGAGAGUAAGGAUAGUAGGAAAGUGAUUUUCUGCAGCAAACUACUCUCUACUUGACCUCUUUAUAUAGGAAGAUUGUUUGGGAAACAAAAGAUCUCAUUAAACACUUGUAUGAAUAGAUUCAAAGUAUUGUGUACACAUUCAUGCACUUUAAUUCAUGCAUCUCAUGAUCAUUUAGAUCAAAACAUGAAUCUAUCCUUUCAUUCAAUAAUUCUCAUAUACAUGAAUACAUUCAUAAAUGAAUGUACUUUUAGAACAUUCACAAUACUAUACAUGUACCAAAAAUUAAUGAAUACAUUAAUUACAUGUAUGUACAUCAUACAAAUUUUGAAAAGUUUCCAACAAUCCCCGCCAUUUUCAAAAUUUAGAAAAUGGAUUUCUAAAAGGUCACCAAGUAAUCUGACACUCAUAUGCAUAAAUAAUGGUGUCUUUCGAUUGAACCACUAUCUUAGUGAAGGUUCUUUGAAAUCAAUCCUUCAAGAUGGUAGACAAGCUUUGAACCACUUGGACAUUGGACCAACCUCAUAAACACAUCACACACUGAGCAAUGCACAACCAUAAGUUCUUCAACGAUACAUUUUACGGCCUUGUAUCACUAUCCUUUCUGAAUGUUUACAAAGUAAAGUCCUUAAUUUGUGGUUUGCCGAAAAAAACAUUCAUAUAGGCGACAUCUUAGUGCCCCGCCAUAGAUAGCACUUUUAAGAUUCGUUAAGAGUCCAAUGACUCAUCCUUACAUUUGCACUGGCGAGAAUAACAUGCACUAUUCAACAUUGGGAUGUCUAAACUUCACAUAGUGCACCAACCACUAGAAUGGUGUACUUUCACUCAUUGAAUUCAAGACUAGACGUUGUAUCUAGCGUUGAAUUGAGGUUCCACCAUUAGUGAUCAAAAUUUUGGACUUUAAACCAUCCCCUUGAUGUCUUUGACACCAAAUUUCUUGAUAAUCCUUUUGUCAAAGGAUCACUUAAAUUUUCAUUUGAUCUCACAAAGUCAAUUGAUAUGACUCCAUUUGUAAUCAAAUCUUUGACAUAACUAUGUCUCAAACCGAUAUGUCUUGAUUUACCAUUAUACACUUGACUAUAUGCUUUAGCAAGUGUAGCUGCACUAUCACAAUGGAUUGAGAUAGGCGACAAAGGUGUUGGCCACAAUGGUAUAUCAUAAAGUAAAUUACGUAGCCAUUCAGCUUCUUUACAGGCCGAAGCAAGUGCUACAAACUCUGCUGCCAUUGUUGAAUCGGUGAUACAAGUCUGUUUCUUAGAACCCCAAGAAAUUGCACCUCCACCAAGCAUAAAGAUCCAACCACUUGUCGACGAGUGAUCAUCUUUAUUGGUGAUCCAACUAGCAUCUGAAAAUCCUUCUAAAACUGAAGGAUAACCGGUAUAACAUAUACCAUAGUCUUAGUGGCCUUUAAAUACUUUAAAAUUUUGGUUACACCUUGCCAAUGUAACCUACUAGGGUUGCUUGUAUAUCUGCUCAAUAUACCAACUGCAUAUGCAAUAUCAGGUUAGUACAAGUCAUUGCAUACAUUAAAUACCCUAUAACCUUGGCAUAUUCCAUUUGAGAUUUUGAUCCCCCUCAUUUUUCACAAAAUUUAUUUUGAAUCCAAUGGUGUUGAGGCUGGAAUACAAUCACUUUGAUUGAAUUUGUUAAGAAUCUUUUCAAUAUAAUGUGUUUGAGACAACAUUAUAUUGUUAUCAUGUUUGAAGAUUCUCAUACCAAGAAUGACAUCUGCCUCACCCAUGUUUUCAUGUCAAAUUUGCUUGAAAGCAAAGUUUUUGUGACUUCAACUUGUUCCAAGUCAGUCCCAAAAAUCAACAUGUCAUCAACAUAUAAACAAAUUAUGACACCUUUGCCAUAUCAAACUUGCUAUAAAUACAUUUAUCAGAUUCAUUUAUUUUGAACCACUAGCAAGAAUAACUUGGUCAAAUUUCUGAUGCCAUUGCUUCGGUACUUGUUUUAGUCCAUAUAAAACUUUACAAGUUUACACACCUUAUGCUCUUGACCAGUAUCACAAACCCUUCGGGUUGCUCCAUAUAUAUUCUUCAUCCAAAUCACCAUUCAAGAAUGCUGUUUUAACAUCCAUUUGGUGAAUGACUAGAUUUUGGAUAGAAGCUAUAGCAAGUAGCACUCUAAUUGUAGCAAUUCUAGCUACUGGUGAAUAUGUGUCAAAAUAGUCCACACCAUACUUUUGUGUAACCUUUGGCAACCAACCUGGCCUUGAACUUAUCAAUAGUUCCGUCGAUCUUCAUUUUCUUCUUAAGAUCCACUUACAACCAAUUGGUUUUGAACCAGGUGGUAAGUCUACUAAUUUCAGGUUUUAUUACCCAUGAUUGAGUCCAUCUCAUCAUUAAUAGCUUCCUUCCAAAAGGGAGCAUCUUGUGAGUUCAUUGCUUCUUCAUAGGUCUUGGGAUCAGCUCAAUAUUGAAGCAAUAUGAGAUUUGGUUGCUCACUGUAUCUCUAGUUCUUCAACUAGAUACAUAUAAAAGUCCGAACCGAAGUCUUUUGAUUUCUAGCUCUUUUGCUCCUUCUCAAUUCAAUGGUUUCAUUUUCACCAUCUUUUGUCAAUUCACUUGAUUUUGGAAUAACAUCUUUUAUAGAGGUGAACCUAUUCUCUUCAAAAAUAGCAUCUCUAGACUCAAUUAUGGUAUUAACCGAAAUUGAAUCAUUAGGUUCAAUUACCAUGAACCUAUAUGCUUUGCUAUUUUGUGCAUAUCUAAAAUAUACACUCCACACCUCUUUCUCCCAAUUUCCUUUUUUGAGGUUCUGGGAGUUUUACAAUAGCUCUACAACCCCAAACUUUCAAAUAGUUUAGGUUGGACUUCCUUUUAUUCCAAAAUUCAUAAGGGGUUAUAGAACUUCUUUUAUUAGAACUCUAUUUAGGAUAUGACAAGCCGUUAACAAGGCUUCACCCAAAAUCCUUGACUUAAACCAGAUUUUGACAAAAGUGCAUUAACCAUUUCUGUCAAUACACGAUUUUUCCUUUCGGCUACACCAUUUUUUGUGGUGUGUAAGGAGCAGUCACCUCAUGUUUUAUCCCAACAGACUCAAAAUAGGUAAUAUCAUAAUAUUCCCCACCUCUAUCUGUUCUUAGACAUUUGAUAAAGGAUUCACAAUGAAGUUCAACUUCUGAUUUGUAUGCCUUAAAUUUUUGCAAAGUUCACUUUUGAGUGUAACAAGAAAACAUGACAGUAUCUACUAUAAUCAUCAAUAAAAGUCACAAAGUACUUUUUACCACCCAAAAUAGGAGUACCAUGCAAAUCACGUACAUCACUAUGAAUCAAAUCAAGAUUUUAGAUGAUCUUUCAACUUUAGAAACGAAUUUCUUGUGAUUUUCGUUAGCAUGCAUGUUUUGUAUUUUCCUUCAAUUUUACAAUAUGGCAGCAAAUCAAGUCUCAUCAUUUCAUGCAUUCUUUUGUAAUUAACAUGACCAAUCCUAUUAUGCCACAAUUUAAAAGAAGACUCAACCAAACGCAGAAAUAAUAUCACUCUUAUUAUUUCUAAUAGCAGUACAUUCAACUUAAACAUCCCAUGCAAAGAUAACCCUUGCCUACAAACAUACCACCUUUAGACAAAAUAAAUUUGUCAGACUCAAAUAUAAGUCUAAAGCCAAAUUUAUUUAACAGCUCAGCCGACACCAAGUUCUUCCUAACUUCCGGUACAUAAAACACAUUUGUCAAGGUUACAACAUUUUCGAAGUAAAUUUUAAUUCUAUUUCUCCAAUGUCUUGAACCGGAAUUGUAGCAGAAUUUUUCAUGUAAACAACGGUGCUUUCAUCCACCGGUUUCAUGGACUUGAAGAACGUUCUAUUGUUGCACACGUGUCGCGUAGCUCCAGAAUCAACCCACCAAGCAAAAUUAUCUUCAAUCAUAUUGAUUUCAGAUAUCAUUGCUACAAGAUUUUGCUUGUGGUUUGGGAAGACUCUUGCUUCUUCUUCUUGUUUUGAAGAAUCUUGCAAUCGGACUUGUAGUGUCCCUCUUUCUUGCAAUAGAAGUAUUGUCCCUUCUUUCUUUUCUUGGAUUGAUUCUUGGGUUGUUGGCCCUUCUUACUUCCUUGAGACUUUUCAGUUUGCCUCUCUUCAAUCACAUGCACUUUUGAAGUAGAAUCUUUGUUCUCUUCAAGGAUUUGACUAUCCUUCUUUUCUUGCAUGCGAAUUUCCUCUUCUACUCGAAGAGAUUUAGCAAAAUCUCAAGAGAGAUAUCAUCUUUUUUGUUUGAGGUCUCUUUUGAAAUCUUUCCAAGAAAGUGGUAACUUAUCUAUUAUAGAGCAAACAAUAAUGGCUUCAUCAUGUGUAGAUUGUGUUGUGUGAGUGAUUAAGAAGCCUUUCAAUCUCACUAAAUUGCUCCAAAACUUAUUAUCUACCAUUUUAUAAUUAUUAAAAGACGAGACAAGAAACUUCUUACUUGUAGCAUCUUCUUGCAUGUACUUGGACUCCAAUCGAUCCCAAAGUUCCUUGGCAGUAGUAAUUGAAUGGUAGACAUCGAACAGGUUGUCACUCAUGGUAUUGAGGAUGUGACCACGGCAUAUUUCAUCGUCGUUCUCCCAUUUCUGACGGUUUCAGAUGUGUUCAAGAGUUUCUUCAUCGGGAUUGAUCAAUGAUUUUGGUGUGAUCAAAACAUAGACCACUUUGAGUGCAGUGAGAAGGAAAUGAACACGUUUUUGCCAACGAACGAAAUUUCCUCCAUCAAACCGCGUGAGCUUGACAAUAUUGGAUGCCAAAUCUUUCAAGGUACCAUCCAUUGUAGAGUAUAAAUAAAGCCUAAAAUUGUUGGGUAAAUUGUAAAGGACUAGCAAAUAUUGUAACAAGAAUUGGCUUCAAAUCGUGAUAGAAAUCACUUUCCUUUAGGCUUUAUUUGUCCGGUAUAACGUGCAAUUACCUUAGACAAAUAUCCUUUAGGAUAAGAUGAAGUUUUGUUUGUUUUAAACUCUUGCACAAAGCAAGACAAACCCUUUGUGAACUAAGAGUGCUUUUGAGAGAGUAAGGAUAGUAGGAAAGUGAUUUUCUACAGCAAACCACUCUCUACUUGACCUCUUUAUAUAGGAAGAUUGUUUGGGAAACAAAAGAUCUCAUUAAACACUUGUAUGAAUAGAUUCAACGUAUUGUGUACACAUUCAUGCACUUUAAUUCAUGCAUCUCAUGAUCAUUUAGAUCAAAACAUGAAUCUAUCCUUUCAUUCAAUAAUUCCCAUAUACAUGAAUACAUUCAUAAAUGAAUGUACUUUUAGGAACAUUCACAAUACUAUACAUGUACCAAAAAUUAAUGAAUAUACAUUAAUUACAUGUAUGUACAUCAUACAAAUUUUGAAAAGUUUCCAACAGGCUUGUGAUAGCAAAAACUUCAGGAGGCUUCUGAAAUUAUCCCUUAAACUAAACUAAAGGAGGUAAGAUUUUAAGCAGAUCUCGGUAAGUUAAAAGGUUAAAACUUUACAUACAAAUAAAUGGUCAAAUUCACUUUAAAUUUGUGGUGUCAUCUUCCACCUUAAACUUUUGUACUAUCCAAGUUCGUUUUAAUUCCUUUGGGAAAAUCAAACAUCAAAUGCUUACCAUUUAUUGAAACAUUACAUCAUCCAUCCAAUUGAAACAAACUCCUACGGAGUUUUUUUUUUUUUUUUUGCUUUAUUUUGUUGUUAGAUAUGAAUUUAUUUCACAUUUGGUUGUCAGAUCUAAAUUUUUUUUUCAAAUUUUAAAUCUAUUUCAACAUAUCUCAUUAUCAUUAUUGAAACUUAAAACCGUUUAUUGGCAAAUCUGGUGAUUGCCAUAUGCACGGAAGGGAUGCACUUUUAAAAUUCUUUAUAUAUAUUUUUUUAGAUUUGUUUGUAAUUUUCAAAUCUAUUGUAUCUGUUAAAUUAUGAUCUGUAAUUUUUAAUGGAUGUUUGGCCUGCCAUUAGGGGAGUUAUGCAAAUCAAAUCAUGUUAGAUGAUUUCCAAAAAAAACUUAAUCGUCAAUUACUCUUUCCCAUUUUAUUUGUCCACUUUUCAAUUGUCAAUAACUCUUUUAAGAAACUUUGUAAUACAAAAAUCAACUGAAACCAGUAGAAUAUUACUUUGUAAUAUUUUUUUUGACAAAAAAAAGUAGAAUAUACAAUUAAUAGCAGUAUUCAUAUUAUGUUUUUGUAUAUUACUUGUACAUCUAAUUAGUCCCAUUUGGAGAAAAAAAAGGAUGAAGACAAAGACAAAAACACAUAAUAGUCACAAAAAACACAGAUCUAGCUCAAAAUAUGGCAGUGACCAAUUGUUCUGCAAAAUUAUUAGGAUAAGCAGUUGACAGAUUCUAUAAUCGCUUUUGGUCAAAUAUUAUUUAAAUUAGCUGGAUGGUCAAAUAUUACUUUUAAUUUUAAUCAUUUAAAUUACCAGUUACUAUCAUCAUUGGAAGAAGCACAUUGAGGGUCUGUUUGGAUUGUGAAUUAUUAGAGAUAUUUUUACUGUAGCACUUUUUAUGAUGUGAUGUAUGUGAGAUAAAAAGGUAAUUGGAAAGGUAAAAAGGUGUAUUGGAAAUUGUAAUAAUGAUGUAAGCAAAUAAAUUUUGAGAAAUAAAGCCCAAUCCAAACAAAGCCUGAAGGAAUGAUACUCUAAGAUGACUACAGAAAUUUUCUAGCUGGUUAUACAACAUAUUAAUAGUUGAAUGUUGACCUCACCAGCCAUCCCUCAUUCCUUGUCGCAUCCUUUUUAUGAAUUGGAUUCAUCUAUUUGGUGUUCUAAAAUCACAUUUAAAAGUUUUUUUUUUUUUGCGAAAGUGUUAUUAUUCAGGAUGUGUAUGAUAAUUUAAAAUUUUAAUAGUGGACCUAAAAAUAAAACUUGUAAAUUUUACAUAUGAGCCUACCUACUUUUAAAAUAGAGGGAAAAAAACAUCACAUAACUUCAAGUCCAAGAUUGUAUGCAGUUUGUCCAAUAAAUAGAUAUUCAUAAUUCAUAAUUUCAUAUACACAUGUUAACUAGAGAUGUCAAUCACAACCCAAUUAUAUUGAUCCGUUCAAAACCGUUCACUAAUAACCCAUCCAAAUUCACUCAUUAAAAUUUAAAUGGGUCUAAGUGAGUACCUAAUUAAAUCCAUUUAAUUGGUGGAUAGUUGAUUGAUUUGACUCACCCAUUUAUAACCAUUUAAAAAAAUAUAUUUUUAAACUCAAUUUUUACUAAGUGUUAAGAAGAUAAAUUUGAAUUUCCUACAAAUCUAAUAACAAUAAAAUAUCAUUUUUCUUGUUAAACGACAUGCAAAAAAUUUUAAAAAAAAUAGAAUUUCAAAUCAGUGUAAAUGGGUAAUUAAGUAUUUUCAUAUCCAUUUAUUAAAUAGAUAUAAAUGGAUUGAUUCAAUUAUAUCUAUUAUCCAAUUAAAAUUUGCUCAAACCUGUACAAGUCACUCAUUUUUAUGCUUCUAAUGUUAAUAUAUAUUCACAAGUGAAGAGUGCAGCAUUGACAAGGAAGAUAUACUUAUUUAUCCCAAUAUUAUAGUCAUUUUUUUCAUUACAAAAGUAUUGAUAAUUUCAUAAUUUCAUCAUCAGUGACAUAACAUUACAUGAAUUUCAACGAAGUAUGUAAUCAGUGACAUGACAUAACAUGUCAUCAUUAGUCUUCAGCGGUGAAUCUUAUCACGAGGCUUCUUUUCGAAGCUUUGAUUAUGGCAUACACUUCUGACAAAUGUCCCUUUUAGAAUAGGGAUAAUUUCUGUGACCAGGCUUUCUUUCAAAGCUUUGAUUAUGGCAUACACUUCUGACAAUGCCCCUUUUAGAAUAGGAUAAUUUCAGAAACCUCCCAGGGUUUGUAACAAUUCAUCGAACUUUUUGAAAUUUUUAAUAUUACACUUAUCUCCCUUUAUGAUAGACAAUAAUUAUAAUAACCUUCAUAAUUUUUUCAAAGACAAGCUAUUGAUAAAAAAGAUAAAAAAAAAUGAAAACAAUUCUUCUUGCUAAGCCUCAUAUUGGACUAAAUUGUUUCACCCAUAACCACUAAAUUGUAAUUUCUAUUACUCAGAAAAGAAGCAUUUUGGUAAUUGAGGGGCUUGGUUGUUUGAGUGGGAAAAGGGUAAGAAUUGUGAAUUUUAUGAUUGACGGUUUGGUAGACAACAUAUGGAAAAAACUUAUAGAGAGGUAAAAAUUAUAAAGAUAAGAAUUAUGAUGAUGGAUUUUGACAUCUAAAAUAUCGAGCUUGUUCGAAAAAAGGAAGAAAUGAUAAGAUCGAGUUUGAAAACUUGGGUAGAUGUAGAAAAUUAUGAGAUGAAAAAUAUUAGGACAUUGUCUAAGUAAUAAAACUCAUAGGUUUAUAGUAUACAAGUGUAUUCUUGAUUUUGAAAAAAUUUUAAUGACUAUUCAUAUUUUGAAAAUUAGAUAAGGGCAAUUUUGGACAUUCAUAUAUUUUUCUGGUCUUACAUCAUCAAGGUGAAACUCAAACCUAUGUUUUAGUAAAUGUAUGUGUAAUUUUCAAAAAGUGAGGAAAGCUGUCUGAAAUUAUCAGAAACCUCAGGGGUGAUUUAUGAAAUUAUCCCUAAUUUUUUUUUUGGUACAAAAAACUCCAAAAUAAUAUGUCCCACACUCUGUGCCACACUCUGUGCCACUUUUUAUUAUAUUGCUAUUUUUCCUACAUAAAUAACAUGUUUUAAUUCUUUUUUGCUUUCUUAAGAUCCAAUAACUAUUAAUUAAGUAAAAAAUAAAUACAACAACUUCAAAAAAGCAAUAUAUAAUAGAAAAUUAAAAAAUACAGCAGAAAAUUCAUAAAAAAUCUCAUUUUUAUAUAUUUUGAUUUUUUGACUUUGUUAAAUUUUGUGUAUUACUCAAUUAAUAGUUAUUGGAUCUUAAGGAAGCAAAAAAGAAUUAAAAUAUGAUGUUUAUGUAGGAGAAAUAGUAAUAUAAUAAAAAAUGGGACAGGCACAUGGUGUGGGACAAAAGGUCCGUUGCACCAAAAAAGUGGCAGUUCAAACUGGAACCAUCUCCUAUUUUCGCAAGUCCUCCCGCCGGCGGCCCUGGGUCAUCUAUAAAAGUAUAGACCAAGACAACACUAAUCCCUCAUCAGUCCACUCCAUACUUCUUCUUCAAGCCUCAGCAACGAAACAAUAAACUCUGCUCCACUCAACUCUUUCCUCUGUGUCUUGUGCUCUUGUCUGAAAAUGGGCGGCGUCAGAAGAAGUGAAAGUGCCAAGAAUCAAGCUGGGGUCGCAAGGUUUUGAAGUUUCAGCUCAAGGGCUGGGCUGCAUGGGCAUGUCAGCCUUCUACGGGCCGCCAAAGCCCGAGCCUGAUAUGAUCAAACUCAUCCACCAUGCUAUUUGCAGAGGAAUCACCCAUCUUGACACCUCCGAUAUCUAUGGACCUCACACCAACGAAAUACUCAUUGGCAAGGUACCAUAUUUGCAAAUUUUCUGCUGUUGUCUGCUAUGCGUAAACUCUUGUAAUUUUAAUUUCUAAAAGAGCAUAUUUUUAAAUAUUUUAUUUAGGUAAAUUAUACUUAAUCCCUUGCACUUCAAAAUUUGUCUCCCUUUGUGCCCCCUUAAUUUUGUUUGUCAGCACUUAAACUCCACUUGUUUAAAUUGUAAGUAUUAUUAGUCAAAUAUGACAUUGUUCUUCUUCAUUUUUUCAUGUUACUGCCUUUUCAGUUUGUCCUCCUUUAUAAAUAUGGGAUGAAUUACUUUGAUUUUGAUUUUGGUGCAAUUUUGUAUAAAAUGAUUUUUGCUAUGAAGUUAUUGAUUUAUUAUGAGCUAUGCGUUGUAUAUUUACACAAAUUCUGCUAGUUAAACAUUCACUUGAGCAGGCCUUCCAAACAUGAGCAAUAUAAUUCUCUAUGGGUGCAUUUGGUAAAAUUGACGAUUGAAAAUUGAAAUCUAAUUUAAAGUCUGAAUCCAUAAAAUUAUUAAUUUGUUAAGUACUAAAUUUGAUACGUUUGAGUGCAUGUCAUGUCAAGUGAUCACAGAAUAACUCAUCACUUAUUUUUUAAAGCAAGUUUUGCUUAAGAAAUUCAGUGCCAUUUAAUUAAUUUAGAUAUUCAAUGUUUAAUUAUCAAACAUAUAUGAAUAUAUUAACAUCUGAAUCUAUUAAUUUUAAGUGCUGAAUUGGGUUAUCAAACAUGACCUAUAAUUAUUAGGUAACCAAGCAGACAACAUGUUUAGUGUAUAAUAGUAAUUAACUUUCAAUUUGUGUCGUUAUUCUUUGGUAAAGAACUCUUAGAAUUAUUAAUAAUAAAUUUCUCAUACACGGGAAUCAAAAUAAUUGAAGUUUUAUCUCUACCAUUGAGAUAUGUUGCCAUCUAAAAGAAAGGAAAGGGAAGGAAACAUGGGGGAAAAUAGGGAAAGGGCAAAGUGAUGAUAAAUAAAAUUGGAAGUAGCAAAAUGAGACAAAUGAAUUAUUGCAAGGGGUUAAGUGUAAAUUAUGUUUAUUUUAUGAGACCAUUUAGGCAGAAAGACUGGACCCUUUUAACGCGCCAAUCAAAAGUUCCAAUUGCUGAAAAUAACAUAAAAACUUGACUUUGUUUGGUUUGGCGUUUUUGGAGGUGGUUCAUGAAAAUUUUAUUGUAGUUUUUUUUUUCAUCUUGAAAAAUAUACUUUUUUCAUCAAUUUAUGGAAAGUUUACAAUUUCUCUGAUAACAGAUGGUAAAAUUUACUUUUUACGAGCACUGAAGUUUUAAAGAUUAUGAAAAGAGAAUUGUAUGAAGGAAUAGAAGGGAAAAGAAGGGUAAGAAAAUGGAUGGAUUGUGUUUGGAUUGAUUUUGGAGGGGCAAGGAGAGGAAACGGAGAGAAAAGGAAAUGGAUGGAUUGUGUUUUGCUCAGACAUCAUUUCCAUACAAAAGUAGAUAGAAACAGAGGGAAAGAAAAUCUUGUUGAUGAUUUUCUAGUAAAAUGCCUCGAGCACCCAAAUUUUACAUAAACUUGCCAUUUGUGAAACCUGCUUUAGAUAUGAAUUGUGGGAUGCAACAGCAGGCUAGGAAUGUUUGACGAAGCAACUUGUGUAGAUAUUUUAUCGUUAAGUAAAGAGAAAAACUAUUCCUUUCAUGUCUGUCGUUCUACCAAACAGCAUAUUAGGUUUUCUUUCUUUCCCAUUCAUAUCUAAUCCAAAUAAGACAAAUGAGAACUAUUUUCUCUACUCUCUUUCCUUUCUUUUUCACUAGCAUGUUUUAUUUAUUUAUUUAUCCUUUCCUUUGAUCCAAAUGGUUCCUAAAAGGCCACUAAUUAUUCUACAUUGACCAGUUCCCUAUUUUUGUAUUAAUUUGCAUGUGCACGAUUCUGUGUAUGUUCAUGUUGUGCAUCAAAUCUUGUGAAUGACAAAGCUAGAGUGUAAAUUUAAGUUGAAGAAAUAUAAAACAAAAAAGAAAAUGGAUUGGCUCCUUUAAGAGUAUCAGACUUCUAAACCCCAAGGAUUACAUAAUUUUCAUAUCCUUUGCGAUACAAAGAAGUGGCAUAGCCUUAACAAUGAAGUGUUGGAAAAACUCCAGAAGGAAUGUGCCCAUCCAUGAAAUCCCAAAUCGGCUUGCUGUACCAUGCAGUAAUGUGUAUGUCCUUGAUGAUUAACAUAAUGAAAUCAUGGUUCUAGGCCUUGAAGGAAGGAAUAAGAGCGAAAGUGGAGCUAGCAACAAAAUUUGCAAUCAGUUAUCAGGAUGAGAAGUUUGAUGUACGUGGUGAUCCAGCCUAUGUGAGGGCUUGUUGUGAAGCGAGUUUGAAGCGGCUUGAUGUGGACUGCAUUGAUCUCUAUUAUCAACAUCGCAUUGAUACACGUGUGCCCAUUGAAGUCACGGUUUGCUCGUCUUGCCUUUCUUGUUUUUUAGCUCCACCUCAUUCUUGAUGAAACAAAAGUUUGAUCAACUCCAAAUUUUGAAUAAUUCAGUUUCAUGUCCGUUUCAAUUCUUCAAAAGUUGCACAGAAAAGUUAGUCAACCUUAUGGUCUCGGCUAAUCUGCAGUAUGGUAUAGCUGAUUUUGCACAAGGCAUCCUGAAAAGUGAAAACAAUGAAUAUGUCUUAUAUUAGCUUUGGCUGUCCUGCUGAGGGAUAUACAGGUGGAAAUCAUGCUAUACAUUGUACAGCUUUCCUUUAGAACCAAGAAACCCGAGCAUUCUCUUUCAAUUGAGAUAGGCUAUCUGGUUGAGUAAUGAUCUGCUAUUUACUUACCUUGUCAACCAUUUUCAGUUGGUGCCUAAAGCACUGCAGAUAGACAUUUAUUAUUGAUAUCUAAAAAACAUGGUACUCAUUUUGUCCAGAGCACAGCUUUUUGUCUAAUUGUCAAAGCCAGCUGCAACUGCCCCAUUGACCUCUCCAGACAAUUCAAAGAUUUCAGCAGCUUGCUUACAUUCAGCUUUUAUGAAACAAUUUCUGUCUUCUUUUUCUCAUGUAAUCAGCAAAGAAUUGUCUUGGUUUCCCUGAGUAUUAGAUAGAAACUUUCUUGCAGUUUAAUCACUCAAAAUACAAGCAAGUAUAAGGAAAUCAAGCAAAAUUGGCAACUGAUAAUUGGUAUGUACGGCCAUUAUUAUAUAUAGAAGUCAACAAUGCCAUGUAAUCAUAUUGGAGGAGCAUUAUGUUGGCAUGGUCCAGUAGAACUAAGUCCUCCGGUGGGCUGUACAUAGAGAACUAUCACUGGAUGCUGAUUGCCAUUUUCAUCAAUUAGUGAUUUCAGUUUGAUGUAUACUUUGUCCACGACAUCGUUGAACUAGUGCAACUUUUACUUUUUGCACGUAAUAUUUCGAUUAUCUGCCUAAGUGUUGAAUGUAAUAAAUCAGCUUAGCAUCUUCUUGUCCAUUGAAAUUCUCUAGAUAGGAGAGCUCAAGAAACUGGUUGAAGAGGGUAAAAUAAAGUAUAUAGGUCUGUCUGAGGCCUCAGCUUCAACAAUUCGAAGAGCACAUGCUGUUCAUCCAAUAACAGCUGUACAGUUGGAGUGGUCAUUGUGACCAGAGAUGUCGAGGAAGAGAUUAUUCCCACUUGCAGGUAGUGCAUAUAUUCUGCUGCAUUUUCUACAUGGUCUAGAAGAAAUAUUAAGUUCUCAAUUCAGUUUUUGGUAUAAUCUUUCAGAGAGCUUGGCAUAGGGAUUGUUGCAUACAGUCCACUUGGACGAGGUUUCUUCUCAUCAGGUCCAAAGCUGAUUGAGAAUUUGGCUGAAGGUGACUACCGAAAGGUUUGUGCAUAUCGAAAAAGAUGGAGUUUUUGAGUAUACAUUGUUUAUAGUUCGAAUAAGUUUCUCACUCAUCUAUUUUUACCACAUUCAGUGGCAAUCAUGCUUGAUAUCAAAAGAGGAAGAAACUAUGUCACUUUUUAAGUAAAAGUCUCUUUACGGUUUUGAAGGGAAAAGGACCUUAGACUUCAAUUUCAUCAUUUAAUCUCAGGCACAGAACUUAUGCUGUCCUGUGAAACUAUCAUUUUUCCUUUACCAUUAAUCCUAAAACUGAGUUUCAUUGGUCAGAAAUAUACUUCAUAGUAGUACCUCCUCUAGCGUUCAUCGUAGUACCUCCAUCGUUCAAACAAACAAAAAUUAGUUGAUUUGUAUUUUAAGUUUCCUCUUUGAUGGGAAAUGUAUCUCAGAACUUAACUCCAACGGUUGAUGCUUCCUCCGUGGAGUAUUCAGUCGAACUUGAUGCAUUGUUCUUUCCCCUGAACUUGUGCCCUUCAAACAGUAUUUCUGAUCAUCUUGAAGUAAUUAGUACCGUCUGUUCAUUACUCCCUCCCGAUUUCUUGCAUUAUAGCUUCCUCUUUAAUGGGAAAUGUAUCUCAGGAUCUACAUUCUACAAUUGAGGUUUCUUAGAGUACUCAGUCCACCUUACUGGAUUGUUCCUUCCCCUGAACUUUGUACACCUUAAACAAUACUAUCGAUCAUUUUGAAGUUAUUCAUAUUGUCUUCAUUUGUAGAUGACACAUGCUUUGCUCCCUUUUGAAUUUCUGGCAUUACAGUUGCUUAAAUUUUGAAAUUCAUACAAUGUAGGAUAUGCCAAGGUUUCAAGCAGAGAAUUUGGAGCAGAACAAGAACUUGUAUGAGCGGGUCAAUGCCAUUGCUUCAAGAAGGGUUGUACUCCAUCACAGCUAGCAUUGGCCUGGGUCCAUCACCAAGGCAAUGAUGUUUGCCCCAUACCUGGCACUACCAAGAUUGAGAACCUCAAUCAGAAUAUAGGAGCUUUGUCUGUAAAACUGUCAGCAGAGGAAAUGGCGGAACUUGAAUCUUUUGCUUCUGCGGGAGUCAAGGGUGAUAGGUAUGGGCCUGGCCUUGGUACUUGGCAAACUUCUGAAACUCCACCUUUGUCAACCUGGAAGAGAACAUGAAGACAUACUUUGUUAUUGCAAUAAUUCCUUCUAGCUAUGUGCCUGAUGGUGGAUUCCACUAUAUUAAGAGUUGAGUGAUAUGUAUUUGUUCCAAUAAAGUUUGACAUACUAUUGUCUCUAGGGUUAAGGCAAGUAAAGUUAUAAGAAGAAUGGAGUUUCUUCAGAGGUUGUAAUGAAUAAAUAUCUGGUCAUGUAAAAGCAGAAUAUAAUUUUCCUUGCAGUUGAAUGCAUUAAAGGUUAUAUAUUGUACUUUUGAAUGCUAUAGUGGUCCAUUUUUUAUGUGCUACUGCUACGAGAGUUAUAGAUUGUCGAACAGCAUUCAAUUCAGGACUUAUUAAACAUAAGCAUAUAAACAUUUUAUGCUCGGAAUAUUUACAUCAAAAGAAACUCCAAGGUCACAUCAUUGUAAAGUGUAAACUACAUCAUAUUAACAAAAAGCAAAAAAAAAAAAAAAAAGGUCUAAAUGAGGAAAAAAAUGUACUAUAGAAGUAGUCAACAAUGUCAUGUAAUCAUUUGAUCCUAAAAUUGAGAUUAAAAUUUAGUUGAUUUGUAUUUUGAGUUUCAUCUUUGAUGGGAAAUGUAUCUCAGAACUCAACUCCAAUAGUUGAUGUUUCCUACUUGGAGUACUCAGUCCACCUUGAUGCAUUGAUCUUUCCCCUGAACUUGUGCCCGUCAAACAAUAUUUCUGAUCAUCUUGAAGUAAUUAGUACCAUCUGUUCAUUACUCCCUUUUGAUUUCUUGCAUUAUAGUUUCCUCUUUAAUGGGAAAUGUAUGUCAAGAUCUACCUUCUACAAUUGAGAUUUCUUAGAGUACUCAGUCCACCUUACUAGAUUGUUCUUUUCCGUGAACUUUGUUCACUUCAAACAUUACUAUGAUCAUCUUGAAGUUAUUCGUAUUGUUGUCUUUUGUAGACGACACAUGCUUUACUAAUUACUGCACUUUGAAUUUCUGCAUUGCAGUUGCUUAAAUUUUGAAAUUCAUACAAUUUAGAAUAUGCCAAGGUUUCAAGUAGAGAAUUUGGAGCACAACAAGAAGUUGUAUGAGCGGGGUCAAUGCCAUUGCUUCAAGGAAGAGUUGUACUCCAUCACAGCAAGCGUUGGCCUGGGUCCAUACCAAGGCAAUGAUGUUUGUCCCAUAACUAGCACUACCAAGAUUGGAAACCUCAAUCAGAAUAUAGGAGCUUUGUCUGUAAAACUGUCAGCAGAAGAUAUGGCUGAACUUGAAUCUAUUGCAUCAGCUAGAGUCAAGGGUGAUAGAUAUGAUCCUGGCCGUAUCAAGGGCAGAGGUUAUGGGAUCUGAUUAUGGGCAACUGAUUAUGGAAUCUAUUCUAUCAUAAUUGCAAAGAUUAUGACUGAAAUUAUGGGAUCUGCUCUAUCAUGUAUAUUAGCUGUAUAUUAGCAUAUGUGUCAUUAAUAUAUCAGAUAGGUAGAUAUAUUCUUACAUAGAAUAGAAUGUACAGAGUUUCUAUUUAAUGGAAAAGAUGCACAAAAGACAGCAUUCAGUCUUUGAUCUAGAAAAUUGUCAUGGUAUCAGAGCUGGUUAUUUGAAUUUCUGUGUCUUUCAAAAUUUGCUGAGUUGUUAUUCUUCUUGGGUUGAUUAUUUUGAUCAAUCAUUUGGUUUCAAGAUAUCAUUUUGGGUCAAUCAUAUUGUGGUUGGCAGCCUUUCUUGUAAUUCAGAUCUUUGUUUUUUUGAAAGUAUGUCUGUGGCAAACUCUUUGGGAAAAACACAUACGGAAUCUUUGUCUAUCAAGUUCAUUGGGAAAAAUUAUGCAGCAUGGGAUUUAGAAUGUUUCUAAAGGCAAAGAGCUUUGGAGUCAUAUUGAUGGGUCUUCUACAGAACCUAGAGAUGGAAAAGAAUUUAGUCAAUGGGAGGCAAAGGAUGCUAGAAUUAUUUCUUGGAUUCUAGCAUCUAUUGAAGCUCAUAUGGUGAAUAAUUUACACUCCUUUAAUACAGCAAAGGAGAUGUAGGAUCAUUUGAAGCGUGUAUAUCAUCAAGAUAAUACAGCAAGAAGAUUUCAACUUGAAUUGGAAAUUAGUAACUACGGCCAAGAUAACCUCUCUAUUAAGCAGUAUUAUUCUGGAUUUUUUAAUUUAUGGAGCGAAUACUCUGGUAUAAUCUAUUCUAAGGUACCAAGCGAAGCCUUAGCUGGUAUUCAAGCAGUUCAUGAAGUUAGUAAGCGUGACCAGUUUCUAAUGAAACUAAAGCUUGAAUUUGAAGCGGUCAGAGCUGGAUUGUUAAAUAGAAAUCCAAUUCCUUCUUUAGAUGUAUGUCUUGGUGACUUGUUGCAAGAAGAACUGAGAAUGGCUACACAAACUAUCAUAGGUGCAUCGAAGGAGAUAUCCGAAGUUGUCAAUAUUGCCUAUGCUGCUCAAGGGAGGAAUCGCGAAAAGGGACAAGUACAGUGCUUAAAAGCAGUCUGUUUGCCAGACACAUGGUGAGCCACAUUUAAAAAUUGGUUUCUAUCAUAAAGCCUAUCAUGUCCGGACAGAAGAUGGACUGUUUUUUAAAUUUUUUAUGAAAGCAAGUGAAAAGUGUUGCAACUCAGGACUUGGAUGGUAAUUCUAAAAUUUAUUAGUGCACCUACCUUUUAACUUUUGGUGUGCUUUUAAGGUAUCAAAUGGGGGAAAAAAAACCAACACCAUAUAACUUCAAAUGCAAGAUGGUACGAAAUUUGUAUCCAUUGACAUGUAAAAAGUGCACCGUUCAUCACAAAGAUAUUUAUCCUAAUAUUUAGAUUCAUUUUUUCAAAAAUUUCAACUUUGCAUGCAAACAUGUAAUCAAUAUGCAUAAAUAGAUAGCAUUAGAUGAAUUUAAACAAGUAGCCUUCAAAUUUAAAAUAUAUUGAUUUCAUAAAGGUGCAUUCGCAAUUUAGAAAAGGACUUUUCAAAUGGCAAAUCUAGAGAGCAAUAAAUACUCCUACUUUAUUUUGAUUUCAAAUCUUAUUUUGACUUGUCAAAAAAGUGAAACACGAAACCAAUAAUGGUCGAUACAAGGCUAAUUACUCAGAAUAUCGAUGUAAAAAUAUUGGACAUAUAUGAUUUUGACAAUGGGCAUGUAUAAAACUAUUGCUGUAAGGUUGUGUCAGCCCGGCAGCAAAAGAGGGUUUUUUUUAAAGCCUGCCAUUGCCACCGAGCUGACACGGCUCGGCAGCAAUAGUUUAAUUUUUUUUAAACGCUGCCGGGCCUUGUCAGCCAGAUAGAACAAAAAAAAAAAAUUUUUUUUAAACACAGCCGGCAGCGGGCAACAUUUGCAAAAAACUUUAAAAAGCUGGCUGCCGGGCUACGACAGUUCAAAAGAUUUUGCUAUCCGCCUACAACACCAGGUGAUAAAGAUAAGGGCAAAGGCGUACCGGGCAUUGAUAUGAUCAUUUCCGGUGCAUGUUUUAAAAUUUCAAAUAUUUGAAUAUGGGGAUUUAGCGUUAUUUUAAUCUUUUAUUAUUAUAAUGCUUGUCGUUAUUUUUAAAUUUCACAAUUUCAGCAUGUCAUGUUGCAUUUUUCCUUCUUUUUUUUUUUGCCUAUUUUGUUUUUAUAUUGCACAAUAACUUUAUAUUUAUAAAAUUAUAUUGUACAUUAAAAAUUACAUAAUAAUUUUAACAAACAAUUUUCCGGUACAAUUUGAAAACUGCAUCUUAUUGUAAAAUGAAAGAGAUUUUUUGUUUAAAAAAACCUUUUUUUAGUUUUUUACCUAUCGGAGUAAUUAUUAAUUUUACAAAUCUGUUUUCAUCUUUUUCUUACGUUCCAACUUUGAAACGUAAUUUAAUUAACUUAAAAGACUGUCGGGUUUAGUAUGUCAGGUAUCACACUUGUUGUAAUUAAAAAAAAUUUUCUUCUUAUUUUUUCAUUUUUUUGUUUUUAUAUUGCAAAAUAAAUUUAUACAUUUUUUCGAUUUUUCUAUACAAUUUAUAACAAAAAAAAAUAAUAUCAAAUAUUAUACAUUGUAAUUUUAACAAUUAUUUUGCAACGGUUUAAAAAACCUUUUUUAGUUUAACAUCCUAUAUAUUUUACGAAAAUGAUUUGAAUAUUUUUUAAUCAUUUAAAGAAAAGAUAGAUUUCUACAAUUACUAUUUUUUAAAUUUUAAUCCUUAAGAUAAAGAUUUUUGCGGGAAAGAUGAAGAUUUAAAGAAACAAUAAAGAGGCAAAGAAAAUAAAAGAGAAAAAUAGGAGAGGUAAUUUUGUCCAAUGGAGGAUAUAAUGAGACAGAAAAAUUCCGAUGAGGAUAAAGUAAAAAAAGAGAUAUAUUUUAAGGACAUUAAUUGUGAUUAACCCUAUUUCUUAUGCUCAAUUUGUAACUGGUCCAAAGCAUCAAAAGUAGCGUCCGCCUCCCAGGUGAUGAAUUCAUGGUCUUGAAUGUCCAAUAACCUAAGAAGAGUAAAAAGAUCACUUUAAAGUUGCUCCACACCCUACAAAUGCUUCUGAUACUAACUUUCUCGUCAUAUUAACAAAUGCUCCGCACCUUAAUGCUUCAGCACCCGUAAAAAACGUGUUUUUGCAACUGGUCCAAGAGUUGAACCCUUCGCUCAGAGUUACUUCUGGAUGUUGAAAAAAAACAUUUCGAUCACUUGAAUCUAACCUCCGCGUCUAAUCAAGCCAGAAGGCCAGCUUUUUUUUCACUGACCCUUCACGUGAACCUUCUGAGAACUUAUCUCAAGGGAAACUUUUAGUGGUUCAGUAGAAUUUUUUUUAAUCCUCUUACAUGUUUCAUUCGUAUCUCUCUACUUCAUGUCCGUGCAUUGUUGAAUUCUGAAGUGCAGGUCUUCUUUCGCCCGUAUUGUUAACCUUCUUUUUCAUGUUCAUUGAAGCACAGCAUUCUUUUUUUUUGAAAUUUUUUUUAAAAUUGGACUAGCUGCUGGACUGAGCUUUUUAAAGUUUUUUGCAGAUGUGCGUCAGCCCGGCAGCCAGCGAAUUAAGAAAAAAAAAAUUUUUUUGAGGCCGGCAGCGUUUAAAAAAAAAAAACUAUUGCUACCGGGCAAGCUUUAAAAAAAAAAAAAAAACCCUAACAGCAAUAUUUUUAUACAUGCCCAUUGUCAGAACCAUAUAUGUCCAAUUUUUUUUUCAUCGAUAUUCUGAGUAAUUAGCUGAGAUAGAGAGGAGUAUUAGAAAUUUGUUUUCUAGAUUCUUUGGUCUCCCAAUUUUUUCAACGGUCAACUCCGAUCAUUAUUAUCACAGUCAUGUGAUUGUAGGUCUACCACGCUUCAUAGUCCACAACGUGGAUUGGCACCACAAAGGAUGGUUUCAAAACACCAUUUUAGUCUAGUAAGGAUUGUGUAUAUAACACAAGUCUUUUUAGGUUUUCCCUCCCCUGUAAUCUAAAAUAAAAUAAAUAGGUUAUACAAUUGUUAUAGUCUUCAGAAAAAAAGGAUAGGUCCCACCCUAUUAUUAUUAUUUUUCUUUUAUAAUCAACAACGCCUAUUCUACACCUAUUUCAACUUCUAUUCUAGGGGAACGGGAGUUCAACUGAAAAAUUAAUGGUGAUUGAACCACGAACGGACCAAAAACUUUCAAGAUAAAAUUUGAUCUAAAAAUAAAUAAUAAUAUAUUAACUUAUUAUUUAAUGCGAUACAUAUUCAAAUAUAUUAAAUUUAAUAAUUUAAUAAAUUUUAAAUUUUACAUUUUAAAUUUUAAUUUUCAACCUUCAAUGUUGCCGUACUUACAACAACAACUUCUAGAUGGUCAACACUUAGAGUCGUAGCCCUUGCUUUUGGCAUACCCUAGUCCCUAUUUCUGUUGUUAUCAAUGAGGAAGCAAAUGUCUGCUAUUAAUUACACGAGACAUCAGUAGGUUUGUUUGGAUUGGAGGUUAUUUGAAAUAUUUUUUGAGAUAAUUAAUGUAGUACUUUUUGUGAUGUAAUGUAUAUAAGAUAAAAUUGUGAUUGGAAAUUGUGUGGAUGCAAAACAAAAUUUUGAAAUUUUUUUUUGAAAACCUUAAUAUUAUUGGCUGCACUACAAAUCAGUCAAAACUCAAGAGAUGAUAUUAAUUGAAACAAGUGGGCAAAUUGAACGAGGAUGCGUAAUUGACAUGGAAGUCUUGGUAGACUUGGAGGUAGGCUUGUCAACGGAUUGGGUCUGGGUCGGAAUUCAUUAUUCUGGACCCGGAUCCGACAUACUAUAUUGGACUCGGAUUCGACCCAUUUAUUCGACGGGCCUUCUACUCUAUAUUCUGAAUCCGGAUCCGACGGGUCUCGGAUUCGGGUCGAGUCUACCCGAAAAAAUCUAUCAAAACUUACAAAUUCUAAUAAAAAUGAGAAAAAAAUAUAUUUGUAAACCAAUUUUUAACUAAUAAAAAAAAUCAAAUAAGAAAAAAAAUCAAAUUGACUUUACUCAAAUACAUCACCCUAAUCAAAUUAUAUUGAUAAAUAUAUAUAUAUUUAAAUUGUUAAUCCAUUUAUAUCCGAAUCCGGGUCUAAUACGGGUCGAAAUAUUAUAUUCCGUAUUCGACCCGUUUUUUGUUUGAUAAAACGGAUCCGGAUCCGGGGUCCGAGUAAUGGAAUUAAAUCCCUACUCGUACCCACAAUAAUUUGACGGAUUCGAUCCGGAUCCGGAUCUAGACUCGAACUGUUGACAGGCCUACUUGGAGGGAUCAACAUUUGAAUCUGACUUGGAUGAGGUAAGCACAAAGGUAAGCAUUUUCCAUUUUUAUUUUGGUUUUCAUUUCUUGUAUACUUUAAAACGUUUUUCAUUCUACCUCACUCACAUAUAAUAUAUAAUGAAAUGUAAAUUUUUUAUGAAAACAUAUAAAAUAUAUAAAAUGAAAAAUAAAUUUUUAUAAAAACAUAUGUUUAUAUUUUUCUUUGUAUAAUGAAAAUUUAUAAUUCAUUCUACCAAUAUAUACGCAUAUAUAUAUAUAUAUAUAUAUGUAUAAUGAAAAAUAAAUUUCUUCUUCAUCUUUAGGGCUGCACCUACAAACAACAAAACUCAGCUCCACUCAACUCUUUCCUUCAUGUUUUUUAUAAAAAACAUAUAUAUAUAUAUAUAUAUAUAUAUAUAUAUAUAUAUAUAUAUAUAUAUAUAUUAAGUUACACUAAUUGUUUUAUCUCUUAAUAAUUUUUAUUUUUUUUACUAAUAUUACCUCAUGAGAGGCAAAAAGGGUAUAAAUGGAACAAAAUUAUUAUCUCAUUUUCCAAAAGAAUUUUUUAAUGGUACUUUUUCUAACAUGGGUUGAAGCUACUAUCAAAAUCUAGUUUAGGGAAAGUUAGUGCUAUUUUUUAAAUUUUAGGGUAGAUGAGUACAACUGUUAGAAACCUCAAAAAGGGAUGGUUUCUGCAAUUAUCCCUAAAAGCAUAGACCAAGACUACACUAAACACUAAAAAUUUGACACCUAUUUCUUAUAACUAUACUAGAUAAUCUCAUAAUUAUAUAGAAAAAUAAAUCAAAAUUCAUUACACAAAAGCAUUUUUGGAUAUUUAUUUAAGAAUUUGAUCAAAUUAAUAUUAUUUUAAAGUUUUAUUACAAAAACUAUCAAAUUAAAGGAGGUAGGGGUAAUGUUUCAAACCUCACAGUGAAAUUGUUAGAAACCUCAAAGAGGUUCUUGAUAUUAUCCCUAAUUUUUUUGGGUACAAAAACCUCCAAAAAAGUGGCAGUUCAAACGGGGCCAACAUUCUCCUAUCAUCACAAGUCCUCCCGCUGACCCACUAGCCGCCGGCGGCCCUGGGUCAUCUAUUAAAGGCUUAAAGCAUAGACCAAGACUGCAGUAAUCCCUCAUAUACACAUGUUAACUAGAGGGGUCAAUCACAACCCAAUUAUAUUGAUCUGUUCAAACCCGUUCACUAAUAAUCCUUUCAAAUUCGCCCAUUAAAAUUUAAAUGGGUCUAAGUGAGUACCUAAUUAAACCCAUUUAAUUGAUGGAUAGUUGAUUGAUUCAACUCACCCAUUUAUACCCAUUUAAAAAUAAAUAUAUGACAGGGUGUCGAGCCUGUGCAAUAAUAAUUAUCUACUCAAGAAAAACACAAAUUCUGUAUAUAGCAGUGAGUAGAGUCGAAUCCACACGGACUGUAGAUAAUUCGUUUCUUUUAGAGUCCAAAGUAUGGGGGUUUUGGAGAAUAUAAAAUAACUAAUUAACUAACUAAUAAAACAACUAAUAGAAAUAAAUAGAAAUUAAUCAAUAACCAAUAUGACUCUAGCCAAAGGUGCAACUUUUCAGACACGGUCCAUUCAACUGAUCAUCGAUGCAAAGAUAAUUCAAUUACUCAUUACUAGAUUGGUUAUAAUUGUCAUACACGCGAUGAACAACCAGCCUUUUCUUAAUUUCUCGAUAGUUAAAGUACGACCGUUAACUAUUUCUCUAACCAAGUAAUAACCCUAGGUACGACCAUAGGAUUUAAUUACUCGAUUACAUUAAUAAUUAGAAAAACCCAACCCUAACCAACAAACACGCUACGAGGGUUUGUUUAAAUUAGAUCAUACGUUUCCCUAACAUGAAACCAAUCACGCUAGUCGCCACUGGUAUUAAUCAAUUGAACAAUUACGGAUUCAAUCAAUUAAUUUAGCAUUAGAUCAUUAAGUUAAUUUGAAUAUCGGGCCCUUGACAUUCAAAUAACAUAACAAACAUAAGCAAUUAAAUCAGGAAACGUAAAAAUACCAAUGAAUAAAAGAAAUAAAUAAAAUUAAUUCGAUCUCACAGAUAUUUGGAACCGCGCCUUCAAAUUGGCCUUCGACUAGAUGAAAGGUUUAGUUCAUCUACAUGGAGGAAACCCCAUGUGAAAUUGCAGAAGUAAUUAUUCUAAAACAAAGCUAUGUUUUCGUCCUCCAUUGAAGAAAACGGCAAAGCUAUAUAUAAAGUAAUGAAUACGAAGGAACUACCUAGAAGCAAAAACAAAACGAAGCUCUCCUAUUCUAAAACAAAAACUACUUGUCUAGUGGUCCCCGCCGAAUUUAGAUAAAAGGGUGCAAUCCGUCAGAUCAAGCUUUGCCGACUUUUUCUCCUCUUUGUUGCCUAUUGCUAGGCAAAGACUUCAGUGCCCAGACCAUUCCUAAUCAGUGAAAAGAAAAUGCACUCCCUCUGCCGCACUCUGUGGGCCAGGUUGUUGAAGCUCUUUGGAGUCUCCUAUGUGUGGAGCUGUUUUAUCCUUCAGAUGGUCUCGCUCUUUUUUUUCUUUUUAUUUUCUUUUGUGUACUUUUCUGCUCCAUUCCUGAAAUGAGAUCCAAAUACCAAAUAUAAAUAUAUAUUAACAAUUAAACAAUAUUUAGUAAGGACAGAGGGGAAAUUAAUAAUAAAAUAAUCAAUAAUUAACACCCUAUCAAUUCCCCCCACACCUAAAUCAUACUUGCCCUCAAGCAUGGGGACGACAAAUAACACCAAAAUUUGAAAAUGGGUAUUGCCCCAUCUACCCUAUUGUCAAGAUACCAAGGAAAACAUCUAUCAAGCAUCAGUGAUCAGGGUUCAAGAAACAUCACCCCAAUUAGCUUCUAAACCACAAACUCCUCCAAUUUAAGACAAACUAAUCUAAGAAAAAGGAAUGGUUGCUCACAUUUAUCAACAAAUGGUCCAACUAUUAACUAAAAUCUCGAUAUUAAGAUCACAAACCGGCAAGCUGACUUAUUCACAUACUAACACAAUCUUUACUUUACUUCUUUUUUUUUUUUUUUUGAAUAACAAAAGACUUAGUCUAUAGCCCUUAGAGCCUUUUGACGCGAACUCCAACAUUUGCCAGAUGGAGAAGCCCGGUUUCUCAGCUCCAAUCGCUACGGGACCACGCACUCAUAGUAACUACUACCUUUUGAGGCGAAAAUCGACACUUUAGGUCAAGAUCCCCGAUCACUCAGUAGUAACCACUAGCGGAGUACAGUCAACUCUUAUUUACAACCAUAUAGCACGAUAACUAAAAAUAACAGCAGGCAGCCUCAAAUUUCCAAACAUGGAGAACUAAAAUUAAUAACUGGACCAAUUCACAUGAAAAAUGCCAACAAUCAUUCCCUAUGCCUAGAAAAGUUAACCAAAAAUUAGAAAAGUCAAGCAAUUACUGAUAUUCACAUGAAAAGUCAAGCAGAAGUAAGCAAAAGAGCAACUGUACUUCCCUGAAAUCACGGGGGGCAUGGCGGGGCCACAGCAGUGGGUGAGGCCGGAAAUGGUUGAUUUGGGUUGGGGUAGGCUAAGGUCGAGAGGUUCCGGACCUAGAAGAGGACUUUGAUCUCACCAUCGUCGCUAACAGGUAACCCAAUCAACAGAAACAAAAUUGCCAACAGAUAGAGGAACAAGUAAAUCUAGAUCAAUAGAAAUCAAUAUCCUCAAGUGAAGUCAACAAUCAACCCAAUAAGCACAGGUAUCUUCCAAUUUAAAAGGGUAGUGCACAAUAAAUGGCCCACCAAAUUUGCAAUGUAAAGCCCUGAGCAAUUCAAUCAAUACCAGAAAAUCGCCCCAAACAAUGUAACAGUUAAACUCCAUGGGCCAUGGACGUCCAACCAAUUUCACUCGAACAAACUAUGAGCAGUGCGAGUGACGAAACAAAGCAACAAAUUUCAGCAAUUAGACACAAUUCCACUCAAAAUCUCAACAAAUAUCUCCAAUGGACAGUCUUACACAACUUAACCAACUGGAAUUAGCAAAUAUCCCCAAGAAACUGACAAAACAAGCAAUAGUAGUUCAAAAUUUGGACUACAACUAAAUCAAAAUGUUGUUUCAGUUUUCAAUCAGGUAGCCAACCAAGUAGAAUCAAUAAAUGUAGACAAAAUACCCCAACCAGUACCACUGGUGUAUUCCACAGAAAAGAAUUAAUUCAAAUGCCAAUCCAAACGACUGAGAAACCCUAACCAAGACCAAACCGUACCAGAAAUUAGAAGAAAUGAAAAUGGGAAUCAAUUGGCAAGCAACUCCCAAAUCAACCCCAAAGAACUCCCAAAUAAAUGAAUUAUCAGAGGUGCCUUCAAAAACCAAAUACCAAAAAUGCAUAAAAACUCCCAACCAAUUCAACGGGAAAAACAAAAUUAAGCAAAUCACCUCCUGUGUUUAUCCAUCAAGGAACAACCCAAAAGCACAAAUUCCAGUAACUGAGGAUUCAGGAAAAAUGCCAAAACAAGGGUAGAAAGUUAAUACCUCCACCUGUCAAUUUUGACAGGUAGUGAUGCGCGGCAAGGAGGUGGCGCACGAGGUGGUGGCGAGCUUUGGAAGAUGAGUUGGCGAUAGAGGCUGUCAGCUACGCGUGCGACUGUGCGCACAAUGGGAGGAGAGAGGCGCGGCGAGCUGGUGGACAGCAGCAGCGGCACGGGCUGGUGGCAGUGGCUGUGGAGCGUGGGCAGGCGGCGGUGCGCAGCUGGUCAACGAAGGAGGAGAUGGGCGGCGCUCGGGCUAAGGAGAGAGUGAUUUGGGGGCUGUGGCGGCGUGGGGUGGAGUUGCGGCGGCGGUCAAAGGCACUGGUGAGUGGAGGUGGCGGGAUGGAGCUUGGAACGGAGGAGCUCAGCGAGCUGUGGGUGGACGGCCGUGGGCAGGGGAGCAGCGGCGGCCUUUGGAGCUGCUGAAGGUGGUCCGUGAGGUGGAGCUUGGAGCUCGGAGGCGGCGGCGAUGGAAGCUAGUCAGCGGCGUGCGGCAAUGGAUGAGAAAGGGAGACUGGUGGCGUCGGGCUAAGGAGAGAGUAAGGGAGAUGAUGGCGGAUGAGCGAAAGAAAAGAAGGAAAGGGAUACAGGGCAGCGAGGAAGAAGAGGAAGAAAAGGGAAAGAAAGGAAAGAAAAAAGAGAAGAAAAAGGAAAAAGAAAAGAGAGAAAGAAAAAAAGAAAAUAAAAUGGUUUUGGGGUUUUUUUUCAAUAUUUUUUUUUCAAUUUUUUCCCUAAUUUAAAUUUUCAAAAUUUGAAUUUUUGAAGAAAAAAAGAAAGAAAAAUGCUCUUUGAAUUUUUGAAUUUUCUCAAUGUGAAAUUUUAAAUUUUUUUUUGGUUUUGGAUCGUCAAACACCGCGUGAGCACGCCAAGAUUACACUUCCUGGUCACAGUAGAGGAAAAUAUUAAGACGACUACCACCCAAAUGAGAAAUGACAAAAUGAAAGUAAUGAACAAUGAAAAACGAUAAAACUAAUAUUUGGGUUGCCUCCCAAAAAGCGCCUUUCUUUUAUGUCUUUGGCCAGACAUUGCCAUAUUUGUUUAGGGAGGAUAAAAUCUUGUACCUCGGUUUAAUGUUUCAUCCUCUAUAUAGUCCUGAUAACCCUCGUAAAUAGAGUAAUUCUUGAACACAUGAGCUACGGUCUUCCCUGGACUAGUAAAUGGUGCCAAACAAGUCAACAAUAAGUUGAAUUUUCCAUUCACUCCUCCAUCACUUGCAUUUAUUGGUUUAAGAUAUCUUGCCAUCGCCACUCUUAAUUUAUUUCUGUCAUGAAAUUCGAAAUUUUCUGAUAUAAUAAAAUCAAUUUCAUUAACAGGAAUUGAAGAAUAAGAGUUAGAAGAAUAUUGAUGAAGGAAUGCGAUGUCACCGCAUUUGAAGAUUGUUCACUGGUUUCAUUCACUUGAACGAGUUGAUACUGGGGCAUUAUUUCUUGCACUUCACCUUUUUUUUCAACUGCAUCUUUAGAUCCGUUUUCUUGAAACUCUUGCAGUUCCAUGUCAUUUGACGGGAUAACUGCACUCUCAUCCUCUUCAAGGUUGAUAUUGGUUUGUGAGGGCAAUUCUUCAAGGUGAGAAGCUAAUCGCUCUAUCCUGGAUGUCAAUUGAUUCAUUUGAUCCGCCGGAUCCCUAAUGCUCGCUUGUGUCUCCUGAUGAAAUCGAUAUGUAUUAGUAGCAAAUAAUUCAAUCAAUUCCUGAAGAGACAUACCUGACAUGGAUGAUGGCUGUUGAGAUUCUUGCUGUUGAAAAUCCAUUGGCCCGGUCGCAUAAUUAAAAUUGGAAUCAUCCCACCAUCCUUGAUCAUACCCGUUUGAAUAAGGAUCGUACCACGUUUGAAAUCGAGGUGAAAAAUCUCCAAAAGUAUCAAUUGGAGCACUUAGAUUAUCUUGAAAUGCGGGGCAUGUGUCGGUUGAGUAACCUGAGUCAAAAUAAGUUCCACAAUUUGCAACAGUCCAUUGACCAUUAGGAAAAACUCGAGUCUCAUAACCUCAUUCGGGAAUAAAGUCCAGUCUAUCAUCAAAAUAUGGAAUGUUAGCUACCAUAAACUAUAUAUAACAAAAAAGAGAAAAAAAAAAAACAAGAUGAACUAAAAAAAAACAAAUUAAUUAGGCACCAGUCCCCGGCAAUGGCGCCAAAAAUUGACAGGGUGUCGAGCCUGUGCAAUAAUAAUUACCUACUCAAGAAAAACAUAAAUUCUGUAUAUAGCGGUGAGCAGGGUCGAAUCCACAGGGAUUGGAGAUAAUUCGUUUCUUUUAGAGUCCAAAGUAUGGGGGGGGAGUUUUUUGGAGAAUAUAAAAUAACUAAUUAACUAACUAAUAAAACAACUAAUAGAAAUAAAUAGAAAUUAAUCAAUUACCAAUAUGACUCUAGUCAAAAGUGCAACUUUUCAGAUACGGUCCAUUCAACUGAUCAUCGAUGCAAAGAUAAUUCAAUUACUCAUUACUAGAUUGGUUAUAGUUGUCAUACACGUGAUGAACAACCAGCCUUUUCUUAAUUUCUCGAUAGUUAAGGUACGACCGUUAACUAUUUUUCUAACCAAGUAAUAACCCUAGGUACGACCAUAGGAUUUAAUUACUCGAUUGCGUUAAUAAUUAGAAAAGCCCAACUCUAACCAACAAACACGCUACGAGGGUUUGUUUAAGUUAGAUCAUACGUUUCCCUAACAUGAAACCAAUCACGCUAGUCGCCACUGGUAUUAAUCAAUUGAACAAUUACGGAUUCAAUCAAUUAAUUUAGAAUUAGAUCAUUAAGUUAAUUCGAAUAUCGGGCCCUUGACAUUCAAAUAACAUAACAAACAUAAGCAAUUAAAUCAGGAAACGUACAAAUACCAAUGAAUAAAAGAAAUAAAUAAAAUUAAUUCGAUCUCACAGAUAUUUGGAACCGCGUCUUCAAAUUGACUUUCGACUAGAUAAAAGGCUUAGUUCAUCUACAUGGAGGAAACUCCAUGCGAAAUUGUAUAAGUAAUUAUUCUAAACAAAGCUAUGUUUUCGUCCUCCAUAGAAGAAAACGGCAAAGCUAUAUAUAAAGUAAUGAAUACGAAGGAACUACCUAGAAGCAAAAACAAAACGAAGCUCUCCUAUUCUAAAACAAAAACUACUUGUCUAGUGGUCCCCGCCGAAUUUAGAUAAAAAGGUGCAAUCUGUCAGAUCAAGCUCUGCCGACUUUUUCUCCUCUUAGUUGCCUAUUGCUAGGCAAAGACUUCAGUGCCCAGACCAUUCCUAAUCAGUGGAAAGAAAAUGCACUCCCUCUGCUGCACUCUGUGGGCUAGGUUGUUGAAGCUCUUUGGAGUCUCCCAUGUGUGGAGCUGUUUUAUCCUUCAGAUGGUCUCCCUCUUUUUUUUCUUUUUAUUUUCUUUUGUAUACUUUUCUGCUCCAUUCCUGAAAUGAGAUUCAAAUACUAAAUAUAAAUAUAUAUUAACAAUUAAACAAUAUUUAGUAAGGAUAGAGAGAAAAUUAAUAAUAAAAUAAUCAAUAAUUAACACCCUAUCAAUAUACAUUUAAGCUCAAUUUUUACUAAGUGUUAAGAUGAUAAAUUUGAAUUUCCUAUGACUCUAAUAACAAUAAAAUAUCAUUUUUCUUGUCAAACAACAUGCAAAAAACAAAAAAAGGUAGAAUUUCAAAUUAAUCAUAAAUGGGUAAUUGAGUAUUCUCAUGUCUAUUUGUUAAAUUGAUAUAAAUGAAUUGAUUCAAUUAUAACUAUUACUCAACUAGAAUCCGCUCAAACCCGUUUAAGUUAAUCAUUUUGACACCCCUAAUGUUAAUAUAUAUUGACAAGUGAAAAGUGCAGCAUUUAUCACGAAGAUAUACUUAUUUAUUUUAAUAUUAAAGUCAUUUUUUCAUUACAAAAAUAUUGAUAAUUUCAUAAUUUCAUGGAAGUAUGUAACCAGUGACAUAACAUAGUCGCCAGUGGCGAAUCUUGUCACGAGCCUUCUUUUCAACGCUUUGAUUAUGGCAUACACCUUUAACAAUAUGCCCCCACGUUGUCUUUCGAUCACUUUUUUUUUUUUUUUUAACCUCACAUUCGUUCGUUAUGUAUGUAUAAUUUCUUUACAAAAAAGUGAAAAACUCCAAAAACGUGGCAGCUCAAACGGGGCCAACAAUCUACUAUGUUCGCCUGUUCUCCCCGGACCCACCAGCCGCGGCGGCCAUGGGUCAUCUAUAAAAGCAUAGAUCAAGACUACACUAAUCCCUCAUCAGUCCAAUCCAUCCAUACUUCUUCUUCAGGCCUCAGCUACUAAACAAUAAACUCUGCUCCACUCAAUUCUUUCCUCUGUUUCUUGUGGUUUUUGUCUGAAAAUGGCGGCAUCAGAAGAAGUGAAAGUGCCAAGAAUCAAGCUGGGGUCGCAAGGUUUUGAAGUUUCAGCUCAAGGGCUGGGCUGCAUGGGCAUGUCAGCCUUCUACGGGCCGCCAAAGCCCGAGCCUGAUAUGAUCAAACUCAUUCACCAUGCUAUUAGCAGAGGCAUCACCCAUCUUGACACCUCCGAUAUGUAUGGACCUCACACCAACGAAAUACUCAUUGGCAAGGUACCGUAUUUGCAAAUUUUCUGCUGUUGUGUGCUAUGCAUAAACUCUUGUACUUCUAAUUUCUAAAAGAGCAUAUUUGUAAGUAUUUUAUUUGGGUAUAUUAUAUUUAACCCCCUGCACUUGAAAUCUUUGUCUCCCUUUGUGCCCCUUAAUUUUGUUUGUCAGCACUUAAACUCCAUCUGUUUAAAUUAUAAGUAUUAUUAGUCAAAUAAGACAAUAAUAUUCUUCAUUUCUUCUUCUUCUUCUUCUUCUUCUUCAUUUUUCAGAUGUUUGUCCUCAAUUGUAAGAGAAGGUCGUAGGUCUAGCACAUACGUUGAGUAGCUGUAUCCGAUUAGAAGGAUUUAGAUCAUAAUGGAGUUGGUAAAAUAGUACUAUUUUCGUCUUUGAAGUUAAAAUUGUCAUCAAUUUAUGGAAAGUUUACUAUUUCUCUGAUAAGAGAUGGUAAAAUUUACUUUUUACGAGCACUAAAGUUUUAAAGAUUAUGAAAAGAGAAUUGUACGAAUGAAUAUAAGGGAAAAGAAAGGUAAGAAAUAUGGAUUGUGUUUGGAUUGAUUUUGGGAGGGGCAAGGAGAGGAAAGGGAAAGAAAAGGAAAUGGAUGGAUUGUGUUUUGCUCAGACAUCAUUUCCAUACAAAAGUAGACGGAAACAGAGGGAAAGAAAAUCUAGUUGAUGAUUUUCUUAUAAAAUGCCUCAAGCACCCAAAUUUUACAUAAACUUGAGUAACCAUGUGUUUCAUAUCUGUAGAACUUGCCAUUUGUGAAACCUGCUUUAGAUAUGAAUUGUGGGAUGCAACAGCAGGCUAGGAAUGUUUGACUAAGCAACUUAUGUAAAUAUUUUAUCGUUAAGUGAAGUUCCUCUUUUGCUGUUCAAAAAAAAAAAAAAAAAAGAGAGAGAAAAACCAUUCCUUUAAUGUCUGUCAUUCUACCAAACAGCAGAUUUAGGUUUUCUUUUUUCCCAUCCAUAUCUAAUCCAAAUAAGGCAAAUGAGAACUAUUUUCCACUACUCUCCUUUCCUUUCUUUUUCACUAGGAUUUUUAUUUAUUCUUUCCUUUGAUCCUAAUGGUUCCUAAAAGGGCACUAAUUAUUCUACAUUGAUCGUUCCCCAUAUUUGUAUUAAUGUGCAUGUUCACGAUUCUGUGUACGUUCAUGUUGUGCAUCAAAUCUUGUGACAAAGCUAGAUUGUAAAUUUAAGUUGAAGAAACAUAAAAGAAAAAAGAAAAUGGAUUGGCUCCUUUAAGAGUAUCAGACUUCUAAACCCCAAGGAUUACAUAAUUUUCAUAUCCUUUGCUAUACAAAGAAGUGGCAUAGCCUUAACAAUGAAGUGCUGGAAAAACUCCAGAAGGACUGUGCCAUCCAUGAAAUCACAAUUCCGCUUGCUAUACCAUGCAUUAAUGUGUAUGCCCUUGAUGAUUAAUAUAAUGAAAUCAUGGUUCUAGGCCUUGAAGGAAGGAAUAAGAGCGAAAGUGGAGCUAGCAACAAAAUUUGCAAUCAGUUAUCAGGAUGGGAAAUUUGAUGUACGUGGUGAUCCAGCCUAUGUGAGGGCUUGUUGUGAAGCGAGUUUGAAGCGGCUUGAUGUGGACUGCAUUGAUCUCUAUUAUCAACAUCGCAUCGAUACACGUGUGCCCAUUGAAGUCACGGUUUGCUCGUCUUGCCUUUCUUGUAUUUUAGCUCCACCUCAUUCUUGAUGAAACAAAAGUUUGAUCAACUCCAAAUUUCGAAUAAUUCAGUUUCAUGUGCGUUUCAAUUCUUCAAAAAUUGCACAGAAAAGUUAGUCAACCUUAUGGUCUAGGCUAAUCUGCAGUAUGCUAAAUCUUAUUUAGCACCAGGCACCCUGAAAAGUGAAAACAAUGAAAAUGUCUUAUAUUAGCUUGGCAGUCCUGCUGAGGGAUAUACAGGUGGAUAUCAUGCUAUACAUUGUACAGCUUUCCUUUAGAAGCAAGAGACCUGAGCAUUCUCUUUCAUUUGAGAUAGGCUAUCCAGUUGAGUAAUGAUAUGCUAUUUACUUACCUUGUCAUUCGUUUUCAGUCGGUGCCAAAAGCACUGCAGAUAGAAGUUUUUUAGUCGAUAUCUAAAAAACGUGGUACUCAUUUUGUUCAGAGUAUAGCUUUUUGUCUAAUUGUGAAAGCCAGCUGCGACUACCAUUGACCUCUCUAAGCAAUUCAAAGAUUGCAGCUGCUUGCUUACAUUCAGCUUUUAUGAAAACAAUUUCUGUCUUCUUUUUCUAAUAUAGUCAGCAAAGAAUUGUCUUGUUUUUCCUGAGUAUUAGGAAGAAACUUUCUUGCAGUUUAAUCACUCAAAAUACAGGCAAGUAUAAAGGAAAUCAAGGAAAUUGACAACUGAUAAUUGAUAUGUACAGCCAUUAUUAUAUCUAGAAAACGUGACUGCAAAAAGCGCCUCCCACUCGCGUUUUCUGAGUCGCGUUUCCUGCACAAAACUUGCAGAAAUGGAAACGCGACUGUGCAGGUAAACGCGACUUCAAGUCGCGUUUUUGAAUCUUGACCCCUUCCUGCACUUUAUCACGCGGGCGCGUCAAGAGGAAAUGCCACCUACAUAUUAGCAACAACGAAAACUGAAACCCAAAAUCAGUCGAAUUCAAGGGAAAUAUAUUUAAACUAUCACACGAAAUCAAACAAACAAUUAAAAGAAACAAUUGGGUUGCCUCCCAAGUAGCGCCUUUCUUUAAUGUUUUUGGCUAGACAUGCUAUGCUUGUUCACGGGGGAUAAAAUCUUGUGGCUCGUUUCAAUGCUUCAUCUUCAAUAUGAUCCUGGUAACCCUCAUAGAUGGAGUAAUCUUUGAGCACACGAGUUACGGGCUUCCAUGGACUAGUAAAUGGCGUUAAACAAGUCAACAAUGAUCUGCAUUCUCCACUCACUCCUCCACCACACGCAUUCAUCGGUUCAAGAUAUUUUUUCAUUGCCACUCUUAACUUAUUCCUGUCAUGAAAUUUCAGAUUUUCUGGUAUAAUAAAAUCAAUUUCAGUAACAGGAAUUGAAGAGGAGGAAUUAGGAAAAUAUUGAUUAAGGAGUGGAGAAGAUGUCACCGCAUUUGGAAAUUGUUCACUGGAUUCAUUCACUUGAAUAAUUUGAUGUUGGAGUCUCAUGUCUUCCGCUUCAACUUCCUUUUCAACUGUAUCUUUGGAUCCUCCUUCUUGAGACUCUUGCAGUUCCAUAUCACUUGUCAGGAUAAUUGCACUCUCACCUUUCUUAGAGUCAUUGAUGGUCUGUGAGGGCAAGUCUGACAUGAAUGACGAUUGUUGAGACUCUUGCAGCUGAAAACUCAUUGGCCCCUCUUCAUAAUUAACGUUGGAGUUAUCCCACCAUCCUUGAUCAUACCGGUUUGAAUAAGGGUCAUACCACGUUUGAGAUCGAGGUGAAGAAUCUCCAAAUUUUUUUUUGAGAUAGUCACUCAGGUAGUCUUGAUAUUCGGGGCACAUACCGGUUGAAUGAUCCCUGGCAUAACAAAUUUCACAGGUUGCAGCAGCCAUUCUUUCUCUAACAGAGUUUAGUGCCUCUGCAUAUGCAGACCUCACAAAAAAACUAGCCUCAUUACCUUCCCCGGAAAUAAAAUCCAGUAUAUCACCAAAAUACGGAGUGUAAGAAACCAUAAACUAAAUAAAAAAAAAGAAUGUAAACAAGAUGAAUUGAAAAAGAAACAAAUAACUAGCGCCAGUCCCCGGCAACGGCGCCAAAAAUUGACAGGUGCCGAACCUGUACAAUAAUAAAUACCUACUCGAGAAAAAUACAGAUUUUGUAUAUAGCGGUGAAUAGGGUCGAAUCCACAGGGACUGGGGAUAAUUCGUUUCUUCUAGAGUCCAAAGUAUGGGGGGUUUUGGAUUGAAUGCUAACUAAAUAAAUUAACUGCAGAAAAUAAUUGAUUAAGAGAAAUAAUUAAGGGAAAACUCUAGCCAAGGGUACACUUCAGACAUGGUUCAGGCACUGAUCAUUGAUUCACACAUAAUUCCACAUUUAUUAAUAGACCAGUUAUAGUUGUCAUGCACGCGAUAAACAACCAACCUUUCCUUAAUUUCUCGAUAGUUAAGGUACGACCGUUAACUAUUUCUCUAACCCAAAAACAACCCUAAGUACGACCGUAGGAUUUAAUUUCUAGAUUGCAUUAAUAAUUAGAAAGGCCUAAUCCUAACUAACAAACACGCUACGAGGGUUUGUUUAAGUUAGAUCGUAUGCUCCCCUGACAUAAACUCAAUUACGCCAGUUGCUACUGAGAUAAAGAUAACGAACAAUUACGGAUUCAAUUAUCCCUAUUUAGCAAAAUAGCCUAUGUGAAUAAUUAAAUAUUGCGCAUCUAUUCAAUCACUCACACGAGCUAUAGCAAUUAAAAGCAGGAAACAUAUAAAUAUAAAUAAAUUAAGGAAGCAAUUAAAAUAAAUUAGAUCUCACAGUAAUUGUUGAACCAAAUCUUCAGUUGUCCCCUUGACUUGAAUUAAGAGGUUAGUUCUCCAUUAAUGGAGAACAACCAUGCGAAAGAGCUAAGAAAAGAAAACUCAAAACUCAACUAAAAACCUCAAACUAGUGAUUCAUUCCUCCCCGUUCUCUUGUACGUUUCUCCCUUUUUAAAGCCAAAAGGAAGUCUAAUGCUAUCUCUAGUGGUCCCCACACCAAAUUCAAAGUCUUGUACGUUUCUUUUCCUAGAGUCCAAAUGAUUCAUGCUUCUUAUCCGUGGUCCCCGCACAUGUGGACAAAGCCUUCCAAGUACUUCUUGUUCCAAGUCUCUUUCCGUAGCUUUCUUUGAAGAGCCCAAAUGACUUAUUAGCUUUUCACUAGCUUGUGGUCCCCACCACUCCAAGGGCCCAAGAAUUGAAGUCCUUAGAAGUCUCCCUAUUUUCCAUAAAGUCCUUCCUUUUUGGUAGUUUCCUGCUUCAUUCCUGAAAUUAAGUCCAGAUACCAAAUAUGAGUAAAUAUUAGCAAUUAACACAAUAUUUAUCAGGGAUGAAAGGGGAAAUUAAUAAUAAAAUUACUAACAAAUUAUACCCUAUCAAUCUAGUUCAUGAUUUUCUAGUAAAAUGCCUCAAGCACCCAAAAUUUUACGUAAACUUGAGUAAGCAUGUAUUUCAUAUCUGUAGAACUUGCCAUUUGUGAAACCUGCUUUAGAUAUGAAUUGUGGUAUGCAACAGCACGCUAGGAAUGUUUGGCUAAGCAACUUAUGUAAAUAUUUUAUCGUUAAGCAAAGUUCCUCCUUUCAUGUCUGUCAUUCUAUGCAAACCUCCUUUUAUCGUUAAGCAACUUAUGUAAAUAUUUUAUGUAAAUAUUUUGGUUUUCUUACUUUCCCAUCCAUAUCUAAUCCAAAUAUGACAAAUGAGAACUAUUUUCCUCUACUCUCCUUUCCUUUCUUUUUUACUAGGAUGUUUUAUUUAUUUAUUUAUCCUUUCCUUUGAUCCAAAUGGUUCCUAAAAGGGCACUAAUUAAUCUACAUUGAUCAGUUCCCUAUAUUUGUAUUAAUGUGCAUGUACACGAUUCUGUGAAUGACAAUUAGGCUAGAUUGCUUCAAAUCUUGUGAAUGACAGAGCUAGAUUGUAAAUUUAAGUUGAAGAAAUAUAAAACAAAAAGAAAAAGAAAAUGGAUUGGCUCCUUUAAGAGUAUCAGACUUCUAAACCCCAAGGAUUACAUAAUUUUCAUAUCCUUUGCCACACAAAGAAGUGGCAUAGCCUUAACAAUGAAGUGUUGGAAAAACUCCAGAAGGACUGUGCAAUCCAUGAAAUCACAAAAUCCGCUUGCUAUACCAUGCAUUAAUGUGUAUGUCCUUGAUGAUUAACAUAAUGAAAUCAUGGUUCUAGGCCUUGAAGGAAGGAAUAAGAGCGAAAGUGGAGCUAGCAACAAAAUUUGCAAUCAGUUAUCAGGAUGGGAAAUUUGAUGUAUGUGGUGAUCCAGCCUAUGUGAGGGCUUGUUGUGAAGCGAGUUUGAAGCGGCUUGAUGUGGACUGCAUUGAUCUCUAUUAUCAACAUCGCAUCGAUACACGUGUGCCCAUUGAAGUCACGGUUUGCUCCAUUUUGCCUUUCUUGUUUUUUAGCUCCACCUCAUUCUUGAUGAAACAAAAGUUUGAUCAACUCCAAAUUUAGAAUAAUUCAGUUUCAUGUCCGUUUCAAUUCUUCAAAAAUUGCACAGAAAAGUUAGUCAACCUUAUGGUCUAGGCUAAUCUGCAGUAUGGUAUUGCUGAAUUAGCACAAGGCAUCCUGAAAAGUGAAAACAAUGAAAAUGUCUUAUAUUAGCUUGACAGUCCUGCUGAGGGAUAUACAGGUUGAUAUCAUGCUAUACAUUAUACAGCUUUCGUUUAGAACCAAGAGACCUGAGCAUUCUUUUUCAUUUGAGAUAGGCUAUCCAGUUGAGAUAUACUAUUUACUUACCUUGUCAAUCGUUUUCAGUCGGUGCCAAAAGCACUGCAGAUAGACGUUUUUUAGUCAAUAUCUAAAAACAUGGUACUCAUUUUGUUCAGAGUAUAGCUUUUUGUCUAAUUGUGAAAGCCAACUGCAACUGCCUCAUUGACCUCUCCAAGCAAUUCAAAGAUUUCAGCAGCUUGCUUACAUUAAGCUUUUAUGAAACGAUUUCUCUGUCUUCUUUUUCUCAUGUAGUCAGCAAAGAAUUGUCUUGUUUUCCCUGAGUAUUAGGAAGAAACUUUCUUGCAGUUUAAUCACUCAAAAUACAGGCAAGUAUAAAGGAAAUCAAGCAAAAUUGGCAACUGAUAAUUGCUGCGUACAGCCAUUAUUAUAUAUAUAAGUCAACAAUGUCAUGUAAUCAUAUUGGAGGAGCAUUAUGUUGGCAUGGUCCAGUAGAACUAAGUCAUCCGUUGGGCUGUACAUAGAGAACUAUCACUGGAUGCUUAUUGCCAUUUUCAUCAACUAGGGAUUUCAGUUUGACGUAUACUUUGUCCAAGACUUCGUUGAACUAGUGCAACUUUUACUUGUUCCACGUAAUAUUUCGAUUAUCUGCCUAAGUAUUGAAUGUAAUAAAUCAGCUUCGCAUCUUCUUGUCCAUUGAAAUUCUCUAGAUUGGAGAGCUCAAGAAACUGGUUGAAGAGGGUAAAAUAAAGUAUAUAGGUCUGUCUGAGGCCUCAGCUUCAACAAUUCGAAGAGCACAUGCUGUUCAUCCAAUAACAGCUGUACAGUUGGAGUGGUCAUUGUGGACCAGAGAUGUCGAGGAAGAGAUUAUUCCCGCUUGCAGGUAGUGCGUAUAUUCUGCUGCAUUUUCUACAUGGUCUAGAAGAAAUAUGAAGUUCUCAAUUCAGUUUUUGGUAUAAUCUUUCAGAGAUCUUGGCAUAGGGAUUGUUGCAUAUAGUCCACUUGGACGAGGUUUCUUCUCAUCAGGUCCAAAGCUGAUCGAGAAUUUGGCUGAAGGUGACUUCCGAAAGGUUUGUGCAUAGCCAAAAAGAUUGUUUAUAGUUCGAAUAAGUUUCUCACUCAGUGGCAAUCUUGCUUGAUCACAUUUAAUCAAAUUUCUAUUAAGCAUAGCAAUUCAACGGGUUUUUUUUUUGUUUUCUUCUUGAACAAGUCUUGAACUCUUUAGUUUGAUUCAAUGAAUGCAGAUUUUGGUGUCCUCGGUACUUAGUUCAAAUUAAAAGAUAUAGCACUAGCUUUGUCAAAUUUUAGAUCUUAUAUGAAUUGAAGGUUGUUAUUGCAUGCUGGAAAUUUAUAUAGAGGACAACAAUCGCAAGCAAUGGAUGGUAUUGAAUUUUAAAGUGCAAAGACGUCCUAAGAUGUCAAAACAGGAAGAAACUAUGCCAGUUUUUAAGUAAAAGUCUCUUUACUGUUUUGAGGGGAAAUGGGCCUUAGACUUCAAUUUCAUCAUUUAGUCUCAGGCACAGAACUUAUGUUGUCUUGUGAAACUAUCAUUUUUCUUUUACCAUUAAUCCUAAAACUGAGUUUCAUUGGUCAGAACUCAGAAGUAUACUUCAUAGUUGAUUUGUAUUUUAAGUUUCCUCUUUGAUGGGAAAUAUAUCUCAGAACUUAACUCCAACAGUUGAUGAUUCCUACUUGGGAGUAUUCAGUCCACCUUGAUGCAUUGUUCUUUCCCCUGAACUUGUGCCCUUCAAACAAUAUUUCUGAUCAUCUUGAAGUAAUUAGUACCGUCUGUUCAUUACUCCCUUCUGAUUUCUUGCAUUAUAGUUUCCUCUUUAAUGGGAAAUGUAUCGCAGGAUCUACCUUCUACAAUUGAUGUUUCUUUCCCCUGAAGUUAUUCGUAACGUCUUCUGGCAUUAUAGUUGCUUAAAUUUUGAAAUUCAUACAAUGCAGUAUAUGCCAAGGUUUCAAGCAGAGAAUUUGGAGCACAACAAGAACUUGUACGAGCAGGUCAAUGCCAUUGCUUCAAGGAAGGGUUGUACUCCAUCACAGCUAGCACUGGCCUGGGUCCAUCACCAAGGCAAUGAUGUUUGCCCCAUACCGGGCACUACCAAGAUUGAGAACCUCAAUCAGAAUAUAGGAGCUUUGUCUGUAAAACUGUCUGCAGAGGAAAUGGCGGAACUUGAAUCCAUCGCUUCUGCAGGAGUCAAGGGUGAUAGGUAUGGGCCUGGCCUUGUUACUUGGCAAACUUCUGAAACUCCACCUUUGUCAACCUGGAAGAGGACAUGAAGACAUAUCUUUGUUAUGGCAAUAAUUCCUUCUAGCUAUGUGCCUGAGGGUGGAUUUCAGUAUAUUGACAGUUGAGUGACGUAUUUGUUCCAAUAAAUUUCGUCAUACUAUUGUCUCGAGGUUUUAGGCAAGUAAAGUUAUAAGAAGAAUGCGUUAAAGGUUUCUUCAGAGGUUGUACUGAAUAAAAAUCUGAUCAUGUAAAAAUAGAACAUAAUUUUCCUUGCAGUUGAAUGCGUUAAAGGUUAGCUAUUCUAGUUUUGAAUGCUAUAGCAGUCCAUUUCUUAUAUGCUACACUGUUACAAGAGAUAUAGACUGUCGAACAGCAUUUUAUGGUCGGAAUGUUUACAUCAAAAGCAUCUCCAAGGACAUGUCAUUCUAAAGUGUAUAAACUACAUCAUACCAACAAAAAGCAGAAAAAGGCCUAAGGUAUGGGAUAUUUCUAAAAUUUCAUGGGAGGCUUGUGAUAGCAAAAACUUCUGAAAUUGUCCCUUGAACUAAACUGAAAGACAGACAAUGGUAAGAUUUUAAGCAUGUCUUGUUAAGUUAAAAGGUUAAAACUUUACAUACAAAUAAAUGGUCAAAUUCACUUUAAAAUUGUGGUGUCAUCUUCCACCUUAAACUUUUGUACUAUCCAAGUUUGUUUUAAUUCCUUUGGGAAAAUGAAACAUCGAAUGCAUUCAAAAAAAUGGAAAGGAAAUGGCUUACCUUUGCACUUACGUAUCCAAUUCCAAUUUGAACAUUACAUCAUCCAUCCAAUUGAAAACAAACUCCUAUGGAGAUUUUUUUUUUUCCUUUAUUUUGUUAUUAGAUCUGAAUUUAUUUCACAUUUGGUUGUCAGAUCUAAAAUUUUUUUCAAAGUUUGAAUCUAUUUCAAUAUAUUUCAUUAUCAUUAUUGAAACUUAAAACAGUUUAUUAACAAAUCUGGCGAUUGCCAUAUGUACGAAAGGGAGACACUUUUAAAAUUCUUUAUAUUUUUUUAGAUCUGUUUGUAAUUUUCAAUUCUACUGUAUCUGUUAAAUUAUGAUCUGUAAUUUUUAAUGCAUGUUUGACCUACCAUUAGGGGAGUUAUGUAAAUCAAAUCAUGUUAGAUGAUUUCCAAAAAAAACUUAACCGUUAAUUUCUCUUCCCCGUUUUAUUUGUCCACUCUUCAAUUGUCAAUAACUCUUUUAAGAUACUUUGUAAUACAAAAUCAACUAAAACCGGUAGAAUCUGUAAUUAAUAGCAGUAUUCAUAUCAUGUUUUUGUAUAUUACUCGUACAUCUAAUUAGUCACAUUUGGAGAAAGAAAAAAAAAAGAUGAAAAUAAAAUUCCCCGAAUUUUGUGGUUUUUUUUGGUGCCUUGUUUAAUCUCUAAUUUUGUUUUUUGGGUUUUUAUUUUAAUCGAUUUUGGUUAUAGAGAUUAAGUUUCUCAGCCCGAUUAAUCGGUUAAUUAAUUAAACAUGGUUUGAGUUGGGUUGGUUUAGAGAUUUGGUUUAUAAAAGAACACUUGGCAAGUUUAGAAGGGGUGGGAUAGGGAAUGAGACAGGGUGUGAUACAGAGAUCCGUUGCGCAUGGCGAGCCACAUUUAAAAAUUGGUUCCUACCAUAAAGCCUAUCAUGUCCUGACACAAGAUGGACUGUUUUUUUUAAAUUUUUUUUGAAAGCAAGUGAAAAGUGUUGCAACUCAGGACUUGGAUAGUAAUUUUAAAAUUUAAUAGUGCACCUACCUUUUAACUUUUUUCGUGUGCUUUUAAGGUAUCAAAUGGGGAAAAAAACCAAUACCAUAUAACUUCAAAUGCAAGAUGGUACGAAAUUUGUUAAUAUGGAGAUGUUAAUAUACAUUGACAUGUAAAAAGUGCACUUUUAUCAAAAAGAUAUUUAUACUAAUAUUACAGUCAUUUUUUUUUCGAAAAUUCAACUUUUCAUGCAAAUAUGUAAUCAAUAUGCAUAAAUAGAUAGCAUUAGAUGAAUUUAAACAAGUAGCCUUCAAAUUUAAAAAUAUUUGAUUUCGUAAAUGUGCAUUCGCGAUUUAGAAAAAGUACUUUUCAAAUGGCAAAUCUAGAGAGCAAUAAAUACUCCUAGUUUAUUUUGAUUUUAAAUCUUCUUUUGACUUGUCAAAAAAGUGAAAACAUGAAACUAAUAAUGGGUCAGAUGCAGAUGAGUAUUAGAAAUUUGUUUUCUAGACUCUUUGGUCUCGCAAUUUUUUCAACAAUCAACUCCGACCAUUAUCACGGUCAUGUGAUUGUAGGUCUACCAGGUUUCGUAGUCCACGACAUGGAUUGGAUAUGUUGAUUAGCUGCCACCUUUUGGCGGAGGUGAGGUUCAAACCUCACCUGUAGUAAAAAAAAAAAAUUUAAGGGUUGUGUCAUAGUACUUUCUUGAUUUAGUUGAAUAUGUAUAUCCACUAACACCUAACACAAGUCUCCUUAUGCUCCCCUAGAUUAGGAUAGAAUAGGAUAUACAAUUGUAUCGUUGCCGAAAAAAAAUAUUAGUUGCCACCCUAUUGUCAUUAUUUUUCUUUUGUCAAUCAGCAACGUCUAUUCUAUUCAUAGUUAUUAAACCCGGCCCGGGAAGGAGUCCGGUGAAAGAGCUGAGUCAACGGGUUACUGGUUUAACCGGUGGGUGAGUGGUCCAACCGUUAGGUCACUACAUAUAUUUAAAUAUUAUGUUUUAUAAUUUUUUACGCCAUAAUAAAUAUUCAGUUAGUUUAAUUUAUUAUAGAUUCAUUAAUUUUUAUAAGAAUUAACAACCUAAAUUUAAUUAGUAAUCCACCAACUUUCAAGUAUAAAAUUUUAUCUCAGUGUAAUUAUCUAGUUUAUUUAUGAAUUUUAAGUGCAAAAGUUUAUUAAGAAUAAUAUUGGCCUUUAAAAUGAUUUGUGUAAUAUGUUAUUUUUAAGUCAAUUUCAUAAUUUAUAGAGUUCAGGGAAUAAUAAAAAUAUUAUUAAAAGAUUCCAAAUAACUAAUACUCUAAUAUAUAGUAUAAGAACAAAAUAAUUAAUAUAUGGUUGGCUGGUCUAGUGGUAAUGGUAGUCUACUUUUUUGCAUGAGAUCACGUGUUCGAAUCUCCAUUCUAGCAAUAUUUAUACAUUUUUUUCUUUUUCGUAGAACGGGUUCAAUGUUGAAACGAUCUUAUCAAGAACUCGGCUCGGUUUCAUGGCCGGUUUACCGGAUUGAUCGAUUGAACUGCCGGGCCGGGUCGGAUUUAAUAACUAUGAUUCUACUUCUAUUUUGAUUUCUAUUUUAGGGGAAGGGGAGGUCCAAUUGAAAAAUUGAUAGCUAUUGAACCAUCAUCGGAUAAAAUGAGUGCACUAUGCACGUAUGCGAAUCUAGGAGAAGCCGGCGCAAUGAUGGGAGGCAAUGUUUGAAUUUUUACCUGCCAUUCCACUAAGAUUUAUAGUCUUUGGUGGUGGCUAAUCACCCAAAGAGCUGUUGGUUAGCUCCCACCCUAUUAGAAACUAAAGGUUUUCAACCUUCUAAAAAAAAUGUUUUUGACUUUAAAAAAAAAUAUUUUUGUUUUUGUUUUUUCAAAAAUUAUUUUCAUCUAUCACCAACGGCAGUCAUGGGUUAUUUAUCCAAACAUAGAUCCGAACAACACUAAUCUCUCAGCAGCCAUCCCCUCAUUCCUUCUUGUAUCCUUUUUAUGAAUAGGAUUCAUCUUUUUGGUGUUCUAAAAUCACAUUUAAAAAGUUUUUUUCCCGAAAGUGUUAUUAUUUAGGAUGUGAAUGUUAAUUUUAAAAUUUUAAUAGUGGACCUAAAAAAAACUUGUAAAUUUUACAUAUGAGCACAAAGGGAAAAAAAAAACCACAUAACUUCAAGUCCAAGAUUGUAUGCAGUUUGUCCAAUAAAUAGAUAUUCAUAAUUCAUAAUUUCAUAUAUACAUGUUAACUAAAAGCGUUAAUCACAAUCCAAUUAUAUUGAUCUGUUCAAACCCGUUCACUAAUAAUCCGUCCAAAUUGGCCCAUUAACUUUAAAUGGGUUAAAGUGAGUAUAUAAGUAAACCCAUUUAAUUGGUGGAUAGUUGAUUGAUUCGUCUUACCCAUUUAUACCUAUUUAAAAAUAAAUAUACAUUUAAACUCAAAUUUUACUAAAUGUUAAGAAGAUAAAUUUGAAUUUCCUACGAAUCUAAUAAUAAUAAAAUAUCAUUUUUCUUGUCAAACAACAUGUGAAAUAUAAAAAAAAAAGUAGAAUUUCAAAUUAAUCAUAAAUGAGUAAUUGAGUAUUCUCAUAUCUAUUUGUUAAAUGGAUAUAAAUGAAUUGAUUCAAUUAUAACUAUUACUCAACUAGAAUCCGCUCAAACCCGUCUAAGUUAAUCAUUUGACACCCCUAAUGUUAAUAUAUAUUGACAAGUGAAAAGUGCAGCAUUUAUCACGAAGAUAUACUUAUUUAUCUCAAUAUUAAAGUCAUUUUUUCAUUACAAAAAUAUUGAUAAUUUCAUAAUUUCAUGGAAGUAUGUAACCAGUGACAUAACAUAGUCGCCAGUGGCGAAUCUUGUCACGAGUCCUCUUUUCAACACUUUGAUUAUGGGAUACACUUUUAACAAUAUGCCCCCACGUUGUUUUUCGAUCACUUUUUUUUUUUAAACCUCACAUUCGUUCGUUAUGUAUGUAUAAUUUCUUUUCAAAAAACUCCAAAAAAGUGGCAGCCCAAACGGGGCCAACAAUCUACUAUGUUCGGCUGUUCUCCCGCCGGACCCACCGCCGGCGGCCAAUAGCCGCCGGACCCACCGGCCGGCGGCGGCUGAUGGCCGGCGGCGGCCAUGGGUCAUCUAUAAAAGCAUAGAUCAAGACUACACUAAUCCCUCAUCAGUCCAGUCCAUCCAUACUUCUUCUUCAGGCCUCAGCUACUAAACAAUAAACUCUGCUCCACUCAAUUCUUUCCUCUGUUUCUUGUGGUUUUUGUCUGAAAAUGGCGGCAUCAGAAGAAGUGAAAGUGCCAAGAAUCAAGCUGGGGUCGCAAGGUUUUGAAGUUUCAGCUCAAGGGCUGGGCUGCAUGGGCAUGUCAGCCUUCUACGGGCCGCCAAAGCCCGAGCCUGAUAUGAUCAAACUCAUCCACCAUGCUAUUAGCAGAGGCAUCACCCAUCUUGACACCUCCGAUAUCUAUGGACCUCACACCAACGAAAUACUCAUUGGCAAGGUACCGUAUUUGCAAAUUUUCUGCUGUUGUGUGCCAUGCAUAAACUCUUGUACUUCUAAUUUCUAAAAGAGCAUAUUUGUAAGUAUUUUAGUUGGGUAUAUUAUAUUUAAACCCCUGCACUUGAAAUCUUGUCGCCCUUUAUAUUAUAUACGACAACUGGUCACAUCAAAGUGAAAGAGGAGGGCACUGUAAUUUUUUAUAUUGAAAGGUAUUUAUGUGUAAUUAUCAGAAACUUCAGGGGAGGUUUCUGAAAUUAUCCCUAAUAUUUAUACUAUAUAUAAAGGGAGCCUUAAAUUUGGUGUAAACUUUUUUUUGUCAUCUUUUAGAUUUCCAGCUUCACCCUCUCGAUCACUUAAUUAUACCACCAUAUUGCUAAUCAGCUUAACCACAAAUUAACUUUCACCCCAAUUAUCUAAAUAUAUAUUGCCUACAUAACUACCUACAAACAUUGUAACCAACAAGUUAAUUAAAAUUCUAUUAAAGAACUAUUUUUUUGACAAAUAUUCAAAAAACUAGUAAAAGAACUAUAUUGUCUCCCUUAAUUUUGUUUGUCAGCACUUAAACUCCAUCUGUUUAAAUUGUAAGUAUUAUUAGUCAAAUAAGACAAUAAUAUUCUUCAUUUUUUCAGAUGUUUGUCCUCAAUUGUAAGAGAAGGUUGUAGGUCUAGCACAUACGUUGAAUAGCUGUAUCCGAUUAGAAGGAUUUAGAACUCUUCUACCAUCUCUUUUUUUUUUCUUUUGUUUUUUCCUUCAAAAUUCUACAUCAUAACGGAGUUGGUAAAAUAGUACUAUUUUCGUCUUUGAAGUUAAAAUUGUCAUCAAUUUAUGGAAAGUUUACUAUUACUCUGAUAAGAGAUGUUAAAAUUUACUUUUUACGAGCACUAAAGUUUUAAAGAUUAUGAAAAGAGAAUUGUAUGAAGGAAUAGAAGGGAAAAGAAAGGUAAGAAAAUGGAUGGAUUGUGUUUGGAUUGAUUUUGGGUGGGGAAAGGAGAGGAAACGGAAAGAAAAGGAAAUGGAUGGAUUGUGUUUUGCUCAGACAUCAUUUCCAUACAAAAAUAGACGGAAACAGAGGGAAAGAAAAUCUAGUUGAUGAUUUUCUUAUAAAAUGCCUCAAGCACCCAAAUUUUACAUAAACUUGAGUAACCAUGUGUUUCAUAUCUGUAGAACUUGCCAUUUGUGAAACCUGCUUUAGAUAUGAAUUGUGGGAUGCAACAGCAGGCUAGGAAUGUUUGACUAAGCAACUUAUGUAAAUAUUUUAUCGUUAAGUGAAGUUCCUCUUUUGCUGUUCAAAAAAAAAAAAAAAAAGAGAGAGAGAAAAACCAUUCCUUUAAUGUCUGUCAUUCUACCAAACAGCAGAUUUAGGUUUUCUUUCUUUCCCAUCCAUAUCUAAUCCAAAUAAGGCAAAUGAGAACUAUUUUCCACUACUCUCCUUUCCUUUCUUUUUCACUAGGAUGUUUUAUUUAUUUAUUUAUCCUUUCCUUUGAUCCAAAUGGUUCCUAAAAGGGCCCUAAAUAAUUAUUCUACAUUGAUCAGUUCCCUAUUUUUGUAUUAAUUUGCAUGUGCACGAUUCUGUGUAUGUUCAUGUUGUGCAUCAAAUCUUGUGAAUGACAAAGCUAGAGUGUAAAUUUAAGUUGAAGAAAUAUAAACCAAAAAAGAAAAUGGAUUGGCUCCUUUAAGAGUAUCAGACUUCUAAACCCCAAGGAUUACAUAAUUUUCAUAUCCUUUGCUAUACAAAGAAGUGGCAUAGCCUUAACAAUGAAGUGCUGGAAAAACUCCAGAAGGACUGUGCCAUCCAUGAAAUCACAAUUCCGCUUGCUAUACCAUGCAUUAAUGUGUAUGCCCUUGAUGAUUAAUAUAAUGAAAUCAUGGUUCUAGGCCUUGAAGGAAGGAAUAAGAGCGAAAGUGGAGCUAGCAACAAAAUUUGCAAUCAGUUAUCAGGAUGGGAAAGUUGAUGUACGUGGUGAUCCAGCCUAUGUGAGGGCUUGUUGUGAAGCGAGUUUGAAGCGGCUUGAUGUGGACUGCAUUGAUCUCUAUUAUCAACAUCGCAUCGAUACACGUGUGCCCAUUGAAGUCACGGUUUGCUCCAUCUUGCCAUCCACCUCAUUCUUGAUGAAACAAAAGUUUGAUCAACUCCAAAUUUCGAAUAAUUCAGUUUCAUGUGCGUUUCAAUUCUUCAAAAAUUGCACAGAAAAGUUAGUCAACCUUAUGGUCUAGGCUAAUCUGCAGUAUGGUAUUGCUGAUUUAGCACAAGGCAUCCUGAAAAGUGAAAACAAUGAAAAUGUCUUAUAUUAGCUUGACAGUCCUGCUGAGGGAUAUACAGGUUGAUAUCAUGCUAUACAUUGUACAGCUUUCCUUUAGAAGCAAGAGACCUGAGCAUUCUCUUUCAUUUGAGAUAGGCUAUCCAGUUGAGUAAUGAUAUGCUAUUUACUUACCUUGUCAUUCGUUUUCAGUCGGUGCCAAAAGCACUGCAGAUAGAAGUUUUUUAGUCGAUAUCUAAAAAACGUGGUACUCAUUUUGUUCAGAGUAUAGCUUUUUGUCUAAUUGUGAAAGCCAGCUGCGACUACCCCAUUGACCUCUCUAAGCAAUUCAAAGAUUGCAGCUGCUUGCUUACAUUCAGCUUUUAUGAAAACAAUUUCUGUCUUCUUUUUCUAAUAUAGUCAGCAAAGAAUUGUCUUGUUUUUCCUGAGUAUUAGGAAGAAACUUUCUUGCAGUUUAAUCACUUAAAAUACAGGCAAGUAUAAAGGAAAUCAAGGAAAUUGACAACUGAUAAUUGAUAUGUACAGCCAUUAUUAUAUCUAGACGAAGUCAACAAUGUCGUGUAAUCAUAUUGGAGGAGCAUUAUGUUGGCAUGGUCCGGUGGGCUGUACAUAGAGAAGUAUCACUGGAUGCUUAUUGCCAUUUUUGUCAAUUAUUGAUUUCAGUUUGACGUAUACUUUGUCCACGACUUCAUUGAACUAGUGCAACUUUUACUUUUUUGCACGUAAUAUUUCGAUUAUCUGCCUAAGUAUUGAAUGUAAUAAAUCAGCUUUGCAUUUUCUUGUCCAUUGAAAUUCUCUAGAUAGGAGAGCUCAAGAAACUGGUUGAAGAGGGUAAAAUAAAGUAUAUAGGUCUGUCUGAGUCCUCAGCUUCAACAAUUCGAAGAGCACAUGCUGUUCACCCAAUAACAGCUGUGCAGUUGGAGUGGUCAUUGUGGAGCAGAGAUGUCGAGGAGGAGAUUAUUCCCACUUGCAGGUAGUGCAUAUAUUCUGCUGCAUUUUCUACGUGGUCUAGAAGAAAUAUGAAGUUCUUAAUUCAGUUUUUGGUAUAAUCUUUCAGAGAGCUUGGAAUAGGGAUUGUUGCAUACAGUCCACUUGGAAGAGGAUUCUUCUCUUCAGGUCCAAAGCUGGUCGAGAAUUUGGCUGAAGGUGACUGCCGAAAGGUUUGUGCAUAUCCAAAACUAUGAAGUUUUUGAGUAUAGAUUGUUUAUAGUUCGAAUAAGUUUCUCACUCAUCUACUUUUACCACUUCAGUGACAAUCUUGCUUGAUAUCCCUAUUCUUGUCUAUCUGUCAUAUGUUGCUGCACUUUUUGAUGUCCAAUAAUUUGAUUAAGCCUUAUAAUAUGAUCACAUUUAAUCAAAUUUCUAUUAAGCAGAGCAAAUCAACAGGCUUUUUUUUUUUUCCUGUCGAACAAGUCUUGAGGUCUUUAGUUGAUUGAAUGAAUUCAGAUUUUGGUGUCCUCUGUAUUUAGUUCAAAUUAAAAGAUAUGGCGCUAGCUUUGUCAGAUUUUAGAUCUUAUAUUAAUUGAAGGUUGUUAUUGCAUGCUGGACAACAAUCACAAGCAAUCGAUAGUAUCGAAUUUUAAAGUGCAAAGAUGUCCUAAGACGUCAAAACAGGAAGAAACUAUGUCACUUUUUAUGUAAAAGUCUCUUUUCAGUUUUGAGGGGAAAUGGACCUUGGACUUCAAUUUCAUCAUUUAGUCUCAGGCACAGAAUUUCAUCAUUUUGUCCUGUGAAACUAUCAUUUUUCCUUUACCAUUAAUCCUAAAACUGAGUUUCAUUGGUCAGAAGUGUACUUCUUAGUACAAACAAUAGUUGAUAUGCAUUUUAAGGUUCCCCUUUGAUGGGAAAUGUAUCUCAGAACUUAACUCCAACAGUUGAUGUUUCCUACUUGGAUUAUUCAGUCCACCUUGAUGCAUUGUUCUUUGCCCUGAACUUGUGUCCUUCAAACAAUAUUGCUGAUCAUCUUGAAGUAAUGUACCGUCUGUUCAUUUCUCCCUUCUGAUUUCUUGCAUUAUAGUUUGCUCUUUAAUGGGAAAUGUAUCUCAUGAUCUACCUUCUACAAUUAAUGUUUCUUAAGAGUACUCAGUCCAGCUUACUGGAUUGUUCUUUCCCCUGAACUUUGUACACCUCAAACAAUACUAUUGAUCAUCUUGAAGUUAUUCAUAUUGUCUUCAUUUGUAGACGACACAUGCUUCACUUCCUUUUGCAUUUCUGGCGUUACAGUAGCAUAAAAUUUUGAAAUUCAUACAAUGUAGGGUAUGCCAAGGUUUCAAGCAGAGAAUUUGGAGCACAACAAGAACUUGUACGAGCAGGUCAAUGCCAUUGCUUCAAGGAAGGGUUGUACCCCAUCACAGCUAGCUUUGGCCUGGGUCCAUCACCAAGGCAAAGAUGUUUGCCCCAUACCUGGCACUACCAAGAUUGAGAACCUCGAUCAGAAUAUAGGAGCUUUGUCUGUGAAACUGUCGGCAGAGGAAAUGGCGGAACUUGAAUCUAUUGCUUCGGCUAUCAAGGGUGAGAGAUACGAGUCUGACGCUGGGCUUGGUACUUGGAAAACUUCUGAAACUCCGCCUUUGUCAACCUGGAAGCGGACAUGAAGACAUACCUUUGUUAUGGCAAUAAUUCCUUCUAGCUAUGUGCCUGAUGGUGGAUUUCACUAUAUUGAGAGUUGAGUGAUAUGUAAUUGUUCCAAUAAAUUUUGACAUACUAUUGUCUCUAGGGCUAUGUCAAGUAAAGUUAUAAGAAGAAUGGAGUAUCUUCAGAGAGGUUGUAAUAAAUAAAGAUCUGGUCAUGUAAAAGCAGAAUAUAAUCUUCCUUGCAGUUGAAUGCAUUAAGAGUUAUAUAUUGUACUUUUGAAUGAUAAAGUGGUCCAUUUUUUAUGUGCUACUGCUACGAGAGUUAUAGAUUGUUGAACAGCAUUCAAUUCAGGACUUAUUAAACAUAAGCAUAUAAACAUUUUAUUCUCGGAAUAUUUACAUCAAAAGAAACUCCAAGGUCACAUCAUUGUAAAGUGUAAACUAUAUCAUAUUAAUAAAAAGCAAAAAAAAUGUCUAAAUGAGGAAAAAAAUGUACUAUAGAAGAAGUCAACAAUGUCAUGUAAUCAUUUUAUCCUAAAAUUGAGAUUCAAAUUUAGUUGAUUUGUAUUUUGAGUUUCCUCUUUGAUGGGAAAUGUAUCUCAGAACUUUAACUCCAACAGUUGAUGUUUCCUACUUGGAGUACUCAGUCCACCUUGAUGCAUUGAUCUUUCCCCUGAACUUGUGCCCGUCAAACAAUAUUUCUGAUCAUCUUGAAGUAAUUAGUACCAUCUGUUCAUUACUCCCUUCUGAUUUCUUGCAUUAUAGUUUCCUCUUUAAUAGGAAAUGUAUGUCAAGAUCUACCUUCUACAAUUGAGAUUUCUUAGAGUACUCAGUCCACCUUACUAGAUUGUUCUUUUCCCUGAACUUUGUUCACUUCAAACAAUACUAUGAUCAUCUUGAAGUUAUUCGUAUUGUUGUCUUUUGUAGACGACACAUGCUUUACUGCCCUUUGAAUUUCUGCAUUGCAGUUGCUUAAAUUUUGAAAUUCCUACAAUGUAGAAUAUGCCAAGGUUACAAGUAGAGAAUUUUAGAAUUUUAAUCCAAAUGGCAUUACAUUCCAUUCAUAAUGACCAAAAGGGGUUGUGAAUGUUGUUUUAUAUCUAUCUUUUGGUGUUAUUAAUAUUUGCCAAUAUCCUGAUUUUAGAUCAAACUUUGAAAAGAUUUUUGCUUUAAAUAAUCUAUUAAGCAAAUCUUUUUUAUUAGGAAUUGAAUAUCUGAUCCAUUGUAAAACUUUAUUUAAUGGUUUGUAAUUUAUUACUGAAAAAAGAAACCACCAAAGACCUUCAAACAGAAAUUAAUGAUCUUAAAAUACAAGUAAAACAACUACAGCGAGAAAUUAUAGAAUUAAAAACAAAAGAUUUAGAAAUAGAAGCAAAAAUAACAUUAAUAGAAAAUCAACCUUCAACUUCCAAUUCUAAAACAGAAGAAAUAAGUAUAUCAGAAAGACCAACAGAUGAAAUUCAAUAUUUAAAUACAAUAGAGAAAAUGAUAUUUCAAAAAUGGUAUGCUUUAGUAACUAUUACAGUAGAAGAUUUCAAAGAAACAUAUGUACCUUUAAUAGAUAGUGGAGCUAAUUCAAGUUGUAUUAAAGAAGGAAUAAUUCCUACUAAAUAUUGUGAAAGAACAAAAGAAACAUUAAUGGCAGCAAAUGGAGAAAAUUUACAAGUAAAAUAUAAAUUUACAAAAGGAUCAAUAUGUAACAAUGAAUAUUGUAUUAAACAUAAUUUUAUAAUUGUAAAAAAUAUAAAUCAUGAUAUAAUAUUAGGAACACCUUUUUUAAUUCAAAUUUACCCAUUUCAGUAAGUCAUGAAGGAAUUUCAAUAAAUAUAAUGGGAAAAACUGUUAUUUUUAAAUUUCUAACUCCAAUAAAACAAAGAGAAUUACAGACAUUACAAACAUCUUCUAUUUACAAAACAAUAAAUAGUAUUACUAGAGUACAACAACAAAUAAAUUAUAUUAAGGAAGAAAAAUCUUAUUUAAAAAUUGAAGAACAAUUAAAAGAAAGUAAAAUAUUAAAAAUAAUCUCAGAAUUAGAAGAACUAUUAGAAAAAGAAAUUUGUGCAGAUAUUUCUAAUGUUUUUUGGGAUAGAAAACAACAUAUGACAGAAUUACCUUACGAAACAGGUUUUAAUGAAAAAAAUAUUCCAACUAAAGCAAGACCAAUACAAAUGAAUUCUGAUUUAUUAGAAUUUUGUAAAAAGGAAAUAAAGACAUUAAUAGAUAAAGGAUUAAUAACACCUUCAAAAUCACCUUGGAGUUGUGCUGCAUUUUAUGUAAUGAAUCAAGCUGAAAAAGAAAGAGGAGUUCCAAGAUUAGUAAUAAAUUACAAACCAUUAAAUAAAGUUUUACAAUGGAUCAGAUAUCCAAUUCCUAAUAAAAAAGAUUUGCUUAAUAGAUUAUUUAAAGCAAAAAUCUUUUCAAAUUUUGAUCUAAAAUCAGGAUAUUGGCAAAUAUUAAUAACACCAAAAGAUAGAUAUAAAACAGCAUUCACAACACCUUUUGGUCAUUAUGAAUGGAAUGUAAUGCCAUUUGGAUUAAAAAAUGCACCAUCAGAAUUUCAAAAUAUAAUGAAUAAUAUUUUUAAUCCUUAUAGUUCAUUCAGUAUAGUUUAUAUAGAUGAUGUAUUAAUAUAUUCGGACUCAUUAGAACAACAUUUUAGACAUUUAAAUAUAUUUUUAAAAAUAGUUAAGAAAAAUGGAUUAGUCGUGUCAGCACCAAAAAUGAAACUAUUCCAAACUAAAAUAAGAUUUUUAGGACAUGAUAUAUAUCAAGGAACGAUAAAACCAAUUAAUAGAGCUUUAGAAUUUGCUACUAAAUUUCCAGAUGAAAUAAAAGACAAAAAUCAAUUACAAAGGUUUUUAGGAUGCUUAAAUUAUAUAGCAGAUUUUUUCCAUAAAUUAAGACAAGAAUGUUCUAUAUUAUUUAAUAGACUAAAGAAAAACCCAAAACCUUGGACAGAAGAACAUACUCAAAAAAUAAAAUAUUUAAAAGAAAAAAUUGACUCAUUACCAUGUUUAUGUUUACCACAUCCUAAAGCAUUCAUGAUAGUUGAAACAGAUGCAUCAGAAUUAGGAUACGGGGGUAUAUUAAAACAAAGAAUAGAAGAAUCAAAAGAAAAAUUAGUUAGAUAUCAUUCAGGAACAUGGUCUGACUCUCAAAAGAAUUAUUCAACCAUUAAAAAGGAAAUUUUAUCAAUAGUUUUAUGCAUAUCAAAAUUUCAAAAUGAUUUAUAUAACAAAAAAUUUUUAAUUAGAAUAGAUUGUAAAUCUGCAAAAGAAAUUUUACAAAAAGAUGUUCAAAAUAUAGUUUCAAAACAAAUAUUUGCUAGAUGGCAAGCUAUUUUAUUUGUUUUUUAUUUUGAAAUUGAAUUUAUAAAAGGAGAAAAUAAUUCAUUACCAGAUUUUCUUACUAGAGAAUUUUUACAAGGACAUGGAUCGUGAAAUGAUGGCCCAAAGAACUGAUCGAGAAUAUACCAAUUACCUAAGAACUCAAAGAGAUUCUCCUAAACUAUUAAACAAAGAAGCAGCUUUUCAAUUCAGAGGAUAUCAAUAUUUUAUUCAGACCAGUAAUGGAAGACAAAGUAUUCCAGCCUAUCAAAUUUCCAAACAUGAUACAGUGUAUAUUCAGAAAAGCCAUUUCGCAACCCUUACACCAAAGGAGAGAGCUUUUCUCAUUCAAAGAGAAAUUCAGAGAAACACUAUCAGAAUUCAAGUCCUAAGGAGAUCAGGAAGAAAUGAGGAAUUUCUUCAACAUUACAAAGAUCAAAAUAAAUAAUUAUCUAAUCAACUUAAAGAUGUUGUUUAUUGAUUUUGCAGGAACAUGGAUUCAAAAGCAGGAAAUUCUAAACCCAAGACUCCUCAAGAUUAUGAGAUGAGUCUUACUCCUGUAAAUCAAAAUAGAUUUCAAUUAUUGCAAGAUUUUCCAGCAUUGACUUAUAGUCAAGCUGCUCAUACUCCAACUUCUUCCCAAAUAAGACCUCUUCAACAAAUUCUAAAAACCUCAGAAAAAUCUAAUGAAAACUCUUAUUUCACAAAGCCAUCUACUCAACAUAUCACUUUAACCAGAUUUCAAGAAAUACCGUUAUAUUCUACACUCAAUCAGCUUAUUCAAAGAAUCUUUCCACAAAAAUAUUAUUGGCAACUUGAUGACCCUUCAAAAAAUUUGGAUUAUUAUGAAUUAAUUCUUACAGAUACUCAAUCUGUAGAAAUAUUCCCCAUUCCAGAUAGAAAAAAUCUAAUUAGUCAUUCAAAAUGUAUAAUAAAGAAAGUUUGUUCUCCUAAUGAAUGGACUUCUCUUUAUUCAAAGAAAUCUUUUUCAGUCAGAUUUAUUCCAAAUAGAUUUACUUAUCAAGAUUACAAAAUGGCACGGUAUCGUGCUUUUUUGUAUAGACCAUUCAAUCAUUCGUGGUUCUUUACAUUCAAAGAAAGUUGCAGUAGAGAAUUCCCAAUUUGGUUCAAUCACUGGUGGAAAUGGUUUGGCCAUCAACCAGAAAUUCUACCUCCAAAUGUUCUUAUGGGAUUCCAAACUUAUCUCAAAAAAGCAAAGGGGGAGGAGUAUACAAGGCCAAUACUAUUCCAUAUGUAAUUCAAAGUACCAUGGAUUUUUUGCUGGAGUUUCAAGAUUCAUCAAGAAUUAGAAAAAUCACUCCCAAUGUCUCUAGUCAGAGAAUUCAAAAUCAAAUGGUGGAUAGGAUUUAAUCAAGAAUUUGGAGAUCAGGCAAAUGUGAUAAGAUUUUUAACAACCGGAGACAAACUCAAAUGGACAAGUCAGCCAACCACUUCAACCACUUCAACAAUUAUGCCAACCACUUCAACAACUAUGCCAACCACUCCAACCAUUCCAAAAAAGAAAGAUAAAGAAAAAGUUAUGGUAUCUGAGGUAAUUACAAACGACUUUUUGAAGAAAAAGAUGAUGCAGAAUCCCGAGAUGCUUAAAGAAUAUUUUGACUAUUUACAAAAGCAGGAUAAGAAUGAAGAAACCGACAAAAUUGAUGAGUCGGCUGGAUCAUUCGAAUCUACUUUUGAUCCUUUCGGGGGACCAUGCGGACAAGACCCAAAUGACUUUUGAAAAAAGAUGUCGGCCAUAUUUCAAAGAAAGGCAAAUGAAAUUCAAAUGAAAAUGAAAUGCAAGAACAGAUGAUUCUAUAAAUAGAUUCAAGAUCAGAAAACAAAGCAUCGGUGAAAAAAGAGAACAAAACCUUCCCGUGUAAAAAUCCUUAGAAAAAUCUCCCAAUCUCUCUUAUUCAACUACUCUUGUAUUCAACUACUUUUGCUUCCUUCUUCAAAUAUUUUAAUAAGAAGUGCAAGGAUUCAACAAAUAUCAAGCUUCCGUUAUCAAAGGCAACUCUAAAUUUUCAGUAAGUCUAAUCGUUUAAUUUCUAUGAACAUUUCAAUAGAAAGGAACCUGGGUAGAAGUGGUAUCAGAGCCACAUAGACGUGCAUAUUUAAACUUUGUUAUUACAAUUACUUCAUUUGAAUUAUUUUCUAUUUUGAUUUGGCUAAUUCAUGCAUUUAUGUUUACGUAUUUUAUUAAACUUUUACUGAAAUCAUUGGUAAGACUUUGAUGCCUUGUUAGACCGUUGGUAAGUCCAGGGUAGGAUGUUCCCAGCAUAGUGCUCAAUUGUUCCGGAUUAGGUAAAAAUUUAAUUAAUAUUAAACAUGGCUGCAUUUCUUAGACAAUUAAAAAUAGGAUCUAAUUCAAAGCAAACUAAUGUAGUACAAAGUCAUGAAUAUCAUAUGCCCAUAAAUAAUUCAGAUUGGACAAUUUCAGAAGAAAAAAUAGAACAUAUUUAUCGAAUAGGCCCUUUAGAUUUCAAAACAACUUUAUCAGUAAAAACACAUGAAGAAACAAUAUAUAUUCAAGAAGAAUAUCAAUCCAUUCCAUUAUUAAAUCAUAGUACAAUUCAAAGAUAUUUAAGUAAAGGAUAUCGAUAUAUUCAUAUAGGUUUGAUACAAAUUGCAGUAAAACCUUUAUUCCAUUUAGGAGUAGAUGCUCCUAUAUAUUUAGCAUUAAGAGAUACUAGACUCAAAAGAUAUAAAACUUCUUUACUUUCUAUGAUUCAAACUAAUGUAUGCAAUGGACCCAUAUAUUUUAACUGUGCUCCAAAUUUCUCAAUAGAUCUAACAGACCCACACAUUCUGAAUUCAGUCAUAUUAGAUAUUCACCUACAAGAAAAUGAAUUUGAAAAACAUACAAAGAAUUUUACAAUAAUAUAUAGAAUAUAUUAUAGACCCCUAUCUUCACAUUUAAAUCCUAAAUUUAUAAUGACUCCAACUCUUAAAGAAGAAACAACUUUAUUACAAGUAGAUGCAGAUAGACCCACAACUUAUAUUCCAAAAAGACUAAAAUGGAAUGAAAUAACUAUACUUAGUGAAUUUGAAAUUAAAAAUCCACAAAAAACAAGAAAUAUAGAACAAACCACUGCAGAAGAUAUUAUAGAGAAAUUUGAUGGUAAUACUUUAAUAAGAUUUUCAUCAUUAAGAAAAAAAUCUGAUUCAACUUAUUCUUGGCUACCAGCUAGACAUUCUAAUUAUGAAUCAACUGAAAUUAAUUUUUCUUUAGAAAGUACCUCAAAUUUUAAGUAUAAAACUCCUAUUCCAGAAGUUAUAAAUCAAAAUCAAUCAGAAUAUUCUCCAACCCAUUCACAAAUGAAAGGAGAAAUAAAUGUUAUAAAUAAAUCAUAUAAAAUAAAUCAUAAAUAUUUACAAGAAGAUUUUGAAGAUAAAGAAAAUACUGAAAAAAGAAUUUGAUUUUUUCAACUAGAAUCUGAAUAUAAAAGAAAAUUAAUUCUAGAAUGGAAAAGUGAAUUAGAAAAGCAAAAAUUUGAUUUCCCUUUCUUCACUUGGUUAUCAUACUAUACUGAAAAAAUAAGAAUAAAUGAUAUAUAUAAUACACCUCAAAUAAAUGUUCAAACUAAUUUAUACAAAAAAUGGAAAUUAAAAGAUGAUCAAAUAAUAACAUCUAUACAUCCUCCGUUACAAGAAGUAAAAAUUAAUAUAGGACAAGGAGAUAUAAUAGUCUCACUUUUUAAAAAGGGUAGAGAAGCUGAAUCGAAUUCAAAUAAUACAAUAAAUUUAGAAGAUAUUAAAAAGGUUUAUCAACAAAAUAAUUAUACCAAUCAAAUUCUUCAUACAAUUUCUCAACAUAUGGAAGUAUUAAAUGCAAAAAUAGAUACCAUAAAGAAACUAGAAUUAAAAUUCCCUAAUGAUAUUUCAGCACCUCAUUUUCAACCUAGAAGUUUGACAAGAGAAAAAGAACAAGAUUUAGUUCAAAAUAUUAAUAAUCAAAAAAUAAAUAAUACAUACAAUAUAUUAAAUAAAAUAUCUCAGGCAUUACAAAACUUAAAUAUAGAAGUAAAACCUCCAACACCUAGGAUAAAUGUUUUAGAUCAAAUAAUAGAAGAAAGUUCAUCAGAAAAAUUAGACAAUUCAUCUGAAGAAUCAAUAAAUUCAGAAAUGGAAGAAAAUAUAAUUUUACCAAUAGAAAAAUAAUUUGAAAAAAAAGAAAAUAAUCAAAUAAAUAAAAUAAGAAGAAAAAGAAUUUACAAUAAAAAUAAUAAAGAUUGGAAAAUGAUAAGUAAUAGAAAUUAUUAUCCAAGACCUAGUCCUCCAGACAUUCAAUAUGAAGAAAGAUCAAAAUUUCGUACCACUAAAUAUGAUGGAGAUUCAAUAUAUGAAUAGAACAUAGAUGGCAAAGCAGAAUAUGAAGUAUUAAAUAAUUUAUAAGAAAUGGGAAUGGCUAGAUUAGCUUAUAAAAUUAAAAAUAUUCAAGAAAGAAAUAUUGCAACAUUAUUAGUUUCAGGAUUUACUGGACAAUUAAAAAAUUGGUGGGAUAAUGCUUUAACAUUACAAGAUAAAUUAUCAAUACUAGAUCAUACACAAGAAAUUGAAGGUGAUCAAGGAAAUAUUCAAAUACAAUCAGAUGCUGCAGAAUUUCUAAUUGUAACAAUAGUAAUGUAUUUUAUAGGAAACCCAAAAGAGGAAUUAAACUCUAAUAAAACAUUUCUAACAAAUUUAAGAUGUCCAACAUUAUCAGACUUUAGAUGGUAUAAAGAUAUGUUUUUAACUAAUGUAUUAAGAAGACCAGAUUGCAAUGCUUCAUUUUGGAAAGAAAGAUUCAUAACAGGAUUACCAAACUUAUUUUCACAAAGAAUAAUGGAUAAUUUACAAAAGAAAAUGGGAACAAAUGUAAUUUCAUUCGAAAAUAUUACUUUUGGACAAUUAUUUGCUUUUGUGAAAAAAGAAGGAUUAAUGUUAUGUUCAGAAUUAAAAUUACAAAUAAAAUAUGGUUCAAAAACAAAAGAAGUAAGAUCAUUUUGUGAUGCAUUUGGAAUUAAAAGAAUUAAAUUACCAUCUGCAUAUAAAAAGAAAGUUAAAAAAUAUAAUAAGAAAAUAAGAUACAAAAGAUCUAAAGAAGAUAAACCAGAAAAGAAGAAAAGAUUUAUUAAGAACAAAAUAGUCUGUUACAAAUGCGGAAAAAUAGGCCAUAAAGCAAACAAAUGUAAAUUAAAAGAAAAAAUUAAGGAGAUUUGUACACAAGACGAAGAAAUUAAAAACAAAUUAAUAAAUUUAUUAAUAAAUGAAAAAGAUUAAAGUUCUGAAGAUGAUUAUUAUAAUGAUAUAUCUAGUUCAGAAAGUGAAGAAAAUUGUAAUUGUGCUAAUACUUCAAAAUACAUAAAUAUUAUAACUAAAAAAGAGAAUAAAGAAUUUUUAUUAGAUAUAAUAGAAAAAAUUGAUGACCCAAUAGCUAAAAAAGAAUAUUUAGAAAGAUUAAAAAGUCUAAUUAUACAAGAAGACAAAAUGCCAAAGAUAAUAGAACCUUUUAGUAUUUCUAAAUUAAUAGAUAAAUAUCCAAACAUAAAUAUAAUGAAAAAAGAAACCACCAAAGACCUUCAAACAGAAAUUAAUGAUCUUAAAAUACAAGCAAAAUAACUACAGCGAGAAAUUAUAGAAUUAAAAACAAAAAAUUUAGAAAUAGAAGCAAAAAUAACAUUAAUAGAAAAUCAACCUUCAACUUCCAAUUCUAAAACAGAAGAAAUAAGUAUAUCAGAAAAACCAACAGAUGAAAUUCAAUAUUUAAAUACAAUAGAGAAAAUGAUAUUUCAAAAAUGGUAUGCUUUAGUAACUAUUACAGUAGCAGAUUUCAAAGAAACAUAUGUACCUUUAAUAGAUAGUGGAGCUGAUUCAAGUUGUAUUAAAGAAGGAAUAAUUCCUACUAAAUAUUGUGAAAGAACAAAAGAAACAUUAAUGGCAGCAAAUGGAGAAAAUUUACAAGUAAAAUAUAAAUUUACAAAAGGAUCAAUAUGUAACAAUGAAUAUUGUAUUAGACAUAAUUUUAUAAUUGUAAAAAAUAUAAAUCAUGAUAUAAUAUUAGGAACACCUUUUUUAAUUCAAAUUUACCCAUUUUCAGUAAGUUAUGAAGGAAUUUCAAUAAAUAUAAUGGGAAAAACUGUUAUUUUUAAAUUUCUAACUCCAAUAAAACAAAGAGAAUUACAGACAUUACAAACAUCUUCUAUUUACAAAACAAUAAAUAGUAUUACUAGAGUACAACAACAAAUAAAUUAUAUUAAGGAAGUAAAAUCUUAUUUAAAAAUUGAAGAACAAUUAAAAGAAAGUAAAAUAUUAAAAAGAAUCUCAGAAUUAGAAUAACUAUUACAAAAAGAAAUUUGUGCAGAUAUUCCUAAUGCUUUUUGGGAUAGAAAACAACAUAUGAUAGAAUUACCUUACGAAACAGGUUUUAAUGAAAAAAAUAGUCCAACUAAAGCAAGACCAAUACAAAUGAAUUCUGAUUUAUUAGAAUUUUGUAAAAAGGAAAUAAAGACAUUAAUAGAUAAAGGAUUAAUAACACCUUCAAAAUCACCUUGGAGUUGUGCUGCAUUUUAUGUAAUGAAUCAAACUGAAAAAGAAAGAGGAGUUCCAAAGGUGCUGCAAGGCGCGCAAAUAAGUGCAGAAGAAUACGAGAUUAUGAAGGACCUGAUUAUUCCACUUGGUAGAGUUCCUCAAUUUGCGAUGCAGUGUGGCGCUUAAAUUGUGACUAAAUAGCUUCCCUCAACUCCGUCGCCCAUUUUGCUCGUCGGGAUUCUCUAAUGGGGUUGCUGCUGGAAAAUUUACCUGCUGGAAAUUUAAUGUUCGUACACUUCUUUUUGGUUCUUCCGAGUUGAAAUUCCUCUGUCUAGGUAAGAUAACCUUACCAGCCCCUCCUUUGCUCCGGAUCCCUGAGGCGUCAAUUUGAAUUGUGAACCUCUUCAAUGAGAGACGACACAAGAAAUGGGUGGAUUUAAUCUGUUUGAGUUUCCACUUAAAAAUCAUCCUGUAUGUUGCAGAUGGCACAAGCUUAGCCAUGGCGAUGAAGGAAUAAUUAGCAAAAAGUAACAGAUGAAGGAAUAAUUAGCAGGAGGGUUCCGAAAUUACUCCCUUUGAGAAACACAUAUUUUGGCUUGUUCUCAGUUCAUUUAUAUAUAUAUAUAUAUAUAUAUAUAUAUAUAUAUAUAUAUAUAUAUAUAUAUAUAUAUAUCUUUGCUGGGCUCUAAACUUUUGGUGUAAAAAAUUUAAAAUCAAUCCAACAGCCCCAAAUUGGGUAUUUGUUUUUCAAUUUAUAUUCAAUUACAGACAUUUUUUAGUUUCAUGUCCUGGAGUCUUAGCCCAGCAGUUGACAAUAAUGUAAAGGAUAUGAUAUUGAAAAAAAAAAAAGAGGAGUUCCAAGAUUAGUAAUAAAUUACAAACCAUUAAAUAAAGUUUUACAAUGGAUCAGAUAUCCAAUUCCUAAUAAAAAAGAUUUGCUUAAUAGAUUAUUUAAAGCAAAAAUCUUUUCAAAGUUUGAUCUAAAAUCAGGAUAUUGGCAAAUAUUAAUAAUACCAAAAGAUAGAUAUAAAACAGCAUUCACAACACCUUUUGGUCAUUAUGAAUGGAAUGUAAUGCCAUUUGGAUUAAAAAAUGCACCAUCAGAAUUUCAAAAUAUAAUGAAUGAUAUUUUUAAUCCUUAUAGUUCAUUCAGUAUAGUUUAUAUAGAUGAUGUAUUAAUAUAUUCGGACUCAUUAGAACAACAUUUUAGACAUUUAAAUAUAUUUUUAAAAAUAGUUAAGAAAAAUGGAUUAGUCGUAUCAGCACCAAAAAUGAAACUAUUCCAAACUAAAAUAAGAUUUUUAGGACAUGAUAUAUAUCAAGGAACGAUAAAACCAAUUAAUAGAGCUUUAGAAUUUGCUACUAAAUUUUCAGAUGAAAUAAAAGACAAAAAUCAAUUACAAAGGUUUUUAAGAUGCUUAAAUUAUAUAGCAGAUUUUUUCCCUAAAUUAAGACAAGAAUGCUCUAUAUUAUUUAAUAGACUAAAGAAAAACCCAAAACUUUGGACAAAAGAACAUACUCAAAAAAUAAAAUAUUUAAAAGAAAAAAUUGACUCAUUACCAUAUUUAUGUUUACCACAUCCUAAAGCAUUCAUGAUAGUUGAAACAGAUGGAUCAGAAUUAGGAUAUGGGGGUAUAUUAAAACAAAGAAUAGAAAAAUCAAAAGAAGAAUUAGUUAGAUAUCAUUCAGGAAUAUGGUCUGACCCUCAAAAGAAUUAUUCAACCAUUAAAAAGAAAAUUUUAUCAAUAGUUUUAUGCAUAUCAAAAUUUCAAGAUGAUUUAUAUAACAAAAAUUUUUUAAUUAGAAUAGAUUGUAAAUCUGCAAAAGAAAUUUUACAAAAAGAUGUUCAAAAUAUAGUUUCAAAACAAAUAUUUGCUUGAUGGAAAGCUAUUUUAUCUGUUUUUGAUUUUGAAAUAGAAUUUAUAAAAGGAGAAAAUAAUUCAUUACCAGAUUUUCUUACUAGAGAAUUUUUACAAGAACAUGGAUCGUGAAAUGAUGGCCCAAAGAACUGAUCGAGAAUAUACCAAUUACCUAAGAACCCAAAGAGAUUCUCCUAAACUAUUAAACAAAGAAGCAGUUCUUCAAUCCAAAAGAUAUCAAUGGGGGUAUAUUAAAACAAAAAAUAGAAGAAUCAAAAGAAGAAUUAGUUAGAUAUCAUUCAAGAAUAUGGUCUGACCCUCAAAAGAAUUAUUCAACCAUUAAAAAGGAAAUUUUAUCAAUAGUUUUAUGCAUAUCAAAAUUUCAAGAUGAUUUAUAUAACAAAAAAAUUUUAAUUAGAAUAGAUUGUAAAUCUGCAAAAGAAAUUUUACAAAAAGAUGUUCAAAAUAUAGUUUCAAAAUAAAUAUUUGCUAGACGGCAAGCUAUUUUAUCUGUUUUUUAUUUUGAAAUAAAAUUUAUAAAAGGAGAAAAUAAUUCAUUACCAGAUUUUCUUACUAGAGAAUUUUUACAAGGACAUGGAUCGUGAAAUGAUGGCCCAAAGAACUGAUCGAGAAUAUACCAAUUACCUAAGAACUCAAAGAGAUUCUCCUAAACUAUUAAACAAAGAAGCAGCUUUUCAAUUCAGAGGAUAUCAAUAUUUUAUUCAGACCAGUAAUGGAAGACAAAGUAUUCCAGCCUAUCAAAUUUUCAACAUGAUACAGUGUAUAUUCAGAAAAGCCAUUUCGCAACCCUUACACCAAAGGAGAGAGUUUUUCUCAUUCAAAGAGAAAUUCAGAGAAACACUAUCAGAAUUCAAGUCCUAAGGAGAUCAGGAAGAAAUGAGGAAUUUCUUCAACAUUACAAAGAUCAAAAUAAACAAUUAUCUAAUCAACUUAAAGAUGUUGUUUAUUGAUUUUGCAGGAAUAUGGAUUCAAAAGCAGGAAAUUCUAGACCCAAGACUCCUCAAGAUUAUGAGAUGAGUCUUACUCCUGUAAAUCAAAAUAGAUUCCAAUUAUUGCAAGAUUUUCCAGCAUUGACUUAUAGUCAAACUGCUCGUACUCCAAUUUCUUCCCAAAUAAGACCUCUUUAACAAAUUCCAAAAACCUCAGAAAAAUCUAAUGAAAACUCUUAUUUCACAAAACCAUCUACUCAACAUAUCACUUUAACCAGAUUCCAAGAAAUACCGUUAUAUUCUACACUCAAUCAGCUUAUUCAAAGAAUCUUUCUACAAAAAUGUUAUUGGCAACCUGAUGACCCUUCAAAAAAUUUGAAUUAUUAUGAAUUAAUUCUUACUGAUACUCAAUCUGUAAAAAUAUUCCCCACUCCAGAUAGAAAAAAUCUAAUUAGUCAUUCAAAAUGUAUAAUAAAGAAAGUUUGUUCUCCUAAUGAAUGGACUUCUCUUUAUUCAAAGAAAUUUUUCUCAGUCAGAUUUAUUCCAGAUGGAUUUACUUAUCAAGAUUACAAAAUGGCAUGGUAUCGUGCUUUUUUAUAUAGACCAUUCAAUCAUUCGUGGUUCUUUACAUUCAAAGAAAGUUGCAGCAGAGAAUUCCCAAUUUGGUUCAAUCACUGGUGGAAAUGGUUUGGCCCUCAACCAGAAAUUCUACCUCUAAAUAUUCUUAUGGGAUUCCAAACUUAUCUCAAAAAAGCAAAGGGGAAGGAGUAUACAAGACCAAUACUAUUCCAUAUGGAAUUCAAAAUACCAUGGAUUUUUUGCUGGAGUUUCAAGAUUCAUCAAGAAUUAGAAAAAUCACUCCCAAUGUCUCUAGUCAGAAAAUUCAAGAUCAAAUGGUGGAUAGGAUUUAAUCAAGAAUUUGGAGAUCAGGCAAAUGUGAUAAGAUUUCUAACAACCGGAGACAAACUCAAGUGGACAAGUCAGCCAACCACUUCAACCACUCCAACAACUAUGCCAACCACUUCAACAACUAUGCCAACCACUCCAACCAUUCCAAAAAAGAAAGAUAAAGAAAAAGUUAUGGUAUCCGAGACAAUUACAAACGACUUUUUGAUGAAAAAGAUGAUGCAGAAUCCCGAGAUGCUUAAAGAAUAUUUUGACUAUUUACAAAAGUAUGAUAAGAAUAAAGAAAUCGACAAAAUUGAUGAGUCAGCUGGAUCAUCCGAAUCUACUUUUGAUCCUUUCGGGGGACCAUGCGGACAAGACCCAAAUGACUUUUGAAAAAAGAUGUCGGCCAUAUUUCAAAGAAAGGCAAAUGAAAUUCAAAUGAAGAUGAAAUACAAGAACAGAUGAUUCUAUAAAUAGAUUCAAGAUCAGAAAACAAAGCAUCGGUGAAAAAAGAGAACAAAACCUUCCCGUGUAAAAAUCCUUAGAAAAAUCUCCUAAUCUCUCUUAUUCAACUACUCUUGUAUUCAACUACUUUUGCUUCCUUCUUCAAAUAUUUUAAUAAGAAGUGCAAGGAUUCAACAAACAUCAAGCUUCCGUUAUCAAAGGCAACUCUAAAUUUUCAGUAAGUCUAAUCGUUUAAUUUCUAUGAACAUUUCAAUAGAAAGUAACCUGGGUAAAAGUGGUAUCAGUGCCACAUAGACGUGCAUAUUUAAACUUUGUUAUUACAAUUACUUCAUUUGAAUUAUUUUCUAUUUUGAUUUGGCUAAUUCAUGCAUUUAUGUUUACGUAUUUUAUUAAACUUUUACUGAAAUCAUUGGUAAGACUUUGAUGCCUUGUUAGACCGUUGGUAAGUCCAGAGUAGGAUGUUCCCGGCAUAGUGCUCAGUUGUUUCUGAUCAGGUAAAAAUUUAAUUAAUAUUAAACAUGGCUGCAUUUCUUAGACAAUUAAAAAUAGGAUCUAAUUCAAAGCAAGCUAAUGUAGUACAAAAUCAUGAAUAUCAUAUGCCCAUAAAUAAUUCAGAUUGGACAAUUCCAGAAGAAAAAAUAGAACAUAUUUAUCGAAUAGGCCCUUUAGAUUUCAAAACAGCUUUAUCAGUAAAAACACAUGAAAAAACAAUAUCUAUUCAAGAAGAAUAUCAAUCCAUUCCAUUAUUAAAUCAUAGUACAAUUCAAAUAUAUUUAAGUAAAGGAUAUCGAUAUAUUCAUAUAGGUUUGAUACAAAUUACAGUAAAACCUUUAUUCCAUUUAGGAGUAGAUGCUCCUAUAUAUUUAGCAUUAAGAGAUACUAGACUCAAAAGAUAUAAAACUUCUUUACUUUCUAUGAUUCAAACUAAUGUAUGCAAUGGACCCAUAUAUUUUAACUGUACUCCAAAUUUCUCAAUAGAUCUAACAGACCCACACAUUCUGAAGUCAGUCAUAUUAGAUAUUCACCUACAAGGAAAUCAAUUUGAAAAACAUACAAAGAAUUUUGCAAUAAUAGAUAGAAUAUAUUAUAGACCCCUAUCUUCACAUUUAAAUUCUAAAUUUAUAAUGACUCCAACUCUUAAAGAAGAAACAACUUUAUUACAAGUAGAUGCAGAUAGACCCACAACUUAUAUUCCAAAAAGACUAAAAUGGAAUGAAAUAAAUAUACCUAGUGAAUUUGAAAUUAAAAAUCCACAAAAAGCAAGAAAUAUAGAACAAACCACUGCAGAAGAUAUUAUAGAAAAACCUGAUGGUAAUACUUUAAUAAGAUUUUCAUCAUUAAGAGAAAAAUCUGAUUCAACUUAUUCUUGGCUACCAGCUAGACAUUCUAAUUAUGAAUCAACUGAAAUUAAUUUUCCUUUAGAAAGUAUCUCAAAUUUUAAGUAUAAAACUCCUAUUCCAGAAGUUAUAAAUCAAAAUCAAUCAGAAUAUUCUCCAAUCCAUUCACAAAUGAAAGGAGAAAUAAAUGUUAUAAAUAAACCAUAUAAAAUAAAUCAUAAAUAUUUACAAGAAGAUUUUGAAGAUAAAGAAAAUACUGAAAAAAGAAUUUGGUUUUUUCAACUAGAAUCUGAAUAUAAAAGAAAAUUAAUUCUAGAAUGGAAAAGUGAAUUAGAAAAGCAAAAAUUUGAUUUCCCUUUCUUCACUUGGUUAUCAUACUAUACUGAAAAAAUAGGAAUAAAUGAUAUAUAUAAUACACCUCAAAUAAAUGUUCAAACCAUUUAUACAAAAAAUGAAAAUUAAAAGAUGAUCAAAUAAUAACAUCUAUACAUCCUCCAUUACAAGAAAUAAAAAUUAAUAUAGGACAAGGAGAUAUAAUAGCCUCACCUUUUAAAAAGGGUAGAGAAGCUGAAUCGAGUUCAAAUAAUACAAUAAAUUUAGAAGAUAUUAAAAAGGUUUAUCAACAAAAUAAUUAUACCAAUCAAAUUCUUCAUACAAUUUCUCAACAUAUGGAAGUAUUAAAUGCAAAAAUAGAUACCAUAAAGAAACCAGAAUUAAAAUUCUCUAAUGAUAUUUCAGCACCUCAUUUUCAACUUAGAAGUUUGACAAGAGAAAAAGAACAAGAUUUGGUUCAAAAUAUUAAUAAUAAAAAAAUAAAUAAUACAGACAAUAUAUUAAAUAAAAUAUCUCAAGCAUUACAAAACUUAAAUACAGAAGUAAAACCUCCAAACUAAAAUAAGAUUUUUAGGACAUGAUAUAUAUCAAGGAACGAUAAAACCAAUUAAUAGAGCUUUAGAAUUUGCUACUAAAUUUUCAGAUGAAAUAAAAGACAAAAAUCAAUUACAAAGGUUUUUAAGAUGCUUAAAUUAUAUAGCAGAUUUUUUCCCUAAAUUAAGACAAGAAUGUUCUAUAUUAUUUAAUAGACUAAAGAAAAACCCAAAACCUUGGACAGAAGAACAUACUCAAAAAAUAAAAUAUUUAAAAGAAAAAAUUGACUCAUUACCGUGUUUAUGUUUACCACAUCCUAAAGCAUUCAUGAUAGUUGAAACAGAUGCAUCAGAAUUAGGAUAUGGGGGUAUAUUAAAACAAAGAAUAGAAGAAUCAAAAGAAGAAUUAGUUAGAUAUCAUUCAUUAUAUUUUGAAAUUCUGAUGGUGCAUUUUUUAAUCCAAAUGGCAUUACAUUCCAUUCAUAAUGACCAAAAGGUGUUGUGAAUGUUGUUUUAUAUCUAUCUUUUAGUGUUAUUAAUAUUUGCCAAUAUCCUGAUUUUAGAUCAAACUUUGAAAAGAUUUUUGCUUUAAAUAAUCUAUUAAGCAAAUAUUUUUUAUUAGGAAUUGGAUAUCUGAUCCAUUGUAAAACUUUAUUUAAUGGUUUGUAAUUUAUUACUAAUCUUGGAACUCCUCUUUCUUUUUCAGCUUGAUUCAUUACAUAAAAUGCAGCACAACUCCAAGGUGAUUUUGAAGGUGUUAUUAAUCCUUUAUCUAUUAAUGAAUUUAUUUCCUUUUUACAAAAUUCUAAUAAAUCAGAAUUCAUUUGUAUUGGUCUUGCUUUAGUUGGAAUAUUUUUAUCAUUAAAACCUGUUUCGUAAGGUAAUUCUAUCAUAUGUUGUUUUCUAUCCCAAAAAACAUUAGGAAUAUCUGCACAAAUUUCUUUUUGUUAUAGUUAUUCUAAUUCUGAGAUUCUUUUUAAUAUUUUACUUUCUUUUAAUUGUUCUUCAAUUUUUAAAUAAGAUUUUUCUUCCUUAAUAUAAUUUAUUUGUUGUUGUACUCUAGUAAUACUAUUUAUUGUUUUGUAAAUAGAAGAUGUUUGUAAUGUCUGUAAUUCUCUUUGUUUUAUUGGAGUUAGAAAUUUAAAAAUAACAGUUUUUCCCAUUAUAUUUAUUGAAAUUCCUUCAUGACUUACUGAAAAUGGGUAAAUUUGAAUUAAAAAAGGUGUUCCUAAUAUUAUAUCAUGAUUUAUAUUUUUUACAAUUAUAAAAUUAUGUCUAAUACAAUAUUCAUUGUUACAUAUUGAUUCUUUUGUAAAUUUAUAUUUUACUUGUAAAUUUUCUCCAUUUGUUGCCAUUAAUGUUUCUUUUGUUCUUUCACAAUAUUUAGUAGGAAUUAUUCCUUCUUUAAUACAACUUGAAUCAGCUCCACUAUCUAUUAAAGCUACAUAUGUUUCUUUGAAAUCUUCUACUGUAAUAGUUACUAAAGCAUACCAUUUUUGAAAUAUCAUUUUCUCUAUUGUAUUUAAAUAUUGAAUUUCAUCUGUUGGUCUUUCUGAUAUACUUAUUUCUUCUGUUUUAGAAUUGGAAGUUGAAGGUUGAUUUUCUAUUAAUGUUAUUUUUGCUUCUAUUUCUAAAUCUUUUGUUUUUAAUUCUAUAAUUUCUCGCUGUAGUUGUUUUACUUGUAUUUUAAGAUAAUUAAUUUCUGUUUGAAGGUCUUUGGUGGUUUCUUUUUUCAUUAUAUUUAUGUUUGGAUAUUUAUCUAUUAAUUUAGAAAUACUAAAAGAUUCUAUUAUCUUUGGCAUUUUGUCUUCUUGUAUAAUUAGACUUUUUAAUCUUUCUAAAUAUUCUUUUUUAGCUAUUGGGUCAUCAAUUUUUUCUAUUAUAUCUAAUAAAAAUUCUUUAUCCUCUUUUUUAGUUAUAACAUUUAUGUAUUUUGAAGUAUUAGCACAAUUAUAAUUUUCUUCACUUUCUGAACUAGAUAUAUCAUUAUAAUAAUCAUCUUUAGAACUUUGAUCUUUUUCAUUUAUUAAUAAAUUUAUUAAUUUAUUUUUAAUUUCUUCGUCUUGUGUACAAAUCUCCGUAAUUUUUUCUUUUAAUUUAUAUUUGUUUGCUUUAUGUCCUAUUUUUCCGCAUUUGUAAUAGACUAUUUUGUUCUUAAUAAAUCUUUUCUUCUUUUCUGGUUUAUCUUCUUUAGAUCUUUUGUAUCUUAUUUUCUUAUUAUAUUUUUUAACUUUCUUUUUAUAUGCAGAUGGUAAUUUAAUUCUUUUAAUUCCAAAUGCAUCACAAAAUGAUCCUACUUCUUUUAUUUUUGAACCAUAUUUUAUUUGUAAUUUUAAUUCUGAACAUAACAUUAAUCCUUCUUUUUUCACAAAAGCAAAUAAUUGUCCAAAAGUAAUAUUUUCGAAUGAAAUUACAUCUGUUCCCAUUUCCCUUUGUAAAUUAUCCAUUAUUCUUUGUGAAAAUAAACUUGGUAAUCCUAUUAUGAAUCUUUCUUUCCAAAAUGAAGCAUUGCAAUCUGGUCUUCUUAAUACAUUAGUUAAAAACAUAUCUUUAUACCAUCUAAAGUUUGAUAAUGUUGGACAUCUUAAAUUUGUUAGAAAUGUUUUAUUAGAGUUUAAUUCCUCUUUUGGGUUUCCUAUAAAAUACAUUACUAUUGUUACAAUUAGAAAUUCUGCAGCAUCUGAUUGUAUUUGAAUAUUUCCUUGAUCAUCUUCAAUUUCUUGUGUAUGAUCUAGUAUUGAUAAUUUAUCUUGUAAUGUUAAAGCAUUAUCCCACCAAUUUUUUAAUUGUCCAGUAAAUCCUGAAACUAAUAAUGUUGCAAUAUUUCUUUCUUGAAUAUUUUUAAUUUUAUAAGCUAAUCUAGCCAUUCCCAUUUCUUGUAAAUUAUUUAAUACUUCAUAUUCUGCUUUGCCAUCUAUGUUCCAUUCAUAUAUUGAAUCUCCAUCAUAUUUAGUGGUACGAAAUUUUGAUCUUUCUUCAUAUUGAAUGUCUGGAGGACUAGGUUUUGGAUAAUAAUUUCUAUUACUUAUCAUUUUCCAAUCUUUAUUAUUUUUAUUAUAAAUUCUUUUUCUUCUUAUUUUAUUCAUUUGAUUGGUAUAAUUAUUUUGUUGAUAAACCUUUUUAAUAUCUUCUAAAUUUAUUGUAUUAUUUUAACUCGAUUCAAGUCAAUGCCAUUGCUUCAAGGAAGAGUUGUACUCCAUCACAGCAAGCAUUGGCCUGGGUCCAUCACCAAGGCAAUGAUGUUUGUCCCAUACCUGGCACUACCAAGAUUGAGAACCUCUAUCAGAAUAUAGGAGCUUUGUCUGUAAAACUGUCAGCAGAAGAUAUGGCUGAACUUGAAUCUAUUGCAUCAGCUGGAGUCAAGGGUGAUAGAUAUGAUCCUGGCCGUGGUACUUGGCGAACUCCUGAAACUCAUGAAGACAUACCUUUGUUGAGGCAUUAAUUCCUUCUAGCAUUCUACCUGUUGGUGAUUUCACUGUAUUGAGAGUUGAGCGAGUUGUAUUUGUUCCAAAAACUUCGUCAUACUAUUGUCUCGAGGGUUAAGACACGUAAAGUUUUAAGAAAAUGGUGUUUCUUUAGAGUGCUUGUAAUGAAUAAAGAUCUGGUCAUGUAAAAGUAGAAGCCAACAUACCAACAAUGUCAUUGUAAACUACAUCAUACCAACAAAAAGUAGAAAAUGGUCUAAAGUGAAUAAGAAAUCAACAAAAACUAUGUAAGCACCAAUGGAAAGCAGAAAAGUUCUUGAUACCAUAGUAAACACCAAUGGAAAGCUAAAAAGUUCUCGACGCCAUAGAAAUUAGGGAUUCGUUGGGCAAAAAAGUUCUUAACGCCAUACUCUAUAGACGCAAGGGAUCUAUAGAGCAGGGAUCCAGGUUUGGGCAUCUAGCUAAGUAGAACAGGUAAAGGAAAGCUACAUCACAGAUGUAGCAAGUAGUUCCAAUGUCCUUGCCAAUUGUAUAGGCUUUCUUGCUUCCAACAUGGUCUCGAAAGUGCAGAUUAGAGAAGGAUAUCAAAGCCGGCCAGCUGCGAAUCCUGUGGGGUGAAAACCAUACGUUUGAAAAAAUAAACAAAACAGAGCUGCCUGAUCCUCAAUUUAAGCAUUAUACUAGAGAAGGACAAUACAAGCAUUCUCAAUGUUUGAGAAAAUAAACUUUACAUGCAGAAAGCAAAUAAAUGCUUGAAAUUACACAAUGGAUGGAUGUUGAAAAGAAUCACUAAAGAAUAUGUCUAGAAGAUCGAUCUGUUAAGCAUGGGAAGUUCAAAGAGUAGCAUUUUUUUUGAGUCUCAGAAAAAUGAAGAGUCCAACAAUUUAGGGAAUUCAAACUCUAUUUGUGAAUAAACUGCUUGUAUUUUUCCUUUUUCUAGUGUAAGAUUUAAGGAAAAGUUAAAAUCACUUGACCCCUGAUCAGUUCUUUACCAAUUCAUUGAUUUUGACUUCAAUCAUGAACAAAUAAUUCAGAUUAAGACUGAAUAGUUAAUAAAUUGAAAAAAAAUCCAGUCCUUCUUACUUUUCGUGCCUUUGGCCCAGUGUUGCAAAAGGCCUUGCCUGAGGUAAGGCAUUUGUCACUAAUCCAGCAGCACCAAAGCCUUGGAGCAUGGGUUAUAAUUCUCAUGAAUUUUAAAAUUUUUGAAUAUUUUAAAAAUAUUGUAAUAUUUAUGAAAAAUAUUAUUAAAAAACAUAUAACUAUAAUAAAAUAUGUAAAAUUUAAAAAUUAUAGAAAAAUAUAUUAUCAUGAUAUGCGGUAGUAAUGACAGUAUAGAAAAAAAAAAUAUGGCAAAAAUUCAACGAAUACUAGUUGUGGGCAUCUGAAAAUGGUUAUAGAUGACAAGGGACGAUGAUUUUACUUGGAAACUUGGGUUUUUACAUUCUUGUGGUAUGUAUUACUAUACAAAAAUGGUAAAAUUAAAACAUAACCAAGUUUUGGGGUUAAAUAAGAAAUUUGAGAUAACAGGUUAGCUAAAUUUUUAAAGUGAGCCAAAGCACAAGGACUUAAUACUACAUGUUUUACUAGAAUGGGACCCACAUCUCUAAAUUCAGGCCUGUCAAGUUCAUCGAGGUGCUUCGUUCGCAAACCCAUUUGUCAGCCCAAAUCAUCAAACGCUUCCUUCCUCCCCUUUUUAUUUACUAUAAUAAACCCGAUACGACUUCCUGAUUAUUCCAGGAUCCAACAAUUAAAACUUUACAUACAAAUAAAUGGUCAAAUUCACUUAAAAAUUGUGGGGUCAUCUUCCACAUUAAACUUUUGUACCAUCCAAGUUUGUUUUAAUUCCUUUGGGAAAAUCAAACAUCGAAUGCAUUCCCCAAAAAAAAAACAAAAAAAGGGAAAAGGAAAUGGCUUACCUUUGCCCUUACGUAUCCAAUCCCAAUUUGAACAUUACAUCAUCCAUCCAAUUGAAACAAACUCCUAUGGAGAUUUUUUUUUUUUUGCUUUAUUUUGUUGUUAGAUCUGAAUUUUUUUUUUCCCAUGAGCGCUAGUGCUCUGUGGGUCUCUCCUUGCCCGUGCAAGGCCCCUCCUUCCCUAGAUGCCUAGUGGAAGUUUUUGUCCUCUUCCCCCUCCUGCUGCUCUGUUUUUUCCCCGCUAUCUCUAUCUAUUCGUUUGCUCUGGAAUCUUACUUCGUCGGCAUUAUUUUCAAUUCCUUUCCUCUACAACUUUCUGGGCUUCCCCUCCCUCGUCCCUUUUAACCUUGGCUCUCUUUGUAUUUUGCAGGCACGCAGUUUAAAUCACUCAACCUUGGCUACCCUGUCCGCCUCUGCGGGCUGAAUCAAUUCUCACGAGGCCAUGGCUGAGGAGUUAGAAAGGCUGUGCCAAAAUCUUGCGCUAAGGGAUGAUGAGGAGGAGGUGCUGUUAUUGCCCGAUGACAAUGACGGUGGCUCCAAUUUUGACGGCGAUUUGUGCAUUCUCGGAAAGCUGUUCAGUCGGAAGUCCUUCAACGCAGAGGCUAUGAUGGCUACCAUGAAGAAAUCUUGGAACCCGGCUAAAGGCCUCGAGUACUCGGCAGUUGGGGAUAACCUUUUCCUCUUCAAAUUUAACGACAUUGUAGACAAAAGGAAGGUUAUGGCAGGAUGCCCUUGGGCUUUUGAUGGAAGUUUGCUGGUUGUCAGUGACUAUGUUGGUAACAUUCAGCCGUCCAAGGUAAAAUUGGAUCACUGCUCUUUCUGGGUUCGAGUAUACAACCUCCCAUUGGGAUGGAUGAACGGAAGAACGGCGGACUUUAUAGGGAGCAAACUUGGCACGUACGAGGGAUUUGAUGCAAAGGGUGGUCUCUCUGUGGGUAAGUUUUUGCGCAUUCGGGUUAAGCUAAAUCUCAAUAACCCUCUCAAACGACUGAUGAAGCUUCUAAUCGAGGGUGCGGUUUGUGAGGUUCACUGUCGUUAUGAGCGCCUUCCUAUGCAUUGCUAUUUUUGUGGUCGAAUUGGACAUGGAGAAAGGGAUUGCGACGACAAACUAGAUGUUACUGUGGUAAACAACGGCGAACCUCAAUAUGGUGGGUGGCUUAGGGCCACCAACGACAAAAAAUUCGCCGGCCCGCAACUUUCGUCUCGGACGGCAACACCACCGACGAAAGGGGGCCAGUCCCUCCCUGCUGCCGAUAAGGUCGCGUCACCUAAGGAGGUUGUUAGUUUUGAACAUCCGAAUUACCAGGCCUCAGAAUCUCCAAGUUUGGUUGGCAGGCCUGAUCCUACCCAAAGACCAGACGUCCGAGUUCCUAGCACCUUGGUAGCACCCCAGCGCAGACCUUUCUCUCUGGAUAACGGCCAACCAAUCCUUUCAACGGCAUUGGUCACUGAUAGUUCUCCAACAGCGCAGGCAACUUCCACUUCCUUACCCUUAACCACACAUUCCCCCCACUCAAUUGUUCAUGAUGGGCCCUCAAGCUCGGCCAAUUCCAAAGCAAAUGCUCUUGGCUCGAAGCCCAAUGAACACCCCAAAAUCCCAGUCCCUAGCAAACCAAGUCCGCCCAAUACCAUCACCAGCCCCAAAUUCUCUCUAAUCAACCCCGCCACAUCUCAGCAAGAACGUUCUCCUACUUCACAACCUUCUGUCAUGCCCCCCAUACCUUCACAGCCUUUUCACCAAGCUAUUCAAAUAGCCACCCAUGCUUCAUUGGAAAAUGUACACCCCAACCUUGGCCCCCUUUUUCGCCCCUGCGAUGGCAAGCCCAAACCCAGUCAUACAACCACUAACCCCAGCAUACCAUCCAUGCAAUUGUCUAUCACAACAUCUACAGAGCCAACCAUGGAGGAUGUGUUUCUAGUUGAUGCCACCUUAACGCAGCAAAAGAAAUUUUCCGACAUCCACGACAUGCGAACUAUCGCUUCCUCCAAAAAAAUGAAAGGAUGCAAUAUCUCCCGCAGGAAAUCAACACCUUCAAAAUUGGCCCUACAUCCUACUAAUGUUAUAUCGGGUCACAAGACAAAAAGAGAGGCCACGGAUGCUUCUUCUGCAGGGGAGGGAGAUGCUAGUGGUUCGGCCCCAAAGAAACCGAAACAUGCUACGCUGCCCGCACCUCCUCAAACAACCUCUAUAGCGGCGGAGACUGCCUUGCAGUCCCGCCGAGAACCAUGAAUUGCUUGAGCUGGAAUUGUCGGGGGUUAAAGGGUUAAACAACCCUCGGACAGUUCGGGAGCUCCGAAACAUCAUCCGGAGAGAUAAAGUUUCAAUUAUUUUUUUAGUAGAGACGAAGUGUUCGGAUAAAGUAAUCGACAAGCUAAAGCAGGAUAUCAGAUGGUUUGGUUUAGGGGUUGACUCACGAGGGAACUCGGGUGGCUUAGCUCUCCUUUGGAGGAAGGAUCUGGGUGUUGAACUUAUGCGUUUCUCGGAUUGUUUUGUUGAUGUUAAGGUGCAUAUGACUGAUUCCUCCUGGCGUUUGACUGGUUUCUAUGGUCAUCCAGAGGCGGCUAAAAGAAAAUAUACUUGGGAUAUUAUGCGCAAGCUCAGUACAUUAUGCUGCCUACCAUAGGUCUGCAUGGGUGACUUCAACGAGGUACUCACUCAAGAGGAAUUUCAGGGCGCGACAUGGAGACCGAAUUGGCAAAUUAUGAACUUUCGGAAGGCACUUUCGGACUGUAAUUUGUUUGACUUAGGCCAUGAAGGUAAUCACUUCACUUGGUGUCGGAAUAGGUCGGCUCCUGACACAACUAGAGCUCGUCUGGACCGCGCAUGCGUCUCCCAUGACUUUCUCACCUUGUUUCCUGAUGCCAGGAUCUAUCACUCACAUGCUCUUUUUUCCGAUCAUGUUCCUAUUGUCUUAAGAUUAUCGUGCUCGCAUGAUCUCUUAAAAGCUCGCAGCAAAUCUAGGAGGGACAAAUGCUUCAUGUUUGAAGCAAUGUGGAUCAAAUCAGAAGACUGCGAACGCAUUAUCCAAGAUUCUUGGGAGUAUAGCUCGACAGAAGAUGCUUGUGCCAACCUGGUUAUGAAGACUAAUAGUUGUAGGUUAGGCCUUCUCCAAUGGAGCAAACAGUCCUUCGGCAACCAUACUAAGGCUGCGGAUGAUCUUUGGCAAAGGAUUUCUCGCCUCCAACAAGGCGUUUUGACGGACUCUAUCAAAGCUGAGAUUAGUUCUUUAACUACCCAGCUAGAGGAGCUUCUGGACAAGCAAGACAUCAUGUGGAAACAGCGAAGCAAAGCACAGUGGUAUAGAGAGGGUGAUCGAAACACAGCUUACUUCCAUGGCCUGGCUUCCCAGAGACGGAAGCAUAACCAGAUUGUUGGCCUUUUCGAUAACAAUGGUUCUUGGUGUCAGUCACAGGAGGGUCUAGAAUCUAUUAUCAUGGAACAUUUUGGCACAAUCUUUUCUACUUCACAGUCUACUUCUCUGGCAAUUGAUGCAGUCAUCCAGCGAGUGCGGGGAUGCGUUUCCAAGGAAAUGAAUUAUUGUCUCCUGCGUACCUACACUACCAUUGAGGUAACAAAGGCUUUAAGUCAAAUGCAUCCAUUUAAAUCUCCCGGGCCGGAUGGCAUGUCACCAGUCUUCUACCAAAGAUAUUGGCAUAUUGUUGGUCGAGAUGUCACUCGUUGGGUUCUUACUGUCCUAAACGAGGGCACCUUACCUACGAGUCUUAAUCACACCUAUGUUGUCCUUAUCCCUAAGUGUCACAGUCCAUCCAGUAUCACCCAAUUUCGUCCCAUUAGUCUUUGCAACGUAGUUUAUAAGCUAGCCUCUAAGGUCUUAGCUAAUAGGCUUAGGAACUGUCUUCCCAAAGUCAUCUCACCAUGUCAAUCAGCGUUCAUCCCUGGGCGCUGUAUCACUGAUAAUAUCCUAAUUGCUUAUGAAGUCAAUCAUUCCCUUAAGCUGAAAUCCUAUGGGCAGGAGGGAUUGAUGUCCAUUAAGUUGGACAUGAGCAAAGCAUUUGAUAAGGUCGAGUGGCUUUUUCUUCGACAUAUGAUGAUAGCUUUAGGUUUCCAUUCCGCUUUUGUGGACAUUGUUUUUCGCUGCAUUUCUACUGUGUCUUACACUUUCCUACUUAAUGGGUCCCAACUUGGGAACCUACAACCCCACCGUGGUAUCAGACAGGGGGAUCCAUUAUCACCCUACUUGUUCUUGAUCUGUGCCGAAGGCUUUUCUUGUUUAUUGCAGGAAGCUGAACGUUGCGGAAGCAUCUCAGGUUUUCGGAUCGGCUCACGCGGACCCAAACUAUCUCACCUAUUAUUUGCCGAUGACACCUUAUUAUUCGGCAAGGCUGUGAGAACCCUGAAAAUGUAUAUACAAAUAUCAUUUCAUAUUUCAUUUGCAAUUUUAGCACCUCCACAUAAAAUAUUAAAGCAUUUAGUUUUAUUAUGUUAAAUUAAUAUCACCUGAGUAGAUUAAUUUUACUACCUUAAUAUAAAUUACUUGAAGUCCAAUAAUUCAUUCUAAUUAGUGAAUAGCGUUAAAUACUACCAAAAAUUCUCACGAUAGGAAGAAGCCGAUAAAUUUUAGAUAAAAACAAUACACAUAUACUAAAUAUGUGUAGGACGUAAAAAUUUCGAUAAAUGAAAUCUUGUGAGAUUGGUGUAUCAUUAGGAGUUUAAUUUACAUUCGGAAUAAAUUUUUGGUGUUAAGUUAAAAUCAAGGACUCAAGUAAGGAUUAGUAGGGCAAUGUGAAAUGUCUAAACCAACCUUCACAAUAUCACAAAAUCACCAUGCAAUUCCAAAACAUUUCCGGACAGCAUUAUGAUCAACCUCACCAUUCGACCAAUGCUCACCUUCACCACCUACACACUCAACCUCUUCCUACACUCCAACACCCUCCAAAACCGCGGGUCAUCUCCCCAUUUUUCCCCCUCAACCCCGCAACAUCACCUCCCUUAACUCUGCAACAUCUCACCUCAAACACAACUACACCUGAUAACCGAGAGCAAGGAGAGAAACAGUGAGCUGCGAUAGUUUGCUGUUCCUGUCCGAGAAGGAGAAGCGAGAGGGAGAUAGAAGGAGAGAACCGUGUGUGAGCUUCCGUCUGCAUUUUUUUAACUCCAAACAACUGCACUUCAGCACUCCUCACUGCAACACCAUUCCAGUCGCAACCACUGCAACCAAAACCUGUGCGAGCUGAGAGCCGAGAGGGAGAACAGGAAAUUUUUCAGAUUUCUUGUGAGUGAGCUGCAAUUUGAGGUAACCUCUGAGCUAGAUUAAACUAAUUAGAGGUUGUUUGAGUUAAUUAGGAGCAUGCAUAUAGAGUUAAUCGAUCGGAUGAUGUACUGGAAAAGAAAAGAAAAAUUUACUGCGCGAAGGGAUAAAUUUUGGCCAUGAGCUGAAAUCGGAAAUGCAGCUCCGAAAUUGUUCACUCUUAGCAAUCUGAACACCUAAAUGUAAUUAGCCGAGUGAAAACUUGAUGAUUAAGAUCAUGCAUGUUGAUUUGUGCGUUUGGAUGAUUAAAUUAGAAGCAUAAGAAACCUUGAUUUGGAAAGAAAUGGACUGCCGAGUAGCUGAAAUGAAAAGGCAGCACUAAUCUGUUUAUCUGGUAACAAUUUGAACUGAUGAAUGUGAUUACCUCACUAAUAAGAAGGUAAUUAAGUCUUGCAUGAGGCCAAGUAACUCGGCUAACCAAGAAAAUAAAAUGAAAACAGAAAAAUUGUUUCAUGCAUGACCAUCCGAGACUAGUUGAUAUAAUUUCUAGAUUUUAGCGAUGUUUGUAGUAUUAAAUGAACCCGAUGUUGAACUAGAAAUGUUAAUCAAGUGGUUAAGCAGUUGCAUGCUGAAUUUGAGUCCCUAAAAUACUGAUUUAACCAAGGGAAAAGCUGGAUUAAGAACAUACAAUUGCUGGAAAAUUUUUGUGAACUGCGGUGAGUUUGAACCUGGAAAUUUUGAGGAUUAUAACAGCUGUUUAAAUUUAAUUUCGAGCUGGAAAUGUUAACGGUCUAGCCAAGUAAUUGCAUGAUGAAGCUGAGAGUUUAAUAGCAUGUCUUAGCCAAGGAAAUAUUGAAUUCAUGAACAACGAAGUACUGGAAAUUUAAAUGACCGAGAGGUUGAGCUGAAAAUUUUAAUUGGUUUUUGGAAUUUUUCCUUGGAAGAAAAUGGUUCAGAAAUGUAUGAAAAAUGUGUACUUAAGCCAUGUAGGUGGUUUAGCUAUGAAACAUUUGUUAUAUUGGAAGUUUGGACCAAAAGGUUGGAAUGUAAAUGCUGAACAUUUUUGUUAGUAGCCGAGAGACUUGGAUUGGAAAUGUUAACUUGUUUCUGGAAUUUUUCUUAGAGUACAAUGGUUUCGAAAUGUAUGAAAAAUAUGUAUUUUAAGCUGUGUAAGUUGUUUAGCUAUGAAACCUUUGAUAUUUUGGAAGAUUUGAUAAAAAAUGUUGAAGGGUAGACCUGGAAAAUUUUCAAGUGAGUUGAUAGAGGAAGUAAAGGAAUUUUUCAGAUUUCUUUUGGCGAAUUUUAGUUCUAAAAAUGCUGUUUUGAGCUGUAAAAUAUUUCAUGCUUAUUGACCUCACUCUAGAGUAUAUUAAGAGGGCCGUGCAUGUGAAUUUUUGGGGUGACCAUUUGAUUUUUAUCAUGGCUACAAGAAUGAGAUUUUGGUUGAAAUCUUGGACAAAAUAGGGUUGCAAAAUCUUGCCUUACGUUCAUACACCUGUUAGUGAUUCCAAACGUUCGAAAUUUUGGCUUUGUUGCAAUAAGAAAUAAUUGUUGGGUGCUAAGGGCUAAUGAUUGAUGAAACCCUUGGCCAUUUGAAUGAUUUUAUAUAAGUGUUAAAGUUUGAAGAAAUUAAAUUGCUGGAAUUGCUUGGAGGCCUUAUGUUUAUUUUGAUUAAGUUGAGAUAGGAUAUGAGCUUGCCAAAACCAAGAGCUAAUGAUUGACGAAACCUUGGUCACUUGUUUCAUUUUUCUAUCAGAAAUGAACCUGUUGAAAACUAGGGCGAAUGAUUGACAAAGCCCUAGUGAUUUGCUAAAUGAAAUGUGAUUUGGCCAUGUUGACAAAUUUGAGCCGUAAUGUGAUUUCGAAAUGAAAUCGAAAUUGUGAAAGUCGUUUCGACCCUGUGAACUCGAGCAAUUCUGAGCAAACGAAUCAAAAAUAUUUUUCGCUAGUAUUAGACGAUGAAAUUCAGUAUUUAGUAUUUUGCCCUAAAUUUUGCUAACUCGACAAUUUUUUUGUAGCUUGAACUAGCCUUAAUAGUUAUAGAAAAUAAUUUUUAUAGCUUUUAAAACCCUAAGUCUUGUUCUAAUUCCUUUUCUUUCUUUAAGAUUUGCCUUUGGCUAGUUGUCUAUAGGAAAAGUUCCAAAAUAAGAAUUUUAAUAACCUUAAGUUAAAAACUUAGAAACUUGCUCGGCAAGAAACUUUAGUUUUGGUAAAAUAGUUUUAGUGACAAUUUUUGCAAGAACCGUAACUUUAAAGAAAUUUUUCAAAGUAUCUUUCCAGCUUUGAUAUUAAGUGGUUUAUCGACUUAUUUCAAGAAAAUAAUACUAGUUACCUUUUUUAUAAGGAAAAGUAUCUCAAGGAAAAACUAUAAAAAACAUUUUUACUACUUUUGUCAAGUUUCAACCCAAGUGGAUUUUUAAAAUUUCUCUGAGAAGGUAAACUAGUAAUAUAUUAGAUAAUCCUCUAUAUGUAUAAGCUUAAAAACUGAAUAGAAGACUUAUAGUUUUAAAACUUGGUUUUCUAGGGUACAGCGAGGACGUGGAACUUUAAUUUCCCAGCUUGAUCAGUAACUUCACUCUCGGUGAGUGUCCCUGCUUGUUCCAUGUCUACGUGAUUAAAGUGCUUUGUUGACUUGAUAUAUGAUAAUUGUGAAAUGGUUUUGAUCCAUCGAAGUGAGCAGUGUGUACUUUAUCACACUAGCCUUUCGAGUGGUGACUUGCGUGAAAUAUUUUAGUGAAUCCAAGUGUUGUGACGUCGCUGGGUGAAUCCCUCGACCAAUUUCUGAGGGUAUACGCAAGUAUACUGCUCCCAAUUUCUGAAGGUAUACGCAUGUAUACUGCUCCCAAUUCCUGAGGGUAUAUCUCGAGUAUACUGCUUCCUUAGUUGGUGUUCGGGCCCGGGACAGGGGUAUGAAUGGUGACGGGUUAGGAAACAAAAUGAGAUACUCUACAUGGAUCAUAAGUAGUGAGAGUUGACGGAGGGUCAACUACGAUGGUGUUUGGUCAAGCGAGGAAUCGGCUCCUGAGAGCCCCUGUAUCCUACCUUGUACUGUUAUACGCUUUUCUAAUUGUUGAAUUUAAUACUUGUUACUUGCCUUAUGUGAUUGCAUGUUUUGGGGCACCACUGAGUUUUAGCUCACCCCACAUUUAUUUGUUUUCCUUGACAGGUUUUGACGUUUGAGAAAUUUGAGCCUACUUAUAUUUGCUUAUGAAUGUAUUUGAACCUUGUGACUUGGAUUUGCAGUUCGUAAUGUAAUUCGAAUAAAACAAUGUACUUUUGUCUUGGGUUGCCACUUGAAGCUGGAAAAGUGUAAAACCCAGAUUGGUUAUGUGGCUUGUGUAAAUUUGUUACUUAGCUUGUAAUUCUGAUAUUUGGCUUGUAUGAAUUUGUGAGAUGGGAUUGUUUGACUUUAUUCCGUGGUUUGUAACGCGUAAGGUAUUUAAGAGUCGACAAUUGGUUUUUUUUAAAGAUGCUGUUAUCUCUGAAGUUAAUGGGGUUUUAGUCAUCAGCCUAUUUGGAAGGAAACAGUGUUGUAAUAGUUUAGGUUAUUCUUCGGAAUGAUUUGGAUAGAUUGCUUGCGUGAGUCCUGGCGAGAGUUAGGCAGACGGCCCGCCAACCCUUUGGUUCGCCUUAGGGGAAAGUGGGGUCGCCACAAAGGCAUCGCUGCAGGAAGCUCAGCACAUAAAGACAGUCCUUGACCUUUACAAAGCAGCUUCAGGUCAGGAGGUUAACUUUGAUAAAUCAGCAGUGGUCUUCAGCAAAAACACAGACCCCACAGUUCGUCGAAGUAUCACACAGCUUCUUAACAUCAAGGAAGUUCCCACUCACGACAAAUAUCUUGCCUUCCUACUGUUGUUGGUUGUUCCAAGUCUGAAGUUUUUUCAUCUGUAAAGGAGAGAAUCUGGCAGAGGAUACAUGGAUGGAAUGAACAGCGCCUCUCAACGGCAGGUAAGGAAAUCAUGAUCAAGGCUGUUGUCCAGGCCAUUCCAACAUACUCAAUGUCCUGUUUCAAGUACCCGGACUCCUUGCUUUCCGAUAUUCAAUCUAUGAUUAGUAACUUUUGGUGGGGUGAUGGCACAAAACAGAGACCAAUCCACUGGGUGAGUUGGAAUAGAAUGUGCUCGUCCAAAAAUGAUGGGGGCAUGGGCUUUAGACAACUUAAGGCUUUCAAUUUAGCUUUAUUGGCUAAACAGGCAUGGCGCAUUGCAACUCAGCCAUCUACUCUGCUUCAUCAGGUUUUUAAGGCUAAAUAUUUUCCAACGAAGGACUUUUUUCAUGACGAGCCUACUUCCAGGCCUUCUUUUACUUGGAGGGGAUUGUGCGUUGUUCGAAGAUAUUUACUCUCUGGUAGCAGAUGGCGAGUUGGAAAUGGGAACCAUGUCAGAAUCUGGAAGGAUAGGUGGAUUCCACGCCCUUCUACUUUCAAAAUUAUAUCCCGUUAUGAUGUGCUGCUGGAUGAUUCCACUGUGGAUUGUUUAAUUGACGGAAAUAGCAGGAAAUGGAAAGUUGAGUUGCUUCAGGAGCUUUUUUGGCAUGAUGAGAUUGAGUUGAUUAUGGGUAUUCCAUUGGGUGAUAGUCACAAUCACGAUAAGCUCAUCUGGCACUACUCUAAAAAUGGCUCAUUCACAGUGAAAAGUGCCUACCACCUUAUCAAAACACAAUCUACAGGCUGGCAAGAUGUAGCUUCAGGGAGUAAUGGUUCGGUGCAGGAUAUUUGGCCUCGCCUGUGGAAGCUCAACAUACCAAACAAAGUUAAGAUAUUCUUGUGGCGUAUCUGCAAGGGUAUUCUCCCUACAUCUUCCACGCUGAAUAGCCGUGGAGUCCACCUUGACCCUAUGUGUCUUUUAUGUAAGACCCCUGUUGAAGAUGUAACUCACCUCUUCUUGUGCUGUCCGGUAGCAGUUCAGGCUUGGGCCCUCAGCUUUCUUACACUAAAGAUAAGGUUAGACUCCGCCAAGCAGGUCUCUUCUUGGUUGCCUGGCCUUCUGAAUCUCUUGAAGAAGCAGGACAUGGAAUUGGUAGCCAUAAUUCUUUGGAAUCUAUGGCUUAACCGAAAUGGUGCUUUAUUCGAUGGUUCAUAUCGGGACCCGCUCAGUCUAGUCUCUCUCUCUAUCAAUUUCUUACAGAAGUACCGGGAAGCCAACACAUCUCCAAAUACUCCAAUCCGCACUUCCAUUGCUCCACUCCACUGGACAAAGCCCCCUGUGGGCUUCCUAAAGGCGAACUUCGAUGGCGCAGUUUUCUCCGAAUAUGGCUACUCUGGUGUUGGAGUUGUUGUGAGGGACGAGCGGGGCAAUUUUGUUACAGGAACUUCUCACAAAAUCUCUGGUAUCUUUUCCCCUGAGGUCAUCGAAGCCUAUGCUGCGAGAACUGCAAUUUCCUUGCUGCUUCAAUGGAAAGUGCCCAACAUUAUUUUGGAGGGAGACUCUUUGAAGAUCGUCAACAUGCUUAAGCUUAUGGAGUCUGAUGACUCCGCUUAUGGGGUGCUGUUAGAUGAUAUCUUUGUUAGGUUACAGAACUUCGCCGCUUGGGAGGCUAAUUGGGUCCCUAGGAAGGCCAAUGUGCCAGCACAUUUAUUAGCUAGAAAUGCUCGCUCUAUUUCAGAUAUCUGUAGUUGGAGUUAUUCUCCACCACCUUUUCUUCCCUCCGCAAUUUCGGCGGACCUAUCCUCACCUUAAUGAAAUUUUCUAGUUUGCUAUCAAAAAAGAUCUGAAAUUUUUUUCAAAAUUUGAAUCUAUUUUAACAUAUCUCAUUAUCAUUAUUGAAACUUAAAACCAUUUAUUGACAAAUCUGGCAAUUGCCAUAUGCACAAAAGGGAGACACUUUAAAAUUCUUUAUAUUUUAUUAGAUGUGUUUGUAAUUUUCAAAUCUAUUGUAUUAGUUAAAUUAUAAUCUGUAAUUUUUAAUGCAGGCUUGACCUGCCAUUAGGGGAGUUAUGUAAAUCAAAUCAUGUUGGACGAUUUUCAAAAAACAAAAAAAAAAACUUAACCGUCAAUUACUCUUCCCCGUUUUAUUUGUCCACUUUUCAAUUGUCAAUAACUCUUUUAAAAUAUUUUGCAAUACAAAAAUCAACUGAAACCAGUAGACAUUGUAAUUAAUAGCAGUAUUCAAUUCAUGUUUUUGUAUGUUACUCGUACAUCUAAUUAGUCCAAUUUGGAGGAAAAAAAAGAUGAAAACAAAAACAUAUAAUAGUCACAAAAAACACAGAUCUAGCUCAAAAUAUGGCAGUGACCAAUUGUUCUGCAAAAUUAGUGGGAUAAGCAGUUGACAGAUUCUAUAAUCCCUUUUGGUCAAAUAUUAUUUUUAAUAUUUAGGUCGUUACAAUUUCAAUCAUUUAAAUUACCCGUUACUAUCAUCAGUGGAAGAAGCACAUUGAAGGAAUGAUACUUUAAGAUGACUACAGAAUUUUUCUAGUUGGUCAUACAACAUAUUAAUAUUUGAAAAAAAAUUCUAAUCACACAAUUGUAUUUGAUCUCAACCAACCGCCACUACUUUAAAUUAAUUUGGAUCGUAAGUAAUGUCAUUACUUUAUGUGAAUAUCAAAUAUGAAAAGUGCAUUAUAUAUAUGAGGAAAGAAAAUAAAAUGUACUAGUUUUCAAUUUCUUUAUGUAGAAUAUUUUCUUGAAUAUUAAUUUUUGAUAUAUCUUAGUCAAGGUCAUUAAUCAACCCGGACCUAAUCAACUCCAAACCCAGGGCAAAUUUCUUUAAAAUAUUGCCAAAAAGAACUUCGAAAAAUAUUGUUGAAAAGUUGAGUAUUUUUCUAUCCAGGCUCGUUGUAUCUCUGACAUGCGGUGGACUAGUUCACUAGUUCCAUUUUCUUUGUAUAAAAGGAGUCUGUUUGCCAGACACAUGGUGAGCCACAUUUAAAAAUUGGUUUCUAUCAUAAAGCCUAUCAUGUCCGGACAGAAGAUGGACUGUUUUUUAAAUUUUUUUUUGAAAGCAAGUGAAAAGCGUUGCAACUCAGGAUUUGGAUAGUAAUUUUAAAAUUUAAUGGUGCACCUACCUUUUAACAUUUCGUGUGCUUUUAAGGUAUCAAAUGGGAAAAAAAACCAACACCAUAUAACUUCAAAUGCAAGAUGGUACGAAAUUUGUCAAUAUGUAGAUGUUAAUAUACAUUGACAUGUAAAAAGUGCACCAUUCAUCACAAAGAUAUUUAUCCUAAUAUUAGAUUCAUUUUUUCAAAAAUUCAACUUUUCAUGCAAACAUGUAAUCAAUAUGCAUAAAUAGAUAACAUUAGAUGAAUUUAAACAAGUAGCCUUAAAAUUUAAAAAUAUUUGAUUUCGUAAAUGUGCAUUCGCAAUUUAGAAAAAGUACUUUUCAAAUGGCAACUCUAGAGAACAAGAAAUACUCCUACUUUAUUUUGAUUUCAAAUCUUCUUUUGACUUGUCAAAAAAGUGAAAACACGAAACCAAUAAUGGGUCAGAUAGAGAGAAGUAUUAGAAAGAGAAAUUUGUCAAAUUGGUCCCUAAUAUUUACACAAAUCAGCCAGAAUAGUUAUUAACAUAUAAAUUAUGAUUCAUUUUGGUCCUAAUGCUCGUAUUUGCUCAUUUCUUUGACUAAAAAUAGCACGCCUCUCUCACGUGGGCAUAUUUUCAAGGGCAAAAUUGAAAAACACAAGCUUUUCUCCCCUUUUCAAGGAUAACAUUUUAGCAUAUUUUUCUUUCCAUGUUCUGAAAUUAGGGCUUUUCUCCCCUUUUGCUUCUGGUCAUGGACUCUUUGCUAUCGAGCUACAUCUCUUCCGAUGAAGAACAAGAAGAUAAACCACAGCUCUCAAAUCCCAGUUCCGCUGGAUUCCUCUUCUCACUGCCACCCCCAAAAUCUUCAUCAUCAUCUUCUUCCUCAUCCAUCUUCUUUCCAUUUCCCCCAACCCAAUCCCACCCCCCAAAGCCCCCCGUCUCAUCGUCUUCCUCAACCCUGAAUCCACAUAAAUCUAAUGAACUUCAAGAAGAGAGGGAUGGGCAGCAAUUGCUAAAAAAUCGGGAAAGUUCGAGAUUUUUUAUAUCGCUUCCAAAACCAUUGUCAUCUUUGUUCGCUUUGUUUCCUCAACCCAAAUCAUCUUCCACGUCAUCUCUUUUCUCUUCUCUUCCGCAGCCCACCAAAACCCACAAUCUUGAUGCCCGGGUUUCGCCUCCUGUGCAAUUUGCUAGAAAGAAGGUGGUGGUGAUUCCUUGGCAGUCGGAUCACACAACUUUAAUGGAAAGGUGAUGGAAUCAAGCUCGCCGGGUUUAUUGGUGGUGGUUCCUUGGGGGAUCAACAGCAGCAGCCACACCGCUAAAGGGAUCAAGCCUCAAAUUGACGCGGGUGCUUUUCAGUUUGGGGAGAAUAUACUGAAGUAGCAGCAGUAGAAGCUUCAAUUCCACGUUUACACUGAAAACAAUAGUGUUUUCUAGUUUUGUCCUUGAAAAUAUGCCCACAUGAGAGAGACGUGCUAUUUUUAGUCGGAGAAAUGAGCAAAUACGAGCAUUAGGAUAAAAAUGGAUCAGAAUUUAUAUGUUAAGAACUAUUUUGGCUGAUUUUAAAUGUUAGAGACUAAAAAAGUUUUUUGUGUAAAUGUUAGGGACUAAUUUGACAAAUUUUUCUAUUAGAAAUUUGUUUUCUAGAUUCUUUGGUUUCCCAAUUUUUUCAACGGGUCAACUCGACCAUUAUCACAUGCAUGUGAUUGUAGGUCUACCACGCUUCAUAGUCCAUAACGUGGCACCACAAAAGAUGGUGUCAAAACACUUUUCUAGUUUAGUAAGAUCUGUGUAUGUAUUAGUUCCUAACACAAGUCUCUUUAGAUUUUCUCUCCUUUGUAAUUUAGAAUAAAAUAGGUUAUACAAUUGUUAUCGUCUUCAGAAAAAAAAAGAAUAAGUCCCAUCCUAUUAUUAUUAUUUUUCUUUUAUCAAUCAACAACGCCUAUUCUACACCUAUUUGACUUCUAUUCUAGGGGAAAGGGAGGUCCAAUUGGAAAAUUAAUGGUGAUUGAACCACAAUUAGACCAAAAACUUUCUAGAUAAAAUUUGAUCUAAAAAAUAAAUAAUAAUAUAUUAACUUAUUAUUUAAUAUGAUAUAUAUUCAAAUAGAUUAAAUUUAAUAAUUUUAAAUUUUAAAUUUUACAUUUUAAAUUUUAAUUUUCAAACUUCAAUGUUGCCAUACUUACAACAACAACCUCUAGAUGGUCAACACUUAGAGUCGUAGCCCUUGCUUUUGGCAUUCCCCGGUCCAUAUGCUAUGUUGUUCUCAAUGAGGAAGCAAAUGUCCGCUAUUAAUUACACGAGCCAUCAGUCAAAUCAGUCAAAAGAUGUUAUUGAUUGAACCAAGUGGGCAAAUUGAAUGAACCACCAGCUCCACUAAGCCCUUAAGGCUGUGUUUUCAAACUCGGACCGGACCGGCCGAUCUGAUCGGUUGAACCGGGAACCGGUCGAGUGUCCGGUCCGAGUUGAUCAUCAAAACCGGGAGAUUCAAAACCCGGUCAAUUCCGGUCAAAACCCGGGUUUGACCGGUACAGAACCGGAAAAAUCGGUCCAACAGGAGAUUUUGUAAAAAAAGUUCAAACUUUUUUAAUAUUAUGUUUUGGCCCCCUAAAUUGUGAAAACUUAUUAAUAUAUCUCAAAUAUUUCAUACUUUAUAAAUAUUGUCCUAAAAUUUGAUGUUAUUUUUCAAUUAAAUCCAUAAUUUUAAUUCUAAACUUGUUAAUGUUUAUUAAAUAAUAUAAAUUGUUACUUGAUUGUUCUAUUUCAAGUAUAUAUGAAUAUACCUUUAUUAAUAUCAAUAUGUUAUUGGAUAUUUUAUAUACAAUAAUUUAAUUUUUAAAUAAUUUUUAUUUAUGACGUCAUCCGGUUCGACCCCUAUCGACCCCCGAUCUAACCCAUUGACCCCUGACCCCUGACCUCGGCCGAGUCGAUAUCCGGUCCGGUUCUGAAAACAUAGCCUUAAGGCUUUGGUAAACUUGUCUCCCAUCAAAAUAUCAUUCUUGUGGCUCUUCUUAAAAUUCAGAAGGGUGUAUUGUGCACCUGUCUGAUCCAGUGGUGAUUCUGUUCUCAUCGAUCUUUCGUAGGUUCAGUUGAGCCUUCCUGUAAUUAGAGUAGAUGUAGGAGUAGGGAUGACAAUUGAAAAAAAAAAAAAAGUGGGCAAAUUGAGUGAGGAUGAGUAAUUGACCUGUAAGUCUUGGCAGACUUGGAGGAAUCAAUCAACAUUCUCUGACUUGAAUGAGGUAAGCACAAAGGUGAGCAUUUUCCAUUUUUAUUUUGGUUUUCAUUUCUUGUAUACUCUAAAACUUUUUUCAUUCUACCCCACGCACAUAUAAUAUAUAAUGAAAUGUAAAUUUUUUUAUGAAAACAUAUAAAAUAUAUAAAAUGUAAAAUAAAUUUUUUAUAAAAACAUAUGUUUAUAUUUAUCUUUGUAUAAUGAAAAUAUAUAAUUCAUUCUACCAAUAUAUACGCAUAUAUAUAUAUAUAUAUAUAUAUAUAUGUAUAAUGAAAAAUUAAAUUUCUCCUUCAUCUUCAGGGCUGCACCUACAAACAACAAAACUCCGCUCCACUCAACUCUUUCCUUCGUGUUUUGUGUUUUUUUAUAAAAAACAUAUAUAUAUAUAUAUAUAUAUAUAUAUAUAUCUUUUAAAUUUCACUAAUUAUUUUAGCUCUUAAUGUUUUUUAUUUUUUUUACUAAUAUUACCUCAUGAGAGGUAAAAAGGGUAUAAAUGGAACAACAUUAUUAUCUCACUUUCCAAAAGACUUUUUUAAUGGUACUUUUUCUAACAUGGGUUGAAGCUAUUAUCAAAAUCUAGUUUAGGAAAAAUUAGUGCUAUUUUUCAAAUUUUAGGAAAGGUGAGUACAACUGUUAGAAAUCUCAGGGACGAUUUUUGCAAUUAUCCCUAAAAGCAUAGACCAAGACUACACUAAUCUCUAAAAAUUUGACACCUAUUUCUUAUAACUAUACUAGAUAAUUUCAUAAUUGUAUAGAAAAAUAAAUCAAAAUUUAUUAUACAAAGGUAUUUUUGGAUAUUUAUUUAAAAAUUUGAUCAAAUUAAUAUUAUUUUAAAGCUUUAUUACAAAAACUAUCAAAUCAAAGGAAGUAAGCGUAAUAUUUCAAACCUUACAGUAAAAUUGUUAGAAACCUCAUAGAGGUUCCUGAAAUUAUCCCUAAUAUUUUUUUUUGUACAAAAAACUCCAAAAAAUUGGCAGCUCAAACGGGGCCAACAAUCUACUAUGUUUGCCUGUUCUCCCGCCGGACCCACCAGCCGCCGGCGGCCAUGGGUCAUCUAUAAAAGCAUAGAUCAAGACUACACUAAUCCCUCAUCUGUCCAGUCCAUCCAUAAUUGCAGAAACUGGUAGGUUUUGUAUUUAACAAAAAUAUGAGACUUUGUAGAUUUUGAAGUUUAAGGAAUGGAUAUUUGAAGUUUAACGAUCGUUAUACAACUUUCAAAACAAAUAAAUUCAUUUUAUUUUUUUUUUGGAUAAUUUCAUAAAUCAAAUCGUGGUCACUUUCGCAAAAGUCAUAUUUUCCCAUAAAAGACCAGUUCUUUAUGACUUUCCUCCAUUAUAAGAACAGAGUACCCAUUUUUCCAUAAACAAAUUUAUUUAUCGAAUAAAAUAAAAAUAAAUCCGUUUUUCAAUAAAACACCAGUUCUUUAUGGUUUUCUUCCAUUAUAAGAAUAGAGUAACCAUUUUCCCAUAAACAAAUUUAUUUAUCGGAUAAAAUAAAAAUAAACCCGUUCUCCAAUAAAACAUGAGCUCUUUAUGACUUUAGAAUGAAGGGUUACUCCCUCUUGUUUGAUAUAUCUGAACCUCUUGUUUAAUUUAAAAAUCACCACCAUCAUUCUUGUUUGAUAUAUCUGAACCUUUCACAUUUUUACCAGUUUUUUUGCCCUUUUAUUUUUCUCUCUGUCAAUUUCCUAAAGAUUGAUGAAAUCUUUGCAGGUCCGAAUAAACCAAAGAACGAAAAUCCAAUCAAAAAGUUCGAAAUUUAAAGUUUAAAGGAAUGGCAACCUCAGAAGUCGUUCUCCGGUGCCUCCCUAGUCCCUCACGUCGCAGUAGUCACCAAGUCUUCAGCAGUCAACAUCCAAAGCUUAUAAAGUAGCACAAAUACUAUUGUAUAUAAGAACUUAAAUUUUGCAUCCGCGAGGGCGGCAGAAGUCAAUACUCCAGGAGGGACUAGGGGCAGAGGGCGGCCGCCGCCGAGGGAAGUGGGAGCUGGCUAUAGAAGGUCAUCGGGCGGUGGACUAUGAGGAGAGCAAAGGAAUAUCAAUUGAGAGUGCAGCGUGUGAUGGAGAGAAAGAGAGGGUAUGUCCGUCGUAAAUGUUGUCUGAGGGAAUAAGUUGAGGGUUUUGUCCAAAACUUCCCAAUUUGCUCGAGAAUGGGAUAAGUCAGAUUUUUUAGAAAUGAUUCCAAAAAUUACAUUCCAAUAGGCUUAAUCCAAGCAACAAAUAAGGGGUUUAUUCCAUUCUGUGAUUCCCAAACCCUUUAACCCAAUAGCCCCUUAAUAUUUUUUUACUAAUAUUACCUCAUGAGAGGUAAAAAUGAUAUAAAUGGAACAAAAUUAUUAUCUCACUUUCCAAAAGACUUUUUUAAUGGUAUUUUUUCUAACAUGGGUUGAAGUUACUAUCAAAAUCUAGUUUAGGAAAAGUUAGUGCUAUUUUUCAAAUUUUAGGAGAGGUGAGUACAACGGUUAGAAAUCUCAGGGACGAUAUUUGCAAUUAUCCCUAAAAGCAUAGACCAAGACGACACUAAUCCCUAAAAAUUUGACACCUAUUUCUUAUAACUAUACUAGAAAAUUUCAUAAUUGUAUAGAAAAAUAAAUCAAAAUUCAUUAUCCAAAGAUAUUUUUAGAUAUUUAUUUAAAAUUGAUCAAAUUAAUUAUUUUAAAUUUUUAUUACAAAAUCUAUCAAAUCAAAGGAGGUAGGCGUAAUAUUUCAAACCUUACAAUAAAAUUGUUAGAAACCUCAGAGAGGUUCCUGAAAUUAUCCCUAAUUUUUUUUUGGUACAAAACCCUCCAAAAAAGUGGCAGUUCAAACGGGGCCAACAUUCUCCUAUCUUCACAAGUCCUCCCGCUGACCCACCAGCCGCCGGCGGCCCUGGGUCAUCUAUAAAAGCAUAGACCACGACUACAGAAAUCGUCCAGUCCAUCCAUACUUCUUCUUCAGGCCUCAGCUACUAAACAAUAAACUCUGCUCCACUCAACUUGUGCUCAAAAUAUGACAGUGACCAAUUGUUCUACAAAAUUAGUAGGAUAAGCAGUUGACAGAUUCUAUAAUCCCUUUUGGUCAAAUAUUAUUUAAAUUCAUACUUUAAUCUUAAAUUUAUAGUUGGAUGGUCCAGGAUGUGGUAAAAUUUUUCAUUCAAACUAACGAUAGUGCGAAAAAAAAGACUAAUUAAUAAAAAUACGAUCUCGAAAAAUUUUUAAUUCACAUUCACAAUAUGUGAAUUCAUGAUAAAUACAAAAAAGUAUGGUACUUUGAUAAUACAAUGAAGGAAAGCCAUAAAGAGCAUGCCAUUUACGAGAAAAGUUUUCAUUAAUAAAAAUACCAACUCUUCACGGCUUUUUUAACGGUCCUUCAACGUAUGAGCAAAGUGCCAAUAAUUAAAUUAGUAAUUUUUUCGAUUUAUACAUAAUUAAUUUUUUUUUGCAUUUCCACAAAAAACAAAUGAAAAUUUUUUAUCAGAAAGCACAAAAGUCAAAAUGAUUGGUUUAAAAGGGAAAGGAAUAGCAUAUAUGUACAGUACUUGUAUUUCACGUUCGAAAUACUACAGUGCUGUUUGAAAAACACCCCCAACAAUAUCUAAUCCAAACGGAACCAAUCUUCAGUAUUUAAAAUACCAAAUUUGUGAAUGUGUUUUAACUGUUAUUCAUUGGUAUCCUAAAAUGUCAUUUUCCCAUCAAAUACCAGCUCUUUAACACCCAUUUUCCCAUAAAUAAAUUUAUUUAUCGGAUAAAAUAAAAAUAAAUAGCUAUUUCCAAUAAAUAGCUGGUGUUUUAUUGGAAAACCUGUUUUCCAAUAAAUAGCUAUUUCCAAUAAAUGGUUGGUGUUUUAUUGGAAAACGGAUUUAUUUUUAUUUUAUCCGAUAAAUAAAUUUGUUUAUAGAAAAAUAUGUCCUCUGUUAUAAUGGGAAACAAAGUACCUAUUUUAAACAUUUCCCAUUGAAUUUGUUUUGGAUAUUUAUUUAAAAAUUUGAUCAAAUUAAUAUUAUUUUAAAACUUUAUUACAAAAACUAUCAAAUCAAAGGAAGCAAGCGUACAGUAAAAUUGUUAGAAACCUCAUAGAGGUUCCUGAAAUUAUCCCUAACUUUUUUUUUGUACUAUAAAAGCUCCAAAAAAGUGGCAGCUCAAACGGGACCAACAAUCUACUAUGUUCGCCUGUUCUCCCGCCGGACCCACCAGCCGCCGGCGGCCAUGGGUCAUCUAUAAAAGCAUAGAUCAAGACUACACUAAUCCCUCAUCAGUCCAGUCCAUCCAUAAUUCUCCUAUCUUCACAAGUCCUCCCGAUGACCCACCAGCCGGCGGCGGCCCUGGGUUAUCUAUAAAAGCAUAGACCAAGACUACAGAAAUCGCUCAGUCCAGUCCAUCCAUACUUCCUCUUCAGGCCUCAGCUACUAAACAAUCAACUCUGCUCCACUCAACUCUUUCCUCUGUGUCUUGUGCUCUUGUCCGAAAAUGGCGGCGUCAGAAGAAGUGAAAGUGCCAAGAAUCAAGCUGGGCUCGCAAGGUCUUGAAGUUUCAGCUCAAGGGCUGGGCUGCAUGGGCAUGUCAGAAGCCUACGGGCCGCCGAAGCCCGAGCCUGAUAUGAUCAAACUCAUCCACCAUGCUAUUUGCAGAGGUAUCACCCAUCUUGACACCGCCGAUAUGUAUGGACCUCACACCAACGAAAUACUCAUUGGCAAGGUACCGUAUUUACAAAUUUUCUGCUGUUGUGUGCUGUGCAUAAAAUCUUGUACUUUUAAUUUCUAAAAGAGCAUAUUUGUAAUAUUUUAUUUGGGUAUAUUAUACUUGACCCCCUGCACUUCAAAACUUGUCUCCCUUUGUGCCCCCUUAAUUUUGUUUGUGAGCACUUGAACUCCAUUUGUUUAAAUUGUAAGUAUUAUUAGUCAAAUAGGACAUUGUUCUUCUUUUCUUUUGCUUCAUUUUUUCAUGUUACUGCCUUUUCAGUUUGUCCUCCUUUAUAGACAUGGGAUGAAUUACUUUGAUUUUGAUUUUGGCGCAAUUUUGUAUAAAAUGAUUUUUGCUAUGAAGUUAUUGAUUUAUUAUGAGCUAUGCGUUGUAUAUUUACACAAAUUCUGCUAGCUAAACAUUUACUUGAGCAAGCCUUCCAUACAUGAGCAAUAUAAUACUCUAUGGGUGCAUUUCGUAAAAUUGAAGUUUGAAAAUUAAAAUCUAAUUUAAAGUCUAAAUUCAUAAAGUUAUUAAAUUGUUAAGUACUAAAUUUGAUAUGUUUGAGUGCAUGUCACAUCAAACGAUCAGUGAAUAAUUGAUCAUUUAUUUUUUAGAGCAAGUUUUGUUUAAGAAAUUCAAUGCUAUUUAAUUAAUUCAGAUAUUCAUUUUUUGGUUAUCAAACAUGUUUGAAUAUGAUAAGAUUUGAACCUAUUAAUUUUAAGUGUUGAAUUGGAUUAUCAAAUAGGACCUAUAAUUAUUAGGUAACCAAGCAGACAACAUGUUUAGUGUAUAAUAGUAAUUAACGUUCAAUUUGUCUCGUUAUUCUUUGGUAAAGAACUCUUUGAAUAUUAAUAAUAAUUUUCUCAUCCACGGGAAUCAAAAUAAUUGAAGUUUUAUCUCUACCAUUGAGAUAUGUUACCUUCUAAAAGAAAGGAAAGGGAAGGAAACAUGGGGGAAAAAUAGGGAAAGGGCAAAGUGAUGAUAAAUAAAAUUGGAAGUAGCAAAAUGAGACAAGUGAAUUAUUGCAAGGGGUUAAGUGUAAAUUAUGUUUAUUUUAUUAGACUAUUUAACCAGAAAGACUGGACUCUUUUAAGGCACCAAUCAAAGGUUCCAAUUGCUGGAAAUAACAUGAAAACCUAGACUUUGGUUUGGCGUUUUUGGAGGUGGUUCAUGAAAAUUUUAUUGUAGUUUUUUUUUUCUUCUUGAAAAAUAUAUUUGUAAGAGAAAAAAAGUGGUUGAAAAAAAAUUGAGAGUUUUUUUUAAUAAAUUGUUUUCUAAAUAGUUCAGUCACCCAAAAUUUUCAGUAUUCCGACAAUGGCAUCCAUGUGGUGUCAAUUGUCAAACGUGCAACAAAGUUGAGAAGAGAAGGUCGCAGGUCUAGCGCAUACUUUGAAUAGCUACCAUCUCUUUAUUUUCUUUUUUUUUUUCCGUCAAAAUUCUACAUCAUAAUGGAGUUGGUAAAAUAGUACUAUUUUCGUCUUUGAUGUUAAAAUUUUCAUCAUUUUAUGGAAAGUUUACUAUUUCUCUGAUAAGAGAUAGUAAAAUUUACUUUUUAUGAGCAGUAAAGUUUUAAAGAUUAUGAAAAGAGAAAUGUAUGAAGGAAUAGAAGGGAAAGAAAGGUAAGAAAAUGGAUGGAUUGUAUUUGGAUUGAUUUUGAGAGGGGAAAGGAGAGGAAACGGAAAGAAAAGGAAAUGGAUGUAUUGUGUUUUGCUCAGACUCAUUUCCAUACAAAAGUAGACGGAAACAGAGGGAAAGAAAAUCUUGUUGAUGAUUUUCUAGUAAAAUGCCUCAAGCACCCAAAUAAAUUGUGGGAUGCAACAGCAGGCUAGGAAUGUUUGACGAAGCAACUUAUGUAAAUAUUUUAUCGUUAAGUAAAGUUCCUCUUUUGCUGUUAAAAAAAAAAAAAAAAAAGAGGAAAACUAUUCCUUUCAUGUCUGUCAUUCUACCAAACAGUAUAUUUAGGUUUUCUUUCUUUUCCAACCAUAUCUGAUCCAAAUAAGACAAAUGAGAACUAUUUUCCUCUGCUCUCCUUUCCUUUCUUUUUCACUAGGAUGUUUUAUUUAUAUAUUUAUCCUUUCCUUUGAUCCAAAUGGUUCCUAAAAGGGCCCUAAAUAAUUAUUCUACAUUGAUCAGUUCCCUAUUUUUGUACUAAUUUGCAUGUGCACGAUUCUGUGUAUGUUCAUGUUGUGCAUCAAAUCUUGUGAAUGACAAAGCUAGAGUGUAAAUUUAAGCUGAAGAAAUAUAAACCAAAAAAAAAAGAAAAUGGAUUGGCUCCGUUAAAGAAAAUGGAUUACAUACUUUUCAUAUCCUUUGCCAUACAAAGAAGUGGCAUAGCCUUAACAAUGAAGUGUUGGUAAAACUCCAGAAGGACUGUGCCAUCCAUGAAAUCACAAAUCCACUUGUUAUACCAUGCAAUAAUGUGUAUGUCCUUGAUGAUUAAUAUAAUGAAACCAUGGUUCUAGGCCUUGAAGGAAGGAAUAAGAGCGAAAGUGGAGCUAGCAACCAAAUUUGCAAUCAGUUUUCAGGAUGGGAAGUGAGGAGGUGAUUUUCGGUUGGUAACUAGACCGACCUGGAUCAGUCCUCUCUGAGAUGAAGUGAGGUGAACUCCUGUGUCCGAAGUGAACCUCGGUGUCCGAAGUGAGUGGCGGGGCUUCUCCCCUGGGAUCACUCCGACGAUCAAGUUAGUAUGAGAACGAGAAUAAUGAGAAUGAGUUAAUGAACAGUGUCCGCUUACUUGUUGGGAGUGUGUCUGGGGUAUUUAUAGAAGAGAGGUGGUCAAGACGGAAGGCUCAUGCUAGCGGGACCCACUCUCUGGCAUUACGGCUCUGUCUCCUGUCAGGAGGUCUGACUCUGACACUGUAGCCGCCUGGGAGUGAUGACGGAGGAUAUGGUGCAGGUGCCAUUAAGUGCCUCCAGUGCUUUUCAGAUAAAGUGCUGGUCCUGGAUGAUGUCAGGUGGGUUGACAUCAUCAGCGUGCAGCUGAGGCGGGGGUGCCGAGGUCGGCUACACAGUAUGCUAUGGAAACGGCCGAGCCCGAGCUCAGGGAUGAUGUCCGGGACACGGAUGAACUCCGAUGAGGGACGAGGUGAGUCCACCUCGGCCACUCGGGAUGGCCGAGGUGAGCAUCCUCAGGAAGUUUGAUGUACGUGGUGAUCCAGCCUAUGUGAGGGCUUGUUGUGAAGCAAGUUUGAAGCGGCUUGAUGUGGACUGCAUUGAUCUCUAUUAUCAACAUCGCAUCGAUACAAGUGUGCCCAUUGAAGUCACGGUUUGCUCCAUCUUGCCUUUCUUUUAUUUUAGCUCCACCUCAUUCUUGAUGAAACAAAAGUUUGAUCAACUCCAAAUUUAGAAUAAUUCAGUUUCAUGUCCGUUUCAAUUCUUCAAAAAUUGCACAGAAAAGUUAGUCAACCUUAUGGUCUCGGCUAAUCAGUAGUAUGGUAUAGCUGAUUUUGCACAAGGCAUCCUGAAAAGUGAAAACAAUGAAAAUGUCUUGUAUUAGCUUGACAGUCCUGCUGAGGGAUAUACAGAUGGAUAUCAUGCUAUACAUUGUACAGCUUUCCUUUAGAACCAAGAGACCUGAGCAUUCUCUUUCAUUUGAGAUAGGCUAUUUACUUACAUUGUCAUUCGUUUUCAGUCGGUGCCAAAAGCACUGCAGAUAGACAUUUAUUAUUGAUAUCUAAAAAACAUGGUACUCAUUUUGUUCAGAGCACAGCUUUUUGUCUAAUUGUGAAAGCCAGCUGCAACUGCCCCAUUGACCUCUCCAAGCAAUUCAAAGAUUUCAGCAGCUUGCUUACAUUAAGCUUUUAUGAAACGAUUUCUCUGUCUUCUUUUUCUCAUGUAAUCAGCAAAGAAUUGUCUUGUUUUCCCUGAGUAUUAGGUAGAAACUUUCUUGCAGUUUAAUCACUCAAAAUACAGGCAAGUAUAACGGAAAUCAAGCAAAAUUGGCAACUGAUAAUUGAUAUGUACAGCCAUCAUUAUAUAUAGAAGUCAACAAUGCCAUGUAAUCAUAUUGGAGGAGCAUUAUGUUGGCAUGGUCCAGUAGAACUAAGUCCUCCGGUUGGCUGUACAUAGAGAACUAUCACUGGAUGCUUAUUGCCAUUUUCAUCAAUUAGUGAUUUCAGUUUGAUGUAUACUUUGUCCACAACUUCGUUGAACUAGUGCAACUUUUACUUUUUGCACGUAAUAUUUCGAUUAUCUGCCUAAGUGUUGAAUGUAAUAAAUCAGCUUAGCAUCUUCUUGUCCAUUGAAAUUCUCUAGAUAGGAGAGCUCAAGAAACUGGUUGAAGAGGGUAAAAUAAAGUAUAUAGGUCUGUCUGAGGCCUCAGCUUCAACAAUUCGAAGAGCACAUGCUGUUCACCCAAUAACAGCUGUACAGUUGGAGUGGUCAUUGUGGACCAGAGAUGUCGAGGAAGAGAUUAUUCCCACUUGCAGGUAGUGCAUAUAUUCUGCUGAAUUUUCUAAAUGGUCUAGAAGAAAUAUGAAGUUCUCAAUUCAGUUUUUGGUAUAAUCUUUCAGAGAGCUUGGCAUAGGGAUUGUUGCAUACAGUCCACUUGGACGAGGUUUCUUCUCAUCAGGUCCAAAGCUGAUGGAGAAUUUGGCUGAAGGUGACUUUCGAAAGGUUUGUACAUAUGUUUUUGAGUAUAGAUUGUUUAUAGUUCGAAUAAGUUUCUCACUCAUCUACUUUUACCAGAUUCAGUGGCAAUCUUGCUUGAUAUCCCUAUUGUUGUCUAUCUGUUAUAUGUUGCUGCACUUUUUGAUAUCCAAUAAUUUGAUUAAGGCUUGUAAUAUGAUCACAUUUAAUAAAAUUUCUAUUAAACAUAGCAAUUCAACAGGAUUUUUUUUCCCUCUCGAACAAGUCUUGGAGUCUUUAGUUGAUUCAAUGAAUGCAUAUUUUGGUGUCCUCUGUAUUUAGUUCAAAUUAAGAGAUAUAGCACAAGCUUUGUCAAAUUUAAGAUCUUAUAUUAAUUGAAGGUUGUUAUUGCUUGCUGGAAAUUUAUAUAGUGGACAACAAUCACAAGCAAUGGGUAGUAUCAAAUUUUAAAGUGCAAAGAUGUCAAAACAUGAAAAAACUACGUCAUUUUUUAAGUGAACGUCUCUUUACAGUUUUGAGGGGAAAUGGACCUUAGACUUCAGUUUCAUCAUUUAGUCUCAGGCACAGAACUUAUGUUGUCCUGUGAAACUAUCAUUUUUCCUUUACCAUCAGUCCUAGAACUGAGUUUCAUUGGUCAGAAAUAUACUUCAUAGUAGUACCUCCUCCAUCGUUCUACAAACAAACAAAAAUUAGUUGAUUUGUAUUUAAGUUUCCUCUUUGAUGGGAAAUGUGUCUCAGAACUUAACUCCAACAGUUGAUGUUUCCUACUUGGAGUGUUCAGUCCACCUUGAUGCAUUGUUCUUUCCCCUGAACUUGUGCCCUUCAAACAGUAUUUCUGAUCAUCUUGAAGUAAUUAGUACCGUCUGUUCAUUGCUCCCUCCCGAUAUCUUGCAUUAUAGUUUCCUCCUCUUUAAUGGGAAAUGUAUCUCCGGAUCUACCUUCUACAAUUGAUGUUUCUUAGAGUACUCAGUCCACCUUACUUGAUUGUUCCUUCCCCUGAACUUUGUACACCUCAGACAAUACUAUCGAUCAUCUUGAAGUUAUUCAUAUUGUCUUCAUUUGUAGACGACACAUGCUUCACUCCCUUUUGCAUUUCUGGCGUUACAGUUGCUUGAAAUUUUGAAAUUCAUACAAUGCAGGGUUUGCCAAGGUUCAAGCAGAGAAUUUGGAGCACAACAAGAAGUUGUAUGAGCGGGCCACUGCCAUUGCUUCAAGGAAGGGUUGUACUCCAUCACAGCUAGCAUUGGCCUGGGUCCAUCACCAAGGCAAUGAUGUUUGUCCCAUACCUGGCACUACCAAGAUUGAGAACCUCAAUCAGAAUAUAGGAGCUUUGUCUGUAAAACUGUCGGCAGAAGAUAUGGCGGAACUUGAAUCUAUUGCUUCUGCAGGAGUCAAGGGUGAGAGAUACGGACCUGAAAUCAGCACAUGGCAAAAUUCUGAAACUCCACCAUUGUCAACCUGGAAGAGGACAUGAAGACAUAGCUUUGUUGUGGCAAUAAUUCCUUCUAGCUAUUUGCCUGAUGGUGGAUUUCACUAUAUUAAGAGUUGAGUGAUAUGUAUUUGUCCCUAUAAAUUUCGUCAUACUAUUGUCUCCAGGGUUAAGGCAAGUAAAGUUAUAAGAAGAAUGGAGUUUCUUCAGAAAGGUUGUAAUGAAUAAAGAUCUGGUCAUGUAAAAGCAGAACAUAAUUUUCCUUGCAGUUGAAUGCAUUAAAGGUUAUGUAUUGUACUUUUGAAUGCUAAAGUGGUCCAUUUUUUAUGUGUUACUGCUACGAGAGUUAUAGAUUGUUGGACAUCAUUUUUUGGUUGGAAUGUUUACAUCAAAGCGUCUCCAAGGACAUGUCAUUCUAAAGUUUAAACUACAUCAUACCAACAAAAUGCAGAAAAAGGUCUAAAGUAUGGGAUGUUUGUAAAUUUUCACGGGAGGCUUUGUUGGGUAAAUUGUAAAGGACUAGCAAAUAUUGUAACAAGAAUUGGCUUCAAAUCGUGAUAGAAAUCACUUUCCUUUAGGCUUUAUUUGUCCGGUAUAACGUGCAAUAACCUUAGACAAAUAUCCUUUAAGAUAAGAUGAAGUUUUGUUUGUCUUAAACUCUUGCACAAAGCAAGACAAACCCUUUGUGAACUAAGGAGUGCUUUUGAGAGAGUAAGGAUAGUAGGAAAGUGAUUUUCUGCAGCAAACUACUCUCUACUUGACCUCUUUAUAUAGGAAGAUUGUUUGGGAAACAAAAGAUCUCAUUAAACACUUGUAUGAAUAGAUUCAAAGUAUUGUGUACACAUUCAUGCACUUUAAUUCAUGCAUCUCAUGAUCAUUUAGAUCAAAACAUGAAUCUAUCCUUUCAUUCAAUAAUUCUCAUAUACAUGAAUACAUUCAUAAAUGAAUGUACUUUUAGGAACAUUCACAAUACUAUACAUGUACCAAAAAUUAAUGAAUACAUUAAUUACAUGUAUGUACAUCAUACAAAUUUUGAAAAGUUUCCAACAAUCCUCCGCCAUUUUCAAAAUUUAGAAAAUGGAUUUCUAAAAGGUCACCAAGUAAUCUGACACUCAUAUGCAUAAAUAAUGGUGUCUUUCGAUUGAACCACUAUCUUAGUGAAGGUUCUUUGAAAUCAAUCCUUCAAGAUGGUAGACAAGCUUUGAACCACUUGGACAUUGGACCAACCUCAUAAACACAUCACACACUGAGCAAUGCACAACCAUAAGUUCUUCAACGAUACAUUUUACGGCCUUGUAUCACUAUCCUUUCUUGAAUGUUUACAAAGUAAAGUCCUUAAUUUUGUGGUUUGCCAAAAAUUAACAUUCAUAUAGGCGACAUCUUAGUGCCCCCGCCAUAGAUAGCACUUUUAAGAUUCGUUAAGAGUCCAAUGACUCAUCCUUACAUUUGCACUGGCGAGAAUAACAUGCACUAUUCAACAUUGGGAUGUCUAAACUUCACAUAGUGCACCAACCACUAGAAUGGUGUACUUUCACUCAUUGAAUUCAAGACUAGACGUUGUAUUUAGCGUUGAAUUGAGGUUCCACCAUUAGCGAUAAAAAAUUUUGGACUUUAAACCAAUUCCCCUUGAUGUCUUUGACACCAAAUUUCUUGAUAAUCCUUUUAUCAAAGGAUCACUUAAAUUUUCAUUUGAUCUCACAAAGUCAAUUGAUAUGACUCCAUUUGUAAUCAAAUCUUUGACAUAACUAUGUCUCAAACCGAUAUGUCUUGAUUUACCAUUAUACACUUGACUAUAUGCUUUAGCAAGUGUAGCUGCACUAUCACAAUGGAUUGAGAUAGGCGAUAAAGGUGUUGGCCACAAUGGUAUAUCAUAAAGUAAAUUACGUAGCCAUUUAGCUUCUUUACAGGCCGAAACAAGUGCUACAAACUCUGCUGCCAUUGUUGAAUCGGUGAUACAAGUCUGUUUCUUAGAACCCCAAGAAAUUGCACCUCCACUAAGCAUAAAGAUUCAACCACUUGUCGACGAGUGAUCAUCUUUAUUGGUGAUCCAACAAGCAUCUGAAAAUCCUUUUAAAACUGAAGGAUAACCGGUAUAACAUAUACCAUAGUUCUUAGUGGCCUUUAAAUACUUUAAAAUUUUGGUUACACCUUGCCAAUGUAACCUACUAGGGUUGCUUGUAUAUCUGUUCAAUAUACCAACUGCAUAUGCAAUAUCAGGUUUAGUACAAGUCAUUGCAUACAUUAAAUACCCUAUAACCUUGGCAUAUUCCAUUUGAGAUUUUAGAUCCCCCUCAUUUUUCACAAAAUUUAUUUUAGAAUCCAAUGGUGUUGAGGCUGGAAUACAAUCACUUUGAUUGAAUUUGUUAAGAAUCUUUUCAAUAUAAUGUGUUUGAGACAACAUUAUAUUGUUAUCAUAUUUGAAGAUUCUCAUACCAAGAAUGACAUCUGCCUCACCCAUGUUUUUCAUGUCAAAUUUGAUUGAAAGCAAAGUUUUUGUGACUUCAACUUGUUCCAAGUCAGUCCCAAAAAUCAACAUGUCAUCAACAUAUAAACAAAUUAUGACACCUUUGCCAUAAUCAAACUUGCUAUAAAUACAUUUAUCAGAUUCAUUUAUUUUGAAUCCACUAGCAAGAAUAAUUUGGUCAAAUUUCCGAUGCCAUUGCUUCGGUACUUGUUUUAGUCCAUAUAAAAACUUUACAAGUUUACACACCUUAUGCUCUUGACCAAGUAUCACAAACCCUUCGGGUUGCUCCAUAUAUAUUUCUUCAUCCAAAUCACCAUUCAAGAAUGCUGUUUUAACAUCCAUUUGGUGAAUGACUAGAUUUUGGAUAGAAACUAUAGCAAGUAGCACUCUAAUUGUAGCAAUUCUAGCUACUGGUGAAUAUGUGUCAAAAUAGUCCACACCAUACUUUUGUGUAAACCUUUUGGCAACCAACAUGGCCUUGAACUUAUCAAUAGUUCCGUCGAUCUUCAUUUUCUUCUUAAAGAUCCACUUACAACCAAUUGGUUUUGAACCAGGUGGUAAAUCUACUAAUUUUCAGGUUUUAUUAUCCAUGAUUGAGUCCAUCUCAUCAUUAAUAGCUUCCUUCCAAAAGGGAGCAUCUUGUUAGUUCAUUGCUUCUUCAUAGGUCUUGGGAUCAGUCUCAAUAUUGAAGCAAUAUGAGAUUUGGUUGCUCACUGUAUCUCUAGUUCUUUCAACUAGAUACAUAUAAAAGUCCGAACCGAAGUCUUUUGAUUUUCUAGCUCUUUUGCUCCUUCUCAAUUCAAUGGUUUCAUUUUCACCAUCUUUUGUCAAUUCACUUGAUUUUGGAAUAACAUCUUUUAUAGAGGUGAACCUAUUCUCUUCAAAAAUAGCAUCUCUAGACUCAAUUAUGGUAUUAACCGAAAUUGAAUCAUUAGGUUCAAUUACCAUGAACCUAUAUGCUUUGCUAUUUUGUGCAUAUCUUAAAAAUAUACACUCCACACCUCUUUCUCCCAAUUUCCUUUUUUGAGGUUCUGGGAGUUUUACAAUAGCUCUACAACCCCAAACUUUCAAAUAGUUUAGGUUGGACUUCCUUUUAUUCCAAAAUUUAUAAGGGGUUAUAGAACUUCUUUUAUUAGAAACUCUAUUUAGGAUAUGACAAGCCGUUAACAAGGCUUCACUCCAAAAUCCUUGACUUAAACCAGAUUUUGACAAAAGUGCAUUAACCAUUUCUGUCAAUACACGAUUUUUCCUUUCGGCUACACCAUUUUAUUGUGGUGUGUAAGGAGCAGUCACCUCAUGUUUUAUCCCAACAGACUCAAAAUAGGUAAUAUCAUAAUAUUCCCCACCUCUAUCUGUUCUUAGACAUUUGAUAAAGGAUUCACAAUGAAGUUCAACUUCUGAUUUGUAUGCCUUAAAUUUUUGCAAAGUUUCACUUUUUGAGUGUAACAAGAAAACAUGACAGUAUCUACUAUAAUCAUCAAUAAAAGUCACAAAGUACUUUUUACCACCCAAAAUAGGAGUACCAUGCAAAUCACGUACAUCACUAUGAAUCAAAUUCAAGAUUUUAGAUGAUCUUUCAACUUUAGAAAACGAAUUUCUUGUGAUUUUCGUUAGCAUGCAUGUUUUGUAUUUUCCUUCAAUUUUAUCACAAUAUGGCAGCAAAUCAAGUCUCAUCAUUUCAUGCAUUCUUUUGUAAUUAACAUGACCAAUCCUAUUAUGCCACAAUUUAAAAGAAGACUCAACCAAAGACGCAGAAAUAAUAUCACUCUUAUUAUUUCUAAUAGCGAGUACAUUCAACUUAAACAUCCCACUGCAAAGAUAACCCUUGCCUACAAACAUACCACCUUUAGACAAAAUAAAUUUGUCAGACUCAAAUAUAAGUCUAAAGCCAAAUUUAUUUAACAGCUCAGCCGACACCAAGUUCUUCCUAACUUCCGGUACAUAAAACACAUUUGUCAAGGUUACAACAUUUUCGAAAGUAAAUUUUAAUUCUAUUUCUCCAAUGUCUUGAACCGGAAUUGUAGCAGAAUUUUUCAUGUAAACAACGGUGCUUUCAUCCACCGGUUUCAUGGACUUGAAGAACGUUCUAUUGUUGCACACGUGUCGCGUAGCUCCAGAAUCAACCCACCAAGCAAAAUUAUCUUCAAUCAUAUUGAUUUCAGAUAUCAUUGCUACAAGAAUUUUGCUUGUGGUUUGGGAAGACUCUUGCUUCUUCUUCUUGUUUUGAAGAAUCUUGCAAUCGGACUUGUAGUGUCCCUCUUUCUUGCAAUAGAAGUAUUGUCCCUUCUUUCUUUUCUUGGAUUGAUUCUUGGGUUGUUGGCCCUUCUUACUUCCUUGAGACUUUUCAGUUUGCCUCUCUUCAAUCACAUGCACUUUUGAAGUAGAAUCUUUGUUCUCUUCAAGGAUUUGACUAUCCUUCUUUUCUUGCAUGCGAAUUUCCUCUUCUACUCGAAGAGAUUUAGCAAAAAUCUCAAGAGAGAUAUCAUCUUUUUUAUGUUUGAGGUCUCUUUUGAAAUCUUUCCAAGAAAGUGGUAACUUAUCUAUUAUAGAGCAAACAAUAAUGGCUUCAUUCAUGUGUAGAUUGUGUUGUGUGUAGUGAUUAAGAAGCCUUUCAAUCUCACUAAAUUGCUCCAAAACAGACUUAUUAUCUACCAUUUUAUAAUUAUUAAAAGACGAGACAAGAAACUUCUUACUUGUAGCAUCUUCUUGCAUGUACUUGGACUCCAAUCGAUCCCAAAGUUCCUUGGCAGUAGUAAUUGAAUGGUAGACAUCGAACAGGUUGUCACUCAUGGUAUUGAGGAUGUGACCACGGCAUAUUUCAUCGUCGUUCUCCCAUUUCUGACGGUUUCAGAUGUGUUCAAGAGUUUCUUCAUCGGGAUUGAUCAAUGAUUUUGGUGUGAUCAAAACAUAGACCACUUUGAGUGCAGUGAGAAGGAAAUGAACACGUUUUUGCCAACGAACGAAAUUUCCUCCAUCAAACCGCGUGAGCUUGACAAUAUUGGAUGCCAAAUCUUUCAAGGUACCAUCCAUUGUAGAGUAUAAAUAAAGCCUAAAAAUUGUUGGGUAAAUUGUAAAGGACUAGCAAAUAUUGUAACAAGAAUUGGCUUCAAAUCGUGAUAGAAAUCACUUUCCUUUAGGCUUUAUUUGUCCGGUAUAACGUGCAAUUACCUUAGACAAAUAUCCUUUAGGAUAAGAUGAAGUUUUGUUUGUUUUAAACUCUUGCACAAAGCAAGACAAACCCUUUGUGAACUAAAGAGUGCUUUUGAGAGAGUAAGGAUAGUAGGAAAGUGAUUUUCUACAGCAAACCACUCUCUACUUGACCUCUUUAUAUAGGAAGAUUGUUUGGGAAACAAAAGAUCUCAUUAAACACUUGUAUGAAUAGAUUCAACGUAUUGUGUACACAUUCAUGCACUUUAAUUCAUGCAUCUCAUGAUCAUUUAGAUCAAAACAUGAAUCUAUCCUUUCAUUCAAUAAUUCCCAUAUACAUGAAUACAUUCAUAAAUGAAUGUACUUUUAGGAACAUUCACAAUACUAUACAUGUACCAAAAAUUAAUGAAUAUACAUUAAUUACAUGUAUGUACAUCAUACAAAUUUUGAAAAGUUUCCAACAGGCUUGUGAUAGCAAAAACUUCAGGAGGCUUCUGAAAUUAUCCCUUAAACUAAACUAAAGGAGGUAAGAUUUUAAGCAGAUCUCGGUAAGUUAAAAGGUUAAAACUUUACAUACAAAUAAAUGGUCAAAUUCACUUUAAAUUUGUGGUGUCAUCUUCCACCUUAAACUUUUGUACUAUCCAAGUUCGUUUUAAUUCCUUUGGGAAAAUCAAACAUCAAAUGCUUACCAUUUAUUGAAACAUUACAUCAUCCAUCCAAUUGAAACAAACUCCUACGGAGUUUUUUUUUUUUUUUUUUGCUUUAUUUUGUUGUUAGAUAUGAAUUUAUUUCACAUUUGGUUGUCAGAUCUAAAUUUUUUUUUCAAAUUUUAAAUCUAUUUCAACAUAUCUCAUUAUCAUUAUUGAAACUUAAAACCGUUUAUUGGCAAAUCUGGUGAUUGCCAUAUGCACGGAAGGGAUGCACUUUUAAAAUUCUUUAUAUAUAUUUUUUUAGAUUUGUUUGUAAUUUUCAAAUCUAUUGUAUCUGUUAAAUUAUGAUCUGUAAUUUUUAAUGGAUGUUUGGCCUGCCAUUAGGGGAGUUAUGCAAAUCAAAUCAUGUUAGAUGAUUUCCAAAAAAAACUUAAUCGUCAAUUACUCUUUCCCAUUUUAUUUGUCCACUUUUCAAUUGUCAAUAACUCUUUUAAGAAACUUUGUAAUACAAAAAUCAACUGAAACCAGUAGAAUAUUACUUUGUAAUAUUUUUUUUGACAAAAAAAAGUAGAAUAUACAAUUAAUAGCAGUAUUCAUAUUAUGUUUUUGUAUAUUACUUGUACAUCUAAUUAGUCCCAUUUGGAGAAAAAAAAAGGAUGAAGACAAAGACAAAAACACAUAAUAGUCACAAAAAACACAGAUCUAGCUCAAAAUAUGGCAGUGACCAAUUGUUCUGCAAAAUUAUUAGGAUAAGCAGUUGACAGAUUCUAUAAUCGCUUUUGGUCAAAUAUUAUUUAAAUUAGCUGGAUGGUCAAAUAUUACUUUUAAUUUUAAUCAUUUAAAUUACCAGUUACUAUCAUCAUUGGAAGAAGCACAUUGAGGGUCUGUUUGGAUUGUGAAUUAUUAGAGAUAUUUUUACUGUAGCACUUUUUAUGAUGUGAUGUAUGUGAGAUAAAAAGGUAAUUGGAAAGGUAAAAAGGUGUAUUGGAAAUUGUAAUAAUGAUGUAAGCAAAUAAAUUUUGAGAAAUAAAGCCCAAUCCAAACAAAGCCUGAAGGAAUGAUACUCUAAGAUGACUACAGAAAUUUUCUAGCUGGUUAUACAACAUAUUAAUAGUUGAAUGUUGACCUCACCAGCCAUCCCUCAUUCCUUGUCGCAUCCUUUUUAUGAAUUGGAUUCAUCUAUUUGGUGUUCUAAAAUCACAUUUAAAAGUUUUUUUUUUUUUGCGAAAGUGUUAUUAUUCAGGAUGUGUAUGAUAAUUUAAAAUUUUAAUAGUGGACCUAAAAAUAAAACUUGUAAAUUUUACAUAUGAGCCUACCUACUUUUAAAAUAGAGGGAAAAAAACAUCACAUAACUUCAAGUCCAAGAUUGUAUGCAGUUUGUCCAAUAAAUAGAUAUUCAUAAUUCAUAAUUUCAUAUACACAUGUUAACUAGAGAUGUCAAUCACAACCCAAUUAUAUUGAUCCGUUCAAAACCGUUCACUAAUAACCCAUCCAAAUUCACUCAUUAAAAUUUAAAUGGGUCUAAGUGAGUACCUAAUUAAAUCCAUUUAAUUGGUGGAUAGUUGAUUGAUUUGACUCACCCAUUUAUAACCAUUUAAAAAAAUAUAUUUUUAAACUCAAUUUUUACUAAGUGUUAAGAAGAUAAAUUUGAAUUUCCUACAAAUCUAAUAACAAUAAAAUAUCAUUUUUCUUGUUAAACGACAUGCAAAAAAUUUUAAAAAAAAUAGAAUUUCAAAUCAGUGUAAAUGGGUAAUUAAGUAUUUUCAUAUCCAUUUAUUAAAUAGAUAUAAAUGGAUUGAUUCAAUUAUAUCUAUUAUCCAAUUAAAAUUUGCUCAAACCUGUACAAGUCACUCAUUUUUAUGCUUCUAAUGUUAAUAUAUAUUCACAAGUGAAGAGUGCAGCAUUGACAAGGAAGAUAUACUUAUUUAUCCCAAUAUUAUAGUCAUUUUUUUCAUUACAAAAGUAUUGAUAAUUUCAUAAUUUCAUCAUCAGUGACAUAACAUUACAUGAAUUUCAACGAAGUAUGUAAUCAGUGACAUGACAUAACAUGUCAUCAUUAGUCUUCAGCGGUGAAUCUUAUCACGAGGCUUCUUUUCGAAGCUUUGAUUAUGGCAUACACUUCUGACAAUAUGUCCCUUUUAGAAUAGGGAUAAGUUUCUGUGACCAGGCUUCUUUUCAAAGCUUUGAUUAUGGCAUACACUUCUGACAAUGCCCCUUUUAGAAUAGGGAUAAUUUCAGAAACCUCCCUAGGGUUUGUAACAAUUUCAUCGAACUUUCUUGAAAUUUUUAAUAUUACACUUAUCUCCCUUUAUGAUAGACAAUAAUUAUAAUAACCUUCAUAAUUUUUUCAAAGACAAGCUAUUGAUAAAAAAGAUAAAAAAAAAUGAAAACAAUUCUUCUUGGCUAAGCCUCAUAUUGUGACUAAAUUGUUUCACCCAUAACCACUAAAUUGUAAUUUCUAUUACUCAGAAAAGAAGCAUUUUGGUAAUUGAGGGGCUUGGUUGUUUGAGUGGGAAAAGGGUAAGAAUUGUGAAUUUUAUGAUUGACGGUUUGGUAGACAACAUAUGGAAAAAACUUAUAGAGAGGUAAAAAUUAUAAAGAUAAGAAUUAUGAUGAUGGAUUUUGACAUCUAAAAUAUCGAGCUUGUUCGAAAAAAGGAAGAAAUGAUAAGAUCGAGUUUGAAAACUUGGGUAGAUGUAGAAAAUUAUGAGAUGAAAAAUAUUAGGACAUUGUCUAAGUAAUAAAACUCAUAGGUUUAUAGUAUACAAGUGUAUUCUUGAUUUUUGAAAAAUUUUAAUGACUAUUCAUAUUUUGAAAAUUAGAUAAGGGCAAUUUUGGACAUUCAUAUAUUUUUCUGGUCUUACAUCAUCAAGGUGAAACUCAAACCUAUGUUUUAGUAAAUGUAUGUGUAAUUUUCAAAAAGUGAGGAAAGCUGUCUGAAAUUAUCAGAAACCUCAGGGGUGAUUUAUGAAAUUAUCCCUAAUUUUUUUUUUGGUACAAAAAACUCCAAAAUAAUAUGUCCCACACUCUGUGCCACACUCUGUGCCACUUUUUAUUAUAUUGCUAUUUUUCCUACAUAAAUAACAUGUUUUAAUUCUUUUUUGCUUUCUUAAGAUCCAAUAACUAUUAAUUAAGUAAAAAAUAAAUACAACAACUUCAAAAAAGCAAUAUAUAAUAGAAAAUUAAAAAAUACAGCAGAAAAUUCAUAAAAAAUCUCAUUUUUUAUAUAUUUUGAUUUUUUGACUUUGUUAAAUUUUGUGUAUUACUCAAUUAAUAGUUAUUGGAUCUUAAGGAAGCAAAAAAGAAUUAAAAUAUGAUGUUUAUGUAGGAGAAAUAGUAAUAUAAUAAAAAAUGGGACAGGCACAUGGUGUGGGACAAAAGGUCCGUUGCACCAAAAAAGUGGCAGUUCAAACUGGAACCAUCUCCUAUUUUCGCAAGUCCUCCCGCCGGCGGCCCUGGGUCAUCUAUAAAAGUAUAGACCAAGACAACACUAAUCCCUCAUCAGUCCACUCCAUACUUCUUCUUCAAGCCUCAGCAACGAAACAAUAAACUCUGCUCCACUCAACUCUUUCCUCUGUGUCUUGUGCUCUUGUCUGAAAAUGGCGGCGUCAGAAGAAGUGAAAGUGCCAAGAAUCAAGCUGGGGUCGCAAGGUUUUGAAGUUUCAGCUCAAGGGCUGGGCUGCAUGGGCAUGUCAGCCUUCUACGGGCCGCCAAAGCCCGAGCCUGAUAUGAUCAAACUCAUCCACCAUGCUAUUUGCAGAGGAAUCACCCAUCUUGACACCUCCGAUAUCUAUGGACCUCACACCAACGAAAUACUCAUUGGCAAGGUACCAUAUUUGCAAAUUUUCUGCUGUUGUCUGCUAUGCGUAAACUCUUGUAAUUUUAAUUUCUAAAAGAGCAUAUUUUUAAAUAUUUUAUUUAGGUAAAUUAUACUUAAUCCCUUGCACUUCAAAAUUUGUCUCCCUUUGUGCCCCCUUAAUUUUGUUUGUCAGCACUUAAACUCCACUUGUUUAAAUUGUAAGUAUUAUUAGUCAAAUAUGACAUUGUUCUUCUUCAUUUUUUCAUGUUACUGCCUUUUCAGUUUGUCCUCCUUUAUAAAUAUGGGAUGAAUUACUUUGAUUUUGAUUUUGGUGCAAUUUUGUAUAAAAUGAUUUUUGCUAUGAAGUUAUUGAUUUAUUAUGAGCUAUGCGUUGUAUAUUUACACAAAUUCUGCUAGUUAAACAUUCACUUGAGCAGGCCUUCCAAACAUGAGCAAUAUAAUUCUCUAUGGGUGCAUUUGGUAAAAUUGACGAUUGAAAAUUGAAAUCUAAUUUAAAGUCUGAAUCCAUAAAAUUAUUAAUUUGUUAAGUACUAAAUUUGAUACGUUUGAGUGCAUGUCAUGUCAAGUGAUCACAGAAUAACUCAUCACUUAUUUUUUAAAGCAAGUUUUGCUUAAGAAAUUCAGUGCCAUUUAAUUAAUUUAGAUAUUCAAUGUUUAAUUAUCAAACAUAUAUGAAUAUAUUAACAUCUGAAUCUAUUAAUUUUAAGUGCUGAAUUGGGUUAUCAAACAUGACCUAUAAUUAUUAGGUAACCAAGCAGACAACAUGUUUAGUGUAUAAUAGUAAUUAACUUUCAAUUUGUGUCGUUAUUCUUUGGUAAAGAACUCUUAGAAUUAUUAAUAAUAAAUUUCUCAUACACGGGAAUCAAAAUAAUUGAAGUUUUAUCUCUACCAUUGAGAUAUGUUGCCAUCUAAAAGAAAGGAAAGGGAAGGAAACAUGGGGGAAAAUAGGGAAAGGGCAAAGUGAUGAUAAAUAAAAUUGGAAGUAGCAAAAUGAGACAAAUGAAUUAUUGCAAGGGGUUAAGUGUAAAUUAUGUUUAUUUUAUGAGACCAUUUAGGCAGAAAGACUGGACCCUUUUAACGCGCCAAUCAAAAGUUCCAAUUGCUGAAAAUAACAUAAAAACUUGACUUUGUUUGGUUUGGCGUUUUUGGAGGUGGUUCAUGAAAAUUUUAUUGUAGUUUUUUUUUUCAUCUUGAAAAAUAUACUUUUUUCAUCAAUUUAUGGAAAGUUUACAAUUUCUCUGAUAACAGAUGGUAAAAUUUACUUUUUACGAGCACUGAAGUUUUAAAGAUUAUGAAAAGAGAAUUGUAUGAAGGAAUAGAAGGGAAAAGAAGGGUAAGAAAAUGGAUGGAUUGUGUUUGGAUUGAUUUUGGGAGGGGCAAGGAGAGGAAACGGAGAGAAAAGGAAAUGGAUGGAUUGUGUUUUGCUCAGACAUCAUUUCCAUACAAAAGUAGAUAGAAACAGAGGGAAAGAAAAUCUUGUUGAUGAUUUUCUAGUAAAAUGCCUCGAGCACCCAAAUUUUACAUAAACUUGCCAUUUGUGAAACCUGCUUUAGAUAUGAAUUGUGGGAUGCAACAGCAGGCUAGGAAUGUUUGACGAAGCAACUUGUGUAGAUAUUUUAUCGUUAAGUAAAGAGAAAAACUAUUCCUUUCAUGUCUGUCGUUCUACCAAACAGCAUAUUUAGGUUUUCUUUCUUUCCCAUUCAUAUCUAAUCCAAAUAAGACAAAUGAGAACUAUUUUCUCUACUCUCCUUUCCUUUCUUUUUCACUAGCAUGUUUUAUUUAUUUAUUUAUCCUUUCCUUUGAUCCAAAUGGUUCCUAAAAGGCCACUAAUUAUUCUACAUUGACCAGUUCCCUAUUUUUGUAUUAAUUUGCAUGUGCACGAUUCUGUGUAUGUUCAUGUUGUGCAUCAAAUCUUGUGAAUGACAAAGCUAGAGUGUAAAUUUAAGUUGAAGAAAUAUAAAACAAAAAAGAAAAUGGAUUGGCUCCUUUAAGAGUAUCAGACUUCUAAACCCCAAGGAUUACAUAAUUUUCAUAUCCUUUGCGAUACAAAGAAGUGGCAUAGCCUUAACAAUGAAGUGUUGGAAAAACUCCAGAAGGAAUGUGCCAUCCAUGAAAUCCCAAAUCGGCUUGCUGUACCAUGCAGUAAUGUGUAUGUCCUUGAUGAUUAACAUAAUGAAAUCAUGGUUCUAGGCCUUGAAGGAAGGAAUAAGAGCGAAAGUGGAGCUAGCAACAAAAUUUGCAAUCAGUUAUCAGGAUGAGAAGUUUGAUGUACGUGGUGAUCCAGCCUAUGUGAGGGCUUGUUGUGAAGCGAGUUUGAAGCGGCUUGAUGUGGACUGCAUUGAUCUCUAUUAUCAACAUCGCAUUGAUACACGUGUGCCCAUUGAAGUCACGGUUUGCUCGUCUUGCCUUUCUUGUUUUUUAGCUCCACCUCAUUCUUGAUGAAACAAAAGUUUGAUCAACUCCAAAUUUUGAAUAAUUCAGUUUCAUGUCCGUUUCAAUUCUUCAAAAGUUGCACAGAAAAGUUAGUCAACCUUAUGGUCUCGGCUAAUCUGCAGUAUGGUAUAGCUGAUUUUGCACAAGGCAUCCUGAAAAGUGAAAACAAUGAAUAUGUCUUAUAUUAGCUUUGGCUGUCCUGCUGAGGGAUAUACAGGUGGAAAUCAUGCUAUACAUUGUACAGCUUUCCUUUAGAACCAAGAAACCCGAGCAUUCUCUUUCAAUUGAGAUAGGCUAUCUGGUUGAGUAAUGAUCUGCUAUUUACUUACCUUGUCAACCAUUUUCAGUUGGUGCCUAAAGCACUGCAGAUAGACAUUUAUUAUUGAUAUCUAAAAAACAUGGUACUCAUUUUGUCCAGAGCACAGCUUUUUGUCUAAUUGUCAAAGCCAGCUGCAACUGCCCCAUUGACCUCUCCAGACAAUUCAAAGAUUUCAGCAGCUUGCUUACAUUCAGCUUUUAUGAAACAAUUUCUGUCUUCUUUUUCUCAUGUAAUCAGCAAAGAAUUGUCUUGGUUUCCCUGAGUAUUAGAUAGAAACUUUCUUGCAGUUUAAUCACUCAAAAUACAAGCAAGUAUAAAGGAAAUCAAGCAAAAUUGGCAACUGAUAAUUGGUAUGUACGGCCAUUAUUAUAUAUAGAAGUCAACAAUGCCAUGUAAUCAUAUUGGAGGAGCAUUAUGUUGGCAUGGUCCAGUAGAACUAAGUCCUCCGGUGGGCUGUACAUAGAGAACUAUCACUGGAUGCUGAUUGCCAUUUUCAUCAAUUAGUGAUUUCAGUUUGAUGUAUACUUUGUCCACGACAUCGUUGAACUAGUGCAACUUUUACUUUUUGCACGUAAUAUUUCGAUUAUCUGCCUAAGUGUUGAAUGUAAUAAAUCAGCUUAGCAUCUUCUUGUCCAUUGAAAUUCUCUAGAUAGGAGAGCUCAAGAAACUGGUUGAAGAGGGUAAAAUAAAGUAUAUAGGUCUGUCUGAGGCCUCAGCUUCAACAAUUCGAAGAGCACAUGCUGUUCAUCCAAUAACAGCUGUACAGUUGGAGUGGUCAUUGUGGACCAGAGAUGUCGAGGAAGAGAUUAUUCCCACUUGCAGGUAGUGCAUAUAUUCUGCUGCAUUUUCUACAUGGUCUAGAAGAAAUAUUAAGUUCUCAAUUCAGUUUUUGGUAUAAUCUUUCAGAGAGCUUGGCAUAGGGAUUGUUGCAUACAGUCCACUUGGACGAGGUUUCUUCUCAUCAGGUCCAAAGCUGAUUGAGAAUUUGGCUGAAGGUGACUACCGAAAGGUUUGUGCAUAUCGAAAAAGAUGGAGUUUUUGAGUAUACAUUGUUUAUAGUUCGAAUAAGUUUCUCACUCAUCUAUUUUUACCACAUUCAGUGGCAAUCAUGCUUGAUAUCAAAAGAGGAAGAAACUAUGUCACUUUUUAAGUAAAAGUCUCUUUACGGUUUUGAAGGGAAAAGGACCUUAGACUUCAAUUUCAUCAUUUAAUCUCAGGCACAGAACUUAUGCUGUCCUGUGAAACUAUCAUUUUUCCUUUACCAUUAAUCCUAAAACUGAGUUUCAUUGGUCAGAAAUAUACUUCAUAGUAGUACCUCCUCUAGCGUUCAUCGUAGUACCUCCAUCGUUCAAACAAACAAAAAUUAGUUGAUUUGUAUUUUAAGUUUCCUCUUUGAUGGGAAAUGUAUCUCAGAACUUAACUCCAACGGUUGAUGCUUCCUCCGUGGAGUAUUCAGUCGAACUUGAUGCAUUGUUCUUUCCCCUGAACUUGUGCCCUUCAAACAGUAUUUCUGAUCAUCUUGAAGUAAUUAGUACCGUCUGUUCAUUACUCCCUCCCGAUUUCUUGCAUUAUAGCUUCCUCUUUAAUGGGAAAUGUAUCUCAGGAUCUACAUUCUACAAUUGAGGUUUCUUAGAGUACUCAGUCCACCUUACUGGAUUGUUCCUUCCCCUGAACUUUGUACACCUUAAACAAUACUAUCGAUCAUUUUGAAGUUAUUCAUAUUGUCUUCAUUUGUAGAUGACACAUGCUUUGCUCCCUUUUGAAUUUCUGGCAUUACAGUUGCUUAAAUUUUGAAAUUCAUACAAUGUAGGAUAUGCCAAGGUUUCAAGCAGAGAAUUUGGAGCAGAACAAGAACUUGUAUGAGCGGGUCAAUGCCAUUGCUUCAAGGAAGGGUUGUACUCCAUCACAGCUAGCAUUGGCCUGGGUCCAUCACCAAGGCAAUGAUGUUUGCCCCAUACCUGGCACUACCAAGAUUGAGAACCUCAAUCAGAAUAUAGGAGCUUUGUCUGUAAAACUGUCAGCAGAGGAAAUGGCGGAACUUGAAUCUUUUGCUUCUGCGGGAGUCAAGGGUGAUAGGUAUGGGCCUGGCCUUGGUACUUGGCAAACUUCUGAAACUCCACCUUUGUCAACCUGGAAGAGAACAUGAAGACAUACUUUGUUAUUGCAAUAAUUCCUUCUAGCUAUGUGCCUGAUGGUGGAUUCCACUAUAUUAAGAGUUGAGUGAUAUGUAUUUGUUCCAAUAAAGUUUGACAUACUAUUGUCUCUAGGGUUAAGGCAAGUAAAGUUAUAAGAAGAAUGGAGUUUCUUCAGAGGUUGUAAUGAAUAAAUAUCUGGUCAUGUAAAAGCAGAAUAUAAUUUUCCUUGCAGUUGAAUGCAUUAAAGGUUAUAUAUUGUACUUUUGAAUGCUAUAGUGGUCCAUUUUUUAUGUGCUACUGCUACGAGAGUUAUAGAUUGUCGAACAGCAUUCAAUUCAGGACUUAUUAAACAUAAGCAUAUAAACAUUUUAUGCUCGGAAUAUUUACAUCAAAAGAAACUCCAAGGUCACAUCAUUGUAAAGUGUAAACUACAUCAUAUUAAUAAAAAGCAAAAAAAAAGGUCUAAAUGAGGAAAAAAAUGUACUAUAGAAGAAGUCAACAAUGUCAUGUAAUCAUUUUAUCCUAAAAUUGAGAUUCAAAUUUAGUUGAUUUGUAUUUUGAGUUUCCUCUUUGAUGGGAAAUGUAUCUCAGAACUUUAACUCCAACAGUUGAUGUUUCCUACUUGGAGUACUCAGUCCACCUUGAUGCAUUGAUCUUUCCCCUGAACUUGUGCCCGUCAAACAAUAUUUCUGAUCAUCUUGAAGUAAUUAGUACCAUCUGUUCAUUACUCCCUUUUGAUUUCUUGCAUUAUAGUUUCCUCUUUAAUGGGAAAUGUAUGUCAAGAUCUACCUUCUACAAUUGAGAUUUCUUAGAGUACUCAGUCCACCUUACUAGAUUGUUCUUUUCCGUGAACUUUGUUCACUUCAAACAUUACUAUGAUCAUCUUGAAGUUAUUCGUAUUGUUGUCUUUUGUAGACGACACAUGCUUUACUAAUUACUGCACUUUGAAUUUCUGCAUUGCAGUUGCUUAAAUUUUGAAAUUCAUACAAUUUAGAAUAUGCCAAGGUUUCAAGUAGAGAAUUUGGAGCACAACAAGAAGUUGUAUGAGCGGGGUCAAUGCCAUUGCUUCAAGGAAGAGUUGUACUCCAUCACAGCAAGCGUUGGCCUGGGUCCAUACCAAGGCAAUGAUGUUUGUCCCAUAACUAGCACUACCAAGAUUGGAAACCUCAAUCAGAAUAUAGGAGCUUUGUCUGUAAAACUGUCAGCAGAAGAUAUGGCUGAACUUGAAUCUAUUGCAUCAGCUAGAGUCAAGGGUGAUAGAUAUGAUCCUGGCCGUAUCAAGGGCAGAGGUUAUGGGAUCUGAUUAUGGGCAACUGAUUAUGGAAUCUAUUCUAUCAUAAUUGCAAAGAUUAUGACUGAAAUUAUGGGAUCUGCUCUAUCAUGUAUAUUAGCUGUAUAUUAGCAUAUGUGUCAUUAAUAUAUCAGAUAGGUAGAUAUAUUCUUACAUAGAAUAGAAUGUACAGAGUUUCUAUUUAAUGGAAAAGAUGCACAAAAGACAGCAUUCAGUCUUUGAUCUAGAAAAUUGUCAUGGUAUCAGAGCUGGUUAUUUGAAUUUCUGUGUCUUUCAAAAUUUGCUGAGUUGUUAUUCUUCUUGGGUUGAUUAUUUUGAUCAAUCAUUUGGUUUCAAGAUAUCAUUUUGGGUCAAUCAUAUUGUGGUUGGCAGCCUUUCUUGUAAUUCAGAUCUUUGUUUUUUUGAAAGUAUGUCUGUGGCAAACUCUUUGGGAAAAACACAUACGGAAUCUUUGUCUAUCAAGUUCAUUGGGAAAAAUUAUGCAGCAUGGGAUUUAGAAUGUUUCUAAAGGCAAAGAGCUUUGGAGUCAUAUUGAUGGGUCUUCUACAGAACCUAGAGAUGGAAAAGAAUUUAGUCAAUGGGAGGCAAAGGAUGCUAGAAUUAUUUCUUGGAUUCUAGCAUCUAUUGAAGCUCAUAUGGUGAAUAAUUUACACUCCUUUAAUACAGCAAAGGAGAUGUAGGAUCAUUUGAAGCGUGUAUAUCAUCAAGAUAAUACAGCAAGAAGAUUUCAACUUGAAUUGGAAAUUAGUAACUACGGCCAAGAUAACCUCUCUAUUAAGCAGUAUUAUUCUGGAUUUUUUAAUUUAUGGAGCGAAUACUCUGGUAUAAUCUAUUCUAAGGUACCAAGCGAAGCCUUAGCUGGUAUUCAAGCAGUUCAUGAAGUUAGUAAGCGUGACCAGUUUCUAAUGAAACUAAAGCUUGAAUUUGAAGCGGUCAGAGCUGGAUUGUUAAAUAGAAAUCCAAUUCCUUCUUUAGAUGUAUGUCUUGGUGACUUGUUGCAAGAAGAACUGAGAAUGGCUACACAAACUAUCAUAGGUGCAUCGAAGGAGAUAUCCGAAGUUGUCAAUAUUGCCUAUGCUGCUCAAGGGAGGAAUCGCGAAAAGGGACAAGUACAGUGCUUAAAAGCAGUCUGUUUGCCAGACACAUGGUGAGCCACAUUUAAAAAUUGGUUUCUAUCAUAAAGCCUAUCAUGUCCGGACAGAAGAUGGACUGUUUUUUAAAUUUUUUAUGAAAGCAAGUGAAAAGUGUUGCAACUCAGGACUUGGAUGGUAAUUCUAAAAUUUAUUAGUGCACCUACCUUUUAACUUUUGGUGUGCUUUUAAGGUAUCAAAUGGGGGAAAAAAAACCAACACCAUAUAACUUCAAAUGCAAGAUGGUACGAAAUUUGUAUCCAUUGACAUGUAAAAAGUGCACCGUUCAUCACAAAGAUAUUUAUCCUAAUAUUAGAUUCAUUUUUUCAAAAAUUCAACUUUGCAUGCAAACAUGUAAUCAAUAUGCAUAAAUAGAUAGCAUUAGAUGAAUUUAAACAAGUAGCCUUCAAAUUUAAAAAUAUUUGAUUUCAUAAAGGUGCAUUCGCAAUUUAGAAAAAGGACUUUUCAAAUGGCAAAUCUAGAGAGCAAUAAAUACUCCUACUUUAUUUUGAUUUCAAAUCUUAUUUUGACUUGUCAAAAAAGUGAAACACGAAACCAAUAAUGGGUCAGAUACAAGGCUAAUUACUCAGAAUAUCGAUGUAAAAAAUAUUGGACAUAUAUGAUUUUGACAAUGGGCAUGUAUAAAACUAUUGCUGUAAGGUUGUGUCAGCCCGGCAGCAAAAGAGGGUUUUUUUUUAAAGCCUGCCAUUGCCACCGAGCUGACACGGCUCGGCAGCAAUAGUUUAAUUUUUUUUAAACGCUGCCGGGCCUUGUCAGCCAGAUAGAACAAAAAAAAAAAAUUUUUUUUUAAACACAGCCCGGCAGCGGGCAACAUUUGCAAAAAACUUUAAAAAGCUGGCUGCCGGGCUACGACAGUUCAAAAGAUUUUGCUAUCCGCCUACAACACCAGGUGAUAAAGAUAAGGGCAAAGGCGUACCGGGCAUUGAUAUGAUCAUUUCCGGUGCAUGUUUUAAAAUUUCAAAUAUUUGAAUAUGGGGAUUUAGCGUUAUUUUAAUCUUUUAUUAUUAUAAUGCUUGUCGUUAUUUUUAAAUUUCACAAUUUCAGCAUGUCAUGUUGUGCAUUUUUCCUUCUUUUUUUUUUUGCCUAUUUUGUUUUUAUAUUGCACAAUAACUUUAUAUUUAUAAAAUUAUAUUGUACAUUAAAAAUUACAUAAUAAUUUUAACAAACAAUUUUCCGGUACAAUUUGAAAACUGCAUCUUAUUGUAAAAUGAAAGAGAUUUUUUGUUUAAAAAACCUUUUUUUAGUUUUUUUACCUAUCGGAGUAAUUAUUAAUUUUACAAAUCUGUUUUCAUCUUUUUCUUACGUUCCAACUUUGAAACGUAAUUUAAUUAACUUAAAAGACUGUCGGGUUUAGUAUGUCAGGUAUCACACUUGUUGUAAUUAAAAAAAAAUUUUCUUCUUAUUUUUCAUUUUUUGUUUUUAUAUUGCAAAAUAAAUUUAUACAUUUUUUCGAUUUUUCUAUACAAUUUAUAACAAAAAAAAUAAUAUCAAAUAUUAUACAUUGUAAUUUUAACAAUUAUUUUGCAACGGUUUAAAAAACCUUUUUUUAGUUUAACAUCCUAUAUAUUUUACGAAAAUGAUUUGAAUAUUUUUUAAUCAUUUAAAGAAAAGAUAGAUUUCUACAAUUACUAUUUUUUAAAUUUUAAUCCUUAAGAUAAAGAUUUUUGCGGGAAAGAUGAAGAUUUAAAGAAACAAUAAAGAGGCAAAGAAAAUAAAAGAGAAAAAUAGGAGAGGUAAUUUUGUCCAAUGGAGGAUAUAAUGAGACAGAAAAAUUCCGAUGAGGGAUAAAGUAAAAAAAGAGAUAUAUUUUAAGGACAUUAAUUGUGAUUAACCCUAUUUCUUAUGCUCAAUUUGUAACUGGUCCAAAGCAUCAAAAGUAGCGUCCGCCUCCCAGGUGAUGAAUUCAUGGUCUUGAAUGUCCAAUAACCUAAGAAGAGUAAAAAGAUCACUUUAAAGUUGCUCCACACCCUACAAAUGCUUCUGAUACUAACUUUCUCGUCAUAUUAACAAAUGCUCCGCACCUUAAUGCUUCAGCACCCGUAAAAAACGUGUUUUUGCAACUGGUCCAAGAGUUGAACCCUUCGCUCAGAGUUACUUCUGGAUGUUGAAAAAAACAUUUCGAUCACUUGAAUCUAACCUCCCGCGUCUAAUCAAGCCAGAAGGCCAGCUUUUUUUUCACUGACCCUUCAACGUGAACCUUCUGAGAACUUAUCUCAAGGGAAACUUUUAGUGGUUCAGUAGAAUUUUUUUUAAUCCUCUUACAUGUUUCAUUCGUAUCUCCUACUUCAUGUCCGUGCAUUGUUGAAUUCUGAAGUGCAGGUCUUCUUUCGCCCGUAUUGUUAACCUUCUUUUUCAUGUUCAUUGAAGCACAGCAUUCUUUUUUCAGGUUUGAAAUUUUUUUUUUAAAUUGGACUAGCUGCUGGACUGAGCUUUUUAAAGUUUUUUGCAGAUGUGCGUCAGCCCGGCAGCCAGCGAAUUAAGAAAAAAAAAAAUUUUUUUGAGGCCCGGCAGCGUUUAAAAAAAAAAAACUAUUGCUACCGGGCAAGCUUUAAAAAAAAAAAAAAAAAAACCCUAACAGCAAUAUUUUUAUACAUGCCCAUUGUCAGAACCAUAUAUGUCCAAUUUUUUUUUCAUCGAUAUUCUGAGUAAUUAGCUGAGAUAGAGAGGAGUAUUAGAAAUUUGUUUUCUAGAUUCUUUGGUCUCCCAAUUUUUUCAACGGGUCAACUCCGAUCAUUAUUAUCACAGUCAUGUGAUUGUAGGUCUACCACGCUUCAUAGUCCACAACGUGGAUUGGCACCACAAAGGAUGGUUUCAAAACACCAUUUUAGUCUAGUAAGGAUUGUGUAUAUAACACAAGUCUUUUUAGGUUUUCCCUCCCCUGUAAUCUAAAAUAAAAUAAAAUAGGUUAUACAAUUGUUAUAGUCUUCAGAAAAAAAGGAUAGGUCCCACCCUAUUAUUAUUAUUUUUCUUUUAUAAAUCAACAACGCCUAUUCUACACCUAUUUCAACUUCUAUUCUAGGGGAACGGGAGGUUCAACUGAAAAAUUAAUGGUGAUUGAACCACGAACGGACCAAAAACUUUCAAGAUAAAAUUUGAUCUAAAAAAUAAAUAAUAAUAUAUUAACUUAUUAUUUAAUGCGAUACAUAUUCAAAUAUAUUAAAUUUAAUAAUUUAAUAAAUUUUAAAUUUUACAUUUUAAAUUUUAAUUUUCAACCUUCAAUGUUGCCGUACUUACAACAACAACUUCUAGAUGGUCAACACUUAGAGUCGUAGCCCUUGCUUUUGGCAUACCCUAGUCCCUAUUUCUGUUGUUAUCAAUGAGGAAGCAAAUGUCUGCUAUUAAUUACACGAGACAUCAGUAGGUUUGUUUGGAUUGGAGGUUAUUUGAAAUAUUUUUUUGAGAUAAUUAAUGUAGUACUUUUUGUGAUGUAAUGUAUAUAAGAUAAAAUUGUGAUUGGAAAUUGUGUGGAUGCAAAACAAAAUUUUGAAAUUUUUUUUUGAAAACCUUAAUAUUAUUGGCUGCACUACAAAUCAGUCAAAACUCAAGAGAUGAUAUUAAUUGAAACAAGUGGGCAAAUUGAACGAGGAUGCGUAAUUGACAUGGAAGUCUUGGUAGACUUGGAGGUAGGCUUGUCAACGGAUUGGGUCUGGGUCGGAAUUCAUUAUUCUGGACCCGGAUCCGACAUACUAUAUUGGACUCGGAUUCGACCCAUUUAUUCGACGGGCCUUCUACUCUAUAUUCUGAAUCCGGAUCCGACGGGUCUCGGAUUCGGGUCGAGUCUACCCGAAAAAAUCUAUCAAAACUUACAAAUUCUAAUAAAAAUGAGAAAAAAAUAUAUUUGUAAACCAAUUUUUAACUAAUAAAAAAAAUCAAAUAAGAAAAAAAAUCAAAUUGACUUUACUCAAAUACAUCACCCUAAUCAAAUUAUAUUGAUAAAUAUAUAUAUAUUUAAAUUGUUAAUCCAUUUAUAUCCGAAUCCGGGUCUAAUACGGGUCGAAAUAUUAUAUUCCGUAUUCGACCCGUUUUUUGUUUGAUAAAACGGAUCCGGAUCCGGGGUCCGAGUAAUGGAAUUAAAUCCCUACUCGUACCCACAAUAAUUUGACGGAUUCGAUCCGGAUCCGGAUCUAGACUCGAACUGUUGACAGGCCUACUUGGAGGGAUCAACAUUUGAAUCUGACUUGGAUGAGGUAAGCACAAAGGUAAGCAUUUUCCAUUUUUAUUUUGGUUUUCAUUUCUUGUAUACUUUAAAACGUUUUUCAUUCUACCUCACUCACAUAUAAUAUAUAAUGAAAUGUAAAUUUUUUAUGAAAACAUAUAAAAUAUAUAAAAUGAAAAAUAAAUUUUUUAUAAAAACAUAUGUUUAUAUUUUUCUUUGUAUAAUGAAAAUUUAUAAUUCAUUCUACCAAUAUAUACGCAUAUAUAUAUAUAUAUAUAUAUGUAUAAUGAAAAAUAAAUUUCUUCUUCAUCUUUAGGGCUGCACCUACAAACAACAAAACUCAGCUCCACUCAACUCUUUCCUUCAUGUUUUUUUAUAAAAAACAUAUAUAUAUAUAUAUAUAUAUAUAUAUAUAUAUAUAUAUAUAUUAAGUUACACUAAUUGUUUUAUCUCUUAAUAAUUUUUAUUUUUUUUACUAAUAUUACCUCAUGAGAGGCAAAAAGGGUAUAAAUGGAACAAAAUUAUUAUCUCAUUUUCCAAAAGAAUUUUUUAAUGGUACUUUUUCUAACAUGGGUUGAAGCUACUAUCAAAAUCUAGUUUAGGGAAAGUUAGUGCUAUUUUUUAAAUUUUAGGGUAGAUGAGUACAACUGUUAGAAACCUCAAAAAGGGAUGGUUUCUGCAAUUAUCCCUAAAAGCAUAGACCAAGACUACACUAAACACUAAAAAUUUGACACCUAUUUCUUAUAACUAUACUAGAUAAUCUCAUAAUUAUAUAGAAAAAUAAAUCAAAAUUCAUUACACAAAAGCAUUUUUGGAUAUUUAUUUAAGAAUUUGAUCAAAUUAAUAUUAUUUUAAAGUUUUAUUACAAAAACUAUCAAAUUAAAGGAGGUAGGGGUAAUGUUUCAAACCUCACAGUGAAAUUGUUAGAAACCUCAAAGAGGUUCUUGAUAUUAUCCCUAAUUUUUUUGGGUACAAAAACCUCCAAAAAAGUGGCAGUUCAAACGGGGCCAACAUUCUCCUAUCAUCACAAGUCCUCCCGCUGACCCACUAGCCGCCGGCGGCCCUGGGUCAUCUAUUAAAGGCUUAAAGCAUAGACCAAGACUGCAGUAAUCCCUCAUAUACACAUGUUAACUAGAGGGGUCAAUCACAACCCAAUUAUAUUGAUCUGUUCAAACCCGUUCACUAAUAAUCCUUUCAAAUUCGCCCAUUAAAAUUUAAAUGGGUCUAAGUGAGUACCUAAUUAAACCCAUUUAAUUGAUGGAUAGUUGAUUGAUUCAACUCACCCAUUUAUACCCAUUUAAAAAUAAAUAUAUGACAGGGUGUCGAGCCUGUGCAAUAAUAAUUAUCUACUCAAGAAAAACACAAAUUCUGUAUAUAGCAGUGAGUAGAGUCGAAUCCACACGGACUGUAGAUAAUUCGUUUCUUUUAGAGUCCAAAGUAUGGGGGGUUUUGGAGAAUAUAAAAUAACUAAUUAACUAACUAAUAAAACAACUAAUAGAAAUAAAUAGAAAUUAAUCAAUAACCAAUAUGACUCUAGCCAAAGGUGCAACUUUUCAGACACGGUCCAUUCAACUGAUCAUCGAUGCAAAGAUAAUUCAAUUACUCAUUACUAGAUUGGUUAUAAUUGUCAUACACGCGAUGAACAACCAGCCUUUUCUUAAUUUCUCGAUAGUUAAAGUACGACCGUUAACUAUUUCUCUAACCAAGUAAUAACCCUAGGUACGACCAUAGGAUUUAAUUACUCGAUUACAUUAAUAAUUAGAAAAACCCAACCCUAACCAACAAACACGCUACGAGGGUUUGUUUAAAUUAGAUCAUACGUUUCCCUAACAUGAAACCAAUCACGCUAGUCGCCACUGGUAUUAAUCAAUUGAACAAUUACGGAUUCAAUCAAUUAAUUUAGCAUUAGAUCAUUAAGUUAAUUUGAAUAUCGGGCCCUUGACAUUCAAAUAACAUAACAAACAUAAGCAAUUAAAUCAGGAAACGUAAAAAUACCAAUGAAUAAAAGAAAUAAAUAAAAUUAAUUCGAUCUCACAGAUAUUUGGAACCGCGCCUUCAAAUUGGCCUUCGACUAGAUGAAAGGUUUAGUUCAUCUACAUGGAGGAAACCCCAUGUGAAAUUGCAGAAGUAAUUAUUCUAAAACAAAGCUAUGUUUUCGUCCUCCAUUGAAGAAAACGGCAAAGCUAUAUAUAAAGUAAUGAAUACGAAGGAACUACCUAGAAGCAAAAACAAAACGAAGCUCUCCUAUUCUAAAACAAAAACUACUUGUCUAGUGGUCCCCGCCGAAUUUAGAUAAAAGGGUGCAAUCCGUCAGAUCAAGCUUUGCCGACUUUUUCUCCUCUUUGUUGCCUAUUGCUAGGCAAAGACUUCAGUGCCCAGACCAUUCCUAAUCAGUGAAAAGAAAAUGCACUCCCUCUGCCGCACUCUGUGGGCCAGGUUGUUGAAGCUCUUUGGAGUCUCCUAUGUGUGGAGCUGUUUUAUCCUUCAGAUGGUCUCGCUCUUUUUUUUCUUUUUAUUUUCUUUUGUGUACUUUUCUGCUCCAUUCCUGAAAUGAGAUCCAAAUACCAAAUAUAAAUAUAUAUUAACAAUUAAACAAUAUUUAGUAAGGACAGAGGGGAAAUUAAUAAUAAAAUAAUCAAUAAUUAACACCCUAUCAAUUCCCCCCACACCUAAAUCAUACUUGCCCUCAAGCAUGGGGACGACAAAUAACACCAAAAUUUGAAAAUGGGUAUUGCCCCAUCUACCCUAUUGUCAAGAUACCAAGGAAAACAUCUAUCAAGCAUCAGUGAUCAGGGUUCAAGAAACAUCACCCCAAUUAGCUUCUAAACCACAAACUCCUCCAAUUUAAGACAAACUAAUCUAAGAAAAAGGAAUGGUUGCUCACAUUUAUCAACAAAUGGUCCAACUAUUAACUAAAAUCUCGAUAUUAAGAUCACAAACCGGCAAGCUGACUUAUUCACAUACUAACACAAUCUUUACUUUACUUCUUUUUUUUUUUUUUUUGAAUAACAAAAGACUUAGUCUAUAGCCCUUAGAGCCUUUUGACGCGAACUCCAACAUUUGCCAGAUGGAGAAGCCCGGUUUCUCAGCUCCAAUCGCUACGGGACCACGCACUCAUAGUAACUACUACCUUUUGAGGCGAAAAUCGACACUUUAGGUCAAGAUCCCCGAUCACUCAGUAGUAACCACUAGCGGAGUACAGUCAACUCUUAUUUACAACCAUAUAGCACGAUAACUAAAAAUAACAGCAGGCAGCCUCAAAUUUCCAAACAUGGAGAACUAAAAUUAAUAACUGGACCAAUUCACAUGAAAAAUGCCAACAAUCAUUCCCUAUGCCUAGAAAAGUUAACCAAAAAUUAGAAAAGUCAAGCAAUUACUGAUAUUCACAUGAAAAGUCAAGCAGAAGUAAGCAAAAGAGCAACUGUACUUCCCUGAAAUCACGGGGGGCAUGGCGGGGCCACAGCAGUGGGUGAGGCCGGAAAUGGUUGAUUUGGGUUGGGGUAGGCUAAGGUCGAGAGGUUCCGGACCUAGAAGAGGACUUUGAUCUCACCAUCGUCGCUAACAGGUAACCCAAUCAACAGAAACAAAAUUGCCAACAGAUAGAGGAACAAGUAAAUCUAGAUCAAUAGAAAUCAAUAUCCUCAAGUGAAGUCAACAAUCAACCCAAUAAGCACAGGUAUCUUCCAAUUUAAAAGGGUAGUGCACAAUAAAUGGCCCACCAAAUUUGCAAUGUAAAGCCCUGAGCAAUUCAAUCAAUACCAGAAAAUCGCCCCAAACAAUGUAACAGUUAAACUCCAUGGGCCAUGGACGUCCAACCAAUUUCACUCGAACAAACUAUGAGCAGUGCGAGUGACGAAACAAAGCAACAAAUUUCAGCAAUUAGACACAAUUCCACUCAAAAUCUCAACAAAUAUCUCCAAUGGACAGUCUUACACAACUUAACCAACUGGAAUUAGCAAAUAUCCCCAAGAAACUGACAAAACAAGCAAUAGUAGUUCAAAAUUUGGACUACAACUAAAUCAAAAUGUUGUUUCAGUUUUCAAUCAGGUAGCCAACCAAGUAGAAUCAAUAAAUGUAGACAAAAUACCCCAACCAGUACCACUGGUGUAUUCCACAGAAAAGAAUUAAUUCAAAUGCCAAUCCAAACGACUGAGAAACCCUAACCAAGACCAAACCGUACCAGAAAUUAGAAGAAAUGAAAAUGGGAAUCAAUUGGCAAGCAACUCCCAAAUCAACCCCAAAGAACUCCCAAAUAAAUGAAUUAUCAGAGGUGCCUUCAAAAACCAAAUACCAAAAAUGCAUAAAAACUCCCAACCAAUUCAACGGGAAAAACAAAAUUAAGCAAAUCACCUCCUGUGUUUAUCCAUCAAGGAACCCAAAAGCACAAAUUCCAGUAACUGAGGAUUCAGGAAAAAUGCCAAAACAAGGGUAGAAAGUUAAUACCUCCACCUGUCAAUUUUGACAGGUAGUGAUGCGCGGCAAGGAGGUGGCGCACGAGGUGGUGGCCGCGAGCUUUGGAAGAUGAGUUGGCGAUAGAGGCUGUCAGCUACGCGUGCGACUGUGCGCACAAUGGGAGGAGAGAGGCGCGGCGAGCUGGUGGACAGCAGCAGCGGCACGGGCUGGUGGCAGUGGCUGUGGAGCGUGGGCAGGCGGCGGUGCGCAGCUGGUCAACGAAGGAGGAGAUGGGCGGCGCUCGGGCUAAGGAGAGAGUGAUUUGGGGGCUGUGGCGGCGUGGGGUGGAGUUGCGGCGGCGGUCAAAGGCACUGGUGAGUGGAGGUGGCGGGGAUGGAGCUUGGAACGGAGGAGCUCAGCGAGCUGUGGGUGGACGGCCGUGGGCAGGGGAGCAGCGGCGGCCUUUGGAGCUGCUGAAGGUGGUCCGUGAGGUGGAGCUUGGAGCUCGGAGGCGGCGGCGAUGGAAGCUAGUCAGCGGCGUGCGGCAAUGGAUGAGAAAGGGAGACUGGUGGCGUCGGGCUAAGGAGAGAGUAAGGGAGAUGAUGGCGGAUGAGCGAAAGAAAAGAAGGAAAGGGAUACAGGGCAGCGAGGAAGAAGAGGAAGAAAAGGGAAAGAAAGGAAAGAAAAAAGAGAAGAAAAAGGAAAAAGAAAAGAGAGAAAGAAAAAAAGAAAAUAAAAUGGUUUUGGGGUUUUUUUUUCAAUAUUUUUUUUUCAAUUUUUUCCCUAAUUUAAAUUUUCAAAAUUUGAAUUUUUGAAGAAAAAGAAAGAAAGAAAAAUGCUCUUUGAAUUUUUGAAUUUUCUCAAUGUGAAAUUUUAAAUUUUUUUUUGGUUUUGGAUCGUCAAACACCGCGUGAGCACGCCAAGAUUACACUUCCUGGUCACAGUAGAGGAAAAUAUUAAGACCGACUACCACCCAAAUGAGAAAUGACAAAAUGAAAGUAAUGAACAAUGAAAAACGAUAAAACUAAUAUUUGGGUUGCCUCCCAAAAAGCGCCUUUCUUUUAUGUCUUUGGCCAGACAUUGCCAUAUUUGUUUAGGGAGGAUAAAAUCUUGUACCUCGGUUUAAUGUUUCAUCCUCUAUAUAGUCCUGAUAACCCUCGUAAAUAGAGUAAUUCUUGAACACAUGAGCUACGGUCUUCCCUGGACUAGUAAAUGGUGCCAAACAAGUCAACAAUAAGUUGAAUUUUCCAUUCACUCCUCCAUCACUUGCAUUUAUUGGUUUAAGAUAUCUUGCCAUCGCCACUCUUAAUUUAUUUCUGUCAUGAAAUUCGAAAUUUUCUGAUAUAAUAAAAUCAAUUUCAUUAACAGGAAUUGAAGAAUAAGAGUUAGAAGAAUAUUGAUGAAGGAAUGGAUGCGAUGUCACCGCAUUUGAAGAUUGUUCACUGGUUUCAUUCACUUGAACGAGUUGAUACUGGGGCAUUAUUUCUUGCACUUCACCUUUUUUUUCAACUGCAUCUUUAGAUCCGUUUUCUUGAAACUCUUGCAGUUCCAUGUCAUUUGACGGGAUAACUGCACUCUCAUCCUCUUCAAGGUUGAUAUUGGUUUGUGAGGGCAAUUCUUCAAGGUGAGAAGCUAAUCGCUCUAUCCUGGAUGUCAAUUGAUUCAUUUGAUCCGCCGGAUCCCUAAUGCUCGCUUGUGUCUCCUGAUGAAAUCGAUAUGUAUUAGUAGCAAAUAAUUCAAUCAAUUCCUGAAGAGACAUACCUGACAUGGAUGAUGGCUGUUGAGAUUCUUGCUGUUGAAAAUCCAUUGGCCCGGUCGCAUAAUUAAAAUUGGAAUCAUCCCACCAUCCUUGAUCAUACCCGUUUGAAUAAGGAUCGUACCACGUUUGAAAUCGAGGUGAAAAAUCUCCAAAAGUAUCAAUUGGAGCACUUAGAUUAUCUUGAAAUGCGGGGCAUGUGUCGGUUGAGUAACCUGAGUCAAAAUAAGUUCCACAAUUUGCAACAGUCCAUUGACCAUUAGGAAAAACUCGAGUCUCAUAACCUCAUUCGGGAAUAAAGUCCAGUCUAUCAUCAAAAUAUGGAAUGUUAGCUACCAUAAACUAUAUAUAACAAAAAAGAGAAAAAAAAAAAACAAGAUGAACUAAAAAAAAACAAAUUAAUUAGGCACCAGUCCCCGGCAAUGGCGCCAAAAAUUGACAGGGUGUCGAGCCUGUGCAAUAAUAAUUACCUACUCAAGAAAAACAUAAAUUCUGUAUAUAGCGGUGAGCAGGGUCGAAUCCACAGGGAUUGGAGAUAAUUCGUUUCUUUUAGAGUCCAAAGUAUGGGGGGGGAGUUUUUUGGAGAAUAUAAAAUAACUAAUUAACUAACUAAUAAAACAACUAAUAGAAAUAAAUAGAAAUUAAUCAAUUACCAAUAUGACUCUAGUCAAAAGUGCAACUUUUCAGAUACGGUCCAUUCAACUGAUCAUCGAUGCAAAGAUAAUUCAAUUACUCAUUACUAGAUUGGUUAUAGUUGUCAUACACGUGAUGAACAACCAGCCUUUUCUUAAUUUCUCGAUAGUUAAGGUACGACCGUUAACUAUUUUUCUAACCAAGUAAUAACCCUAGGUACGACCAUAGGAUUUAAUUACUCGAUUGCGUUAAUAAUUAGAAAAGCCCAACUCUAACCAACAAACACGCUACGAGGGUUUGUUUAAGUUAGAUCAUACGUUUCCCUAACAUGAAACCAAUCACGCUAGUCGCCACUGGUAUUAAUCAAUUGAACAAUUACGGAUUCAAUCAAUUAAUUUAGAAUUAGAUCAUUAAGUUAAUUCGAAUAUCGGGCCCUUGACAUUCAAAUAACAUAACAAACAUAAGCAAUUAAAUCAGGAAACGUACAAAUACCAAUGAAUAAAAGAAAUAAAUAAAAUUAAUUCGAUCUCACAGAUAUUUGGAACCGCGUCUUCAAAUUGACUUUCGACUAGAUAAAAGGCUUAGUUCAUCUACAUGGAGGAAACUCCAUGCGAAAUUGUAUAAGUAAUUAUUCUAAACAAAGCUAUGUUUUCGUCCUCCAUAGAAGAAAACGGCAAAGCUAUAUAUAAAGUAAUGAAUACGAAGGAACUACCUAGAAGCAAAAACAAAACGAAGCUCUCCUAUUCUAAAACAAAAACUACUUGUCUAGUGGUCCCCGCCGAAUUUAGAUAAAAAGGUGCAAUCUGUCAGAUCAAGCUCUGCCGACUUUUUCUCCUCUUAGUUGCCUAUUGCUAGGCAAAGACUUCAGUGCCCAGACCAUUCCUAAUCAGUGGAAAGAAAAUGCACUCCCUCUGCUGCACUCUGUGGGCUAGGUUGUUGAAGCUCUUUGGAGUCUCCCAUGUGUGGAGCUGUUUUAUCCUUCAGAUGGUCUCCCUCUUUUUUUUCUUUUUAUUUUCUUUUGUAUACUUUUCUGCUCCAUUCCUGAAAUGAGAUUCAAAUACUAAAUAUAAAUAUAUAUUAACAAUUAAACAAUAUUUAGUAAGGAUAGAGAGAAAAUUAAUAAUAAAAUAAUCAAUAAUUAACACCCUAUCAAUAUACAUUUAAGCUCAAUUUUUACUAAGUGUUAAGAUGAUAAAUUUGAAUUUCCUAUGACUCUAAUAACAAUAAAAUAUCAUUUUUCUUGUCAAACAACAUGCAAAAAACAAAAAAAGGUAGAAUUUCAAAUUAAUCAUAAAUGGGUAAUUGAGUAUUCUCAUGUCUAUUUGUUAAAUUGAUAUAAAUGAAUUGAUUCAAUUAUAACUAUUACUCAACUAGAAUCCGCUCAAACCCGUUUAAGUUAAUCAUUUUGACACCCCUAAUGUUAAUAUAUAUUGACAAGUGAAAAGUGCAGCAUUUAUCACGAAGAUAUACUUAUUUAUUUUAAUAUUAAAGUCAUUUUUUCAUUACAAAAAUAUUGAUAAUUUCAUAAUUUCAUGGAAGUAUGUAACCAGUGACAUAACAUAGUCGCCAGUGGCGAAUCUUGUCACGAGCCUUCUUUUCAACGCUUUGAUUAUGGCAUACACCUUUAACAAUAUGCCCCCACGUUGUCUUUCGAUCACUUUUUUUUUUUUUUUUAACCUCACAUUCGUUCGUUAUGUAUGUAUAAUUUCUUUACAAAAAAGUGAAAAACUCCAAAAACGUGGCAGCUCAAACGGGGCCAACAAUCUACUAUGUUCGCCUGUUCUCCCGCCGGACCCACCAGCCGCCGGCGGCCAUGGGUCAUCUAUAAAAGCAUAGAUCAAGACUACACUAAUCCCUCAUCAGUCCAAUCCAUCCAUACUUCUUCUUCAGGCCUCAGCUACUAAACAAUAAACUCUGCUCCACUCAAUUCUUUCCUCUGUUUCUUGUGGUUUUUGUCUGAAAAUGGCGGCAUCAGAAGAAGUGAAAGUGCCAAGAAUCAAGCUGGGGUCGCAAGGUUUUGAAGUUUCAGCUCAAGGGCUGGGCUGCAUGGGCAUGUCAGCCUUCUACGGGCCGCCAAAGCCCGAGCCUGAUAUGAUCAAACUCAUUCACCAUGCUAUUAGCAGAGGCAUCACCCAUCUUGACACCUCCGAUAUGUAUGGACCUCACACCAACGAAAUACUCAUUGGCAAGGUACCGUAUUUGCAAAUUUUCUGCUGUUGUGUGCUAUGCAUAAACUCUUGUACUUCUAAUUUCUAAAAGAGCAUAUUUGUAAGUAUUUUAUUUGGGUAUAUUAUAUUUAACCCCCUGCACUUGAAAUCUUGUCUCCCUUUGUGCCCCCUUAAUUUUGUUUGUCAGCACUUAAACUCCAUCUGUUUAAAUUAUAAGUAUUAUUAGUCAAAUAAGACAAUAAUAUUCUUCAUUUCUUCUUCUUCUUCUUCUUCUUCUUCAUUUUUUCAGAUGUUUGUCCUCAAUUGUAAGAGAAGGUCGUAGGUCUAGCACAUACGUUGAGUAGCUGUAUCCGAUUAGAAGGAUUUAGAUCAUAAUGGAGUUGGUAAAAUAGUACUAUUUUCGUCUUUGAAGUUAAAAUUGUCAUCAAUUUAUGGAAAGUUUACUAUUUCUCUGAUAAGAGAUGGUAAAAUUUACUUUUUACGAGUACUAAAGUUUUAAAGAUUAUGAAAAGAGAAUUGUACGAAUGAAUAUAAGGGAAAAGAAAGGUAAGAACAUAAAUAGAUUGUGUUUGGAUUGAUUUUGGGAGGGGCAAGGAGAGGAAAGGGAAAGAAAAGGAAAUGGAUGGAUUGUGUUUUGCUCAGACAUCAUUUCCAUACAAAAGUAGACGGAAACAGAGGGAAAGAAAAUCUAGUUGAUGAUUUUCUUAUAAAAUGCCUCAAGCACCCAAAUUUUACAUAAACUUGAGUAACCAUGUGUUUCAUAUCUGUAGAACUUGCCAUUUGUGAAACCUGCUUUAGAUAUGAAUUGUGGGAUGCAACAGCAGGCUAGGAAUGUUUGACUAAGCAACUUAUGUAAAUAUUUUAUCGUUAAGUGAAGUUCCUCUUUUGCUGUUUAAAAAAAAAAAAAAAAAAGAGAGAGAAAAACCAUUCCUUUAAUGUCUGUCAUUCUACCAAACAGCAGAUUUAGGAUUUCUUUUUUUCCCAUCCAUAUCUAAUCCAAAUAAGGCAAAUGAGAACUAUUUUCCACUACUCUCCUUUCCUUUCUUUUUCACUAGGAUGUUUUAUUUAUUCUUUCCUUUGAUCCUAAUGGUUCCUAAAAGGGCACUAAUUAUUCUACAUUGAUCGUUCCCCAUAUUUGUAUUAAUGUGCAUGUUCACGAUUCUGUGUACGUUCAUGUUGUGCAUCAAAUCUUGUGAAUGUCAAAGCUAAGAUUGUAAAUUUAAGUUGAAGAAACAUAAAAGAAAAAAGAAAAUGGAUUGGCUCCUUUAAGAGUAUCAGACUUCUAAACCCCAAGGAUUACAUAAUUUUCAUAUCCUUUGCUAUACAAAGAAGUGGCAUAGCCUUAACAAUGAAGUGCUGGAAAAACUCCAGAAGGACUGUGCCAUCCAUGAAAUCACAAUUCCGCUUGCUAUACCAUGCAUUAAUGUGUAUGCCCUUGAUGAUUAAUAUAAUGAAAUCAUGGUUCUAGGCCUUGAAGGAAGGAAUAAGAGCGAAAGUGGAGCUAGCAACAAAAUUUGCAAUCAGUUAUCAGGAUGGGAAAUUUGAUGUACGUGGUGAUCCAGCCUAUGUGAGGGCUUGUUGUGAAGCGAGUUUGAAGCGGCUUGAUGUGGACUGCAUUGAUCUCUAUUAUCAACAUCGCAUUGAUACACGUGUGCCCAUUGAAGUCACGGUUUGCUCGUCUUGCCUUUCUUGUAUUUUAGCUCCACCUCAUUCUUGAUGAAACAAAAGUUUGAUCAACUCCAAAUUUCGAAUAAUUCAGUUUCAUGUGCGUUUCAAUUCUUCAAAAAUUGCACAGAAAAGUUAGUCAACCUUAUGGUCUAGGCUAAUCUGCAGUAUGCUAAAUCUUAUUUAGCACCAGGCACCCUGAAAAGUGAAAACAAUGAAAAUGUCUUAUAUUAGCUUGGCAGUCCUGCUGAGGGAUAUACAGGUGGAUAUCAUGCUAUACAUUGUACAGCUUUCCUUUAGAAGCAAGAGACCUGAGCAUUCUCUUUCAUUUGAGAUAGGCUAUCCAGUUGAGUAAUGAUAUGCUAUUUACUUACCUUGUCAUUCGUUUUCAGUCGGUGCCAAAAGCACUGCAGAUAGAAGUUUUUUAGUCAAUAUCUAAAAAACGUGGUACUCAUUUUGUUCAGAGUAUAGCUUUUUGUCUAAUUGUGAAAGCCAGCUGCGACUACCCCGUUGACCUCUCUAAGCAAUUCAAAGAUUGCAGCUGCUUGCUUACAUUCAGCUUUUAUGAAAACAAUUUCUGUCUUCUUUUUCUAAUAUAGUCAGCAAAGAAUUGUCUUGUUUUUCCUGAGUAUUAGGAAGAAACUUUCUUGCAGUUUAAUCACUCAAAAUACAGGCAAGUAUAAAGGAAAUCAAGGAAAUCGACAACUGAUAAUUGAUAUGUGCAGCCAUUAUUAUAUCUAGACGAAGUCAACAAUGUCGUGUAAUCAUAUUGGAGGAGCAUUAUGUUGGCAUGGUCCAAUAGAGCUAAGUCAUCCGGUGGGCUGUACAUAGAGAAGUAUCACUGGAUGCUUAUUGCCAUUUUUGUCAAUUAUUGAUUUCAGUUUGACGUAUAAUUUGUCCACGACUUCAUUGAACUAGUCCAACUUUUACUUUUUUGCACGUAAUAUUUCGAUUAUCUGCCUAAGUAUUGAAUGUAAUAAAUCAGCUUUGCAUUUUCUUGUCCAUUGAAAUUCUCUAGAUAGGAGAGCUCAAGAAACUGGUUGAAGAGGGUAAAAUAAAGUAUAUAGGUCUGUCUGAGGCCUCAGCUUCAACAAUUCGAAGAGCACAUGCUGUUCAUCCAAUAACAGCGGUACAGUUGGAGUGGUCAUUGUGGGCCAGAGAUGUCGAGGAAGAGAUUAUUCCCACUUGCAGGUAGUGCAUAUAUUCUGCUGCAUUUUCUACGUGGUCUAGAAGAAAUAUGAAGUUCUUAAUUCAGUUUUUGGUAUAAUCUUUCAGAGAGCUUGGAAUAGGGAUUGUUGCAUACAGUCCACUUGGAAGAGGAUUCUUCUCUUCAGGUCCAAAGCUGGUCGAGAAUUUGGCUGAAGGUGACUGCCGAAAGGUUUGUGCAUAUCCAAAACUAUGAAGUUUUUGAGUAUAGAUUGUUUAUAGUUCGAAUAAGUUUCUCACUCAUCUACUUUUACCACUUCAGUGACAAUCUUGCUUGAUAUCCCUAUUCUUGUCUAUCUGUCAUAUGUUGCUGCACUUUUUGAUGUCCAAUAAUUUGAUUAAGCCUUAUAAUAUGAUCACAUUUAAUCAAAUUUCUAUUAAGCAGAGCAAAUCAACAGGCUUUUUUUUUUCCUGUCGAACAAGUCUUGAGGUCUUUAGUUGAUUAAAUGAAUGCAGAUUUUGGUGUCCUCUGUAUUUAGUUCAAAUUAAAAGAUAUAGCGCUAGCUUUGUCAAAUUUUAGAUCUUAUAUUAAUUGAAGGUUGUUAUUGCAUGCUGGAGAUUUAUAUAGUGGACAACAAUCACAAGCAAUCGAUAGUAUCGAAUUUUAAAGUGCAAAGAUGUCGCAAGACAUCAAAACAGGAAGAAACUAUGUCACUUUUUAUGUAAAAGUCUCUUUUCAGUUUUGAGGGGAAAUGGACCUUGGACUUCAAUUUCAUCAUUUAGUCUCAGGCACAGAAUUUCAUCAUUUUGUCCUGUGAAACUAUCAUUUUUCCUUUACCAUUAAUCCUAAAACUGAGUUUCAUUGGUCAGAAGUGUACUUCUUAGUACAAACAUUAGUUGAUAUGCAUUUUAAGGUUCCCCUUUGAUGGGAAAUGUAUCUCAGAACUUAACUCCAACAGUUGAUGUUUCCUACUUGGAUUAUUCAGUCCACCUUGAUGCAUUGUUCUUUGCCCUGAACUUGUGUCCUUCAAACAAUAUUGCUGAUCAUCUUGAAGUAAUGUACCGUUUGUUCAUUUCUCCCUUCUGAUUUCUUGCAUUAUAGUUUCCUCUUUAAUGGGAAAUGUAUCUCAUGAUCUACCUUCUACAAUUAAUGUUUCUUAAGAGUACUCAGUCCACCUUACUGGAUUGUUCCUUCCCCUGAACUUUUUACACCUUAAACAAUACUAUCAAUCAUCUUGAAGUUAUUCAUAUUGUCUUCAUACCUAUCACCCUUUACAGUUGCUUGAAUUUUUGAAAUUCAUACAAUGUAGGAUAUGCCAAGGUUUCAAGCAGAGAAUUUGGAGCACAACAAGAAGUUGUAUGAGCGGGCCAAUGCCAUUGCUUCAAGGAAGGGUUGUACUCCAUCACAGCUAGCAUUGGCCUGGGUCCAUCACCAAGGCAAUGAUGUUUGCCCCAUACCUGGCACUACCAAGAUUGAGAACCUCAAUCAGAAUAUAGGAGCUUUGUCUGUAAAACUGUCAGCCGAGGAAAUGGCGGAACUUGAAUCUAUUGCUUCUGCGGGAGUCAAGGGUGAUAGGUAUGCGCCUGGCCUUGGUACUUGGCAAACUUCUGAAACUCCGCCUUUGUCAACCUGGAAGCGGACAUGAAGACAUACCUUUGUUAUGGCAAUAAUUCCUUCUAGCUAUGUGCCUGAUGGUGGAUUUCACUAUAUUGAGAGUUGAGUGAUAUGUAAUUGUUCCAAUAAAUUUUGACAUACUAUUGUCUCUAGGGCUAUGGCACGUAAAGUUAUAAGUAGAAUGGAUGGAGUUUCUUCAGAGAGGUUGUAAUAAAUAAAGAUCUGGUCAUGUAAAAGCUGAAUAUAAUUUUCCUUGCAGUUGAAUGCAUUAAGAGUUAUAUAUUGUACUUUUGAAUGCUAAAGUGGUCCAUUUUUUAUGUGCUACUGCUACGAGAGUUAUAGAUUGUUGAACAGCAUUCAAUUCUGGACUUAUUAAACAUAAGCAUAUAAACAUUUUAUUCUCGGAAUAUUUACAUCAAAAGAAACUCCAAGGUCACAUCAUUGUAAAGUGUAAACUAUAUCAUAUUAAUAAAAAGCAAAAAAAAUGUCUAAAUGAGGAAAAAAAAUGUACUAUAGAAGAAGUCAACAAUGUCAUGUAAUCAUUUUAUCCUAAAAUUGAGAUUCAAAUUUAGUUGAUUUGUAUUUUGAGUUUCCUCUUUGAUGGGAAAUGUAUCUCAGAACUUUAACUCCAACAGUUGAUGUUUCCUACUUGGAGUACUCAGUCCACCUUGAUGCAUUGAUCUUUCCCCUGAACUUGUGCCCGUCAAACAAUAUUUCUGAUCAUCUUGAAGUAAUUAGUACCAUCUGUUCAUUACUCCCUUCUGAUUUCUUGCAUUAUAGUUUCCUCUUUAAUGGGAAAUGUAUAUCAAGAUCUACCUUCUACAAUUGAGAUUUCUUAGAGUACUCAGUCCACCUUACCAGAUUGUUCUUUUUCCUGAACUUUGUUCACUUCAAACAAUACUAUGAUCAUCUUGAAGUUAUUCGUAUUGUUGUCUUUUGUGGACGACACAUGCUUUACUGCCUUUUUGAAUUUCUGCAUUGCAGUUGCUUAAAUUUUGAAAUUCAUACAAUUUAGAAUAUGCCAAGGUUUCAAGUAGAGAAUUUGGAGCACAACAAGAAGUUGUAUGAGCGGGUCAAUGCCAUUGCUUCAAGGAAGAGUUGUACUCCAUCACAGCAAGCGUUGGCCUGGGUCCAUGCCAAGGCAAUGAUGUUUGUCCCAUAACUAGCACUACCAAGAUUGGAAACCUCAAUCAGAAUAUAGGAGCUUUGUCUGUAAAACUGUCAGCAGAAGAUAUGGCUGAACUUGAAUCUAUUGUAUCAGCUGGAGUCAAGGGUGAUAGAUAUGAUCCUGGCCGUGGUACUUGGCGAACUCCUGAAACUCAACCUUUGUCAACUUAGAAGACUACAUGAAAACAUACCUUUGUUGAGGUAUUAAUUCCUUCUAGCAUUCUACCUGUUGGUGAUUUCACUGUAUUGAGAGUUGAGCGAGUUGUAUUUGAUCCAAAAACUUUGUCAUACUAUUGUCUCGAGGGUUAAGACAUGUAAAGUUUUAAGAAGAAUGGUGUUUCUUUAGAGUGCUUGUAAUGAAUAAAGAUCUGGUCAUGUAAAAGUAGAACACAACAUACCAACAAUGUCAUUGUAAACUACAUCAUACCAACAAAAAAGUAGAAAAUGGUCUAAAGUGAAUCAGAAAUCAACAAAAACUAUGUAAGCACCAAUGGAAAGCAGAAAAGUUCUUGAUACCAUAGUAAACACCAAUGGAAAGCUAAAAAGUUCUCGACGCCAUAGAAAUUAGGGAUUCGUUGGGCAAAAAAGUUCUUAACACCAUACUCUAUAGACGUAGGGGAUCCAGGUUUGGGCAUCUAGCUAAGUGGAACAGGUAAAGGAAAGCUGCAUCACAGAUGUAGCAAGUAGUUCCAAUGCCCUUGCCAAUGGUAUAGGCUUUCUUGCUUCCAACAUGGUCUUGAAAGUGCAGAUUAGAGAAGGAUAUCAAAGCCGGCCAGCUGCGAAUCCUGUGGGGUGAAAACCAUACAUUUGAGAACAUAAACAAAACAGAGCUGCCUGGUCCUCAAUUUAAGCAUUAUACUUGAGAAGGACAAUACAAGCAUUCAGGGAUAUUUGCAGCCCCAUCCUCAAUGUGUGAGAAAAUAAACUUUACAUGCAGAAAGGAAAUAAAUGGUUGAAAUUACACAAUGGAUGGAUGUUGAAAAGAAUCACUAACAAAUAUGUCUAGAAGAUCGAUCUGUUAAGCAUGGGAAGUUCAAAGAGUAGCAUUUUUUUUGAAUCUCAGAAAAAUGAAGAGUAAGGUACAGUCCAACAAUUUAGGGAAUUCAAACUCUAUUUGUGAAUAAACUGCUUGUAUUUUUCCUUUUUCUAGUGUAAGAUUUAAGGAAAAGUUAAAAUCACUUGACCCCUGAUCAGUUCUUUACCAAUACAUUGAUUUUGACUUCAAUCAUGAACAAAUAAUUCAGAUUAAGACUGAAUAGUUAAUAAAUUGAAAAAAAAGGGAAAGACAUCAGAACUUAGAUGUAACACACUAAUCCAUAACAUCCAGUCCUUCUUACUUUUCGUGCCUUUGGCCCAGUGUUGCAAAAGGCCUUGCCUGAGGUAAGGCAUUUGUCUCUACUGCAGCAGCACGAAAGCCUUGGAGCAUGGGUUGUAAUUCUCAUGAAUUUUAAAAUUUUUGAAUAUUUUAAAAAUAUUGUAAUAUUUAUGCAAAAUAUUAUUAAAACACAUAUAACUAUAAUAAAAUAUGUAAAAUUUUAAAAUUAUAGAAAAAUAUAUUAUCAUGAUAUGCGGUAGUAAUGACAGUAUAGAAAAAAAAAAAUAUGACAAAAAUUCAACGAAUACUAGUCGUGGGCAUCUGAAAAUGGUUAUAGAUGACAAGGGACGAUGAUUUUACUUGGAAACUUGGGUUUUUACAUUCUUGUGGUAUGUAUUACUAUACAAAAAUGGUAAAAUUAAAAUAUAACCAAGUUUUGGGGUUAAAUAAGAAAUUUGAGAUAACAGGUUAGCUAAAUUUUUAAAGUGAGCCAAAGCACAAGGACUUAAUACUACAUGUUUUACUAAAAUGGGACCCACAUCUCUAAAUUCAGGCCCGUCAGGUUCAUCGAGGUGCUUCGUUCGCAAGCCCAUUUGUCAGCCCAAAUCAUCAAACGCUUCCUUCCUCCCCUUUUUAUUUAAUAAACCCGAUACGACUUCCUGAUUAUUCCAGGAUCCAACAAUUAAAACUUUACUGGCUCUAAAAAAAAAAAAAACAAUUAAAACUUUACAUACAAAUAAAUGGUCAAAUUCACUUAAAAAUUGUGGGGUCAUCUUCCACAUUAAACUUUUGUACUAUCCAAGUUUGUUUUAAUUCCUUUGGGAAAAUCAAACAUCGAAUGCAUUCCCCAAAAAAAACAAAAAAGGGAAAAGGAAAUGGCUUACCUUUGCCCUUACGUAUCCAAUCCCAAUUUGAACAUUACAUCAUCCAUCCAAUUGAAACAAACUCCUAUGGAGAUUUUUUUUUUGCUCUAUUUUGUUGUUAGAUCUGAAAGUUUUUUCAAAAUUUGAAUCUAUUUGAACAUAUCUCAUUAUCAUUAUUGAAACUUAAAACCAUUUAUUGACAAAUCUGGCAAUUGCCAUAUGCACAAAAGGGAGACGCUUUAAAAUUCUUUAUAUUUUAUUAGAUGUGUUUGUAAUUUUCAAAUCUAUUGUAUUAGUUAAAUUAUAAUCUGUAAUUUUUAAUGCAUGCGUGACCUGCCAUUAGAGGAGUUAUGUAAAUCAAAUCAUGUUGGACGAUUUUCAAAAAAAAAAAAAAAAAACUUAACCGUCAAUUACUCUUUCCCAUUUUAUUUGUCCACUUUUCAAUUGUCAAUAACUCUUUUAAAAUAUUUUGCAAUACAAAAAUCAACUGAAACCAGUAGACAUUGUAAUUAAUAGCAGUAUUCAAUUCUUGUUUUUGUAUAUUACUCGUACAUCUAAUUAGUCCAAUUUGGAGGGAAAAAAAGGUGAAAACAAAAAAAUAUAAUAGUCACAAAAAACACAGAUCUAGCUCAAAAUAUGGCAGUGACCAAUUGUUCUGCAAAAUUAGUAGGAUAAGCAGUUGACAAAUUCUAUAAUCCCUUUUGGUCAAAUAUUAUUUUUAAUAUUUAGGUCGUUACAAUUUCAAUAAUUUAAAUUACCAGUUACUAUCAUCAUUGGAAGAAGCACAUUGAAGGAAUGAUACUCUAAGAUGACUGAUAGAGCGAUUUUUGAGCACAUUUUGUACUAUUAUUCUGUCCUAAUUUUGGCUACUCAUGGUGCUAAGAAUUAAGAUUUUGCUCAUAUUUGAUAUUUGUAUGAAUUAUAGGUGGUUGGCGUUAAAAAUGAUCUUGCGAGGCGAAUUUCUAGAAGACCCUUCAGGUCAAGACGUGCCCAUGCCAGAAGUAGUGGAAGGUUACCCAUAAAGUCGGACCCGCGGGCUUGGUAGCAAAAUAAGUCAACUAGGGAACCAGGUCCACGUGGAUCAAAGGCGGGGGAUUAGAACCCUUAGGCAAAGCUUGUUCCUUUUUUUGGAUUACUACUGGCGGCGCACAUGAAAAAUAUAAGAGACGAAGCCAGGUUCACGUGAAAGGAAGGAGAUAGCUUAGUUUUCUUUUCCCAAAUUUGUCAGACGUUUGUCUUGCUUUUCUCGGUAGAAAACAGAAGACAAGCCAGAAUCACGUGGGCUUAGUAGAUUAGUUUUCGUUUUCUUCACUGGCAACAAUUUCUUUCUCUGUUUUGACUUUUGAUAAAUUUCAUGAGAUUGCUCCAGUACGGACACGAAAUAAGAAAAGGAAUUAAGAGACUUUCUCUUCAUUAUUCCUCCGUUAGUUCACUUUUCUCAAUUCUUCGGCAAUUAAUUGAAUGUUUUCAAUUAAAUCACACGGGAUUGACAGGAUGAGGAGAGGCUAGUUCUCUCCUCUACCCAGAGGUCGACGCGAGGGCGCGGUCCAUAAUAUCAGUAAGAUCUGAUCAAACUUUCAUUAUUUCUUCCAAUUUGUUACUAUUCGUGCGUUUCUUGGAUUAAUUAUUCAUGGGUAUUUUAUUAAUUGAAUAUCAACGGCCGGGUAUUUAAUUUAAUUUAAUAGCCUACUGUCACAUUAACUAAAUUCAAUCCGUAAUUGUUUGUUUAGUUGAUAACUAGUGACAACCAGCAUAAUUAGCUUUAUGUUGGAGGAAUGCAAGAUCUAAUUUAAAUAAACUCUCUUAGCGUGUUUAUUGAUUAGGGUUGAGUUCUUCUAGUUGUAAUGCAGUUGGAUAAUUAAAUUCCUAUAGUUGUACAUAGAGUUGUUAACUGGUUAGAGAAGCAGUCAACGGUCGUACCUUGGCUGUCGAAAAGGUAAGGAAGAAUUGGUUAUCAGAACUUGUUGUUAGCUAUAACCAAUCAAGUAAUGAAUGAGUGAAAUAUCUUUGCAUCGAUGAUCGUUUAAUUGGACCAUGCCUGAAAAGUUGAUCCUUUGGGUAAAAUUUUAUUAAUUGCUAUUUUUACUAAAUUGCACUUGUUGAGUUAGCUCUUGAGUUUUACUUAUUUUAUUUUUACUUUCACCCCAUUAAUUAUCCCUCUCUUUUAUUCUAUUGACUUAGAAAGAAAUCACUUCCUAUCCGUUCCCUGUGGAAUCGACCCUACUUGCCAUUGUACGCAAAUUUAAUAUUUUUAUAGACAAAUCUGGUAUAUCGGAUCAAACAAAUUUUUUGAAAAUAGGGUGAAUCAAGUAACCCAUUGCACACCUAGAGUCCCUGCUCCAGUACUUGGAUUUGUUCUAUAAUGAAUUGUGGUGGUAAUUAGGACUUUUUAGUAAUUAUUAUUGCACAGGUUCGGCACCUGUCAAUUUUUGGCGCCGUUGCCGGGGAGCGGUGUUUUGGUUAAAUUUGUUUCUUUCUAAGUUAUUCUCUUUGAAUCUGUCUAGCAUUUUUCUAGUUUAUGCCUCGCUCUUCUCGUACAGGCGAAUUGAUUUUCGAUUCAGAAGUAGAGAAGGCUGCGCGCCAAACUAGGAAACAGACCAGACAACUCAGGGAGGAGCAAUCCAGUAUUGCAUCUCAGGGACUGGAUCUUGAGGUUGAAUCAACAGAUUCAAGUAGUGAAAAUUUAAAUGAUCCAGGCCAAGAGGGCAUCCUUAUGGCAAAUGCAAGAAUACUAUAGGAGUUGGCUGCUCCAGAAUUACCCCAGCAGCCUUUGUGCAUUACAUUCCUAACGUUGGCUAAAAAUAUCUCAUUUGAAUUGAAGUCAGAAUUAAUCCACCUCCUACCUACGUUCCAUGGCCUCUCAGGUAAGGAACCCUACAAACACAUCCAAGAGUUUGAUGUGGUAUGCUCCAGUAUGAAGUCUCCAGGAAUUACUGAGGAGCAGAUUAAACUCAGAGCCUUCCCCUUCUCCCUCAAGGAUGCAGCAAAUGAUUGGUUGUACUACCUACCUGCAGGUAGUAUCAUCAAAUGAGCCCAACUUAAGAAGAAAUUUUUGGAAAAAUUCUUCCCUGCGUCCCGGGCUGCAAGUCUGAGAAAAGAGAUAUGCAGCAUUAAGCAAUAUCCUGGAGAAUUCUUAUAAGACUAUUGGGAGAGAUUCAAUAAGUUGUGCACUAGAUGCCCACAGUAUCAAAUUAGUAAAUAACUGUUGAUCCAAUAUUUCUAUGAGGGACUCCAGUCGUCUGAUAGAAGCAUCAUCGAUGCUGCGAGUGGGGGAGCCCUGGCGAACAAGACACCACGAGAAGCAUGGAUAUUCAUUGAAUCAAUGGCGAAAAAUUCUCAACAGUUUGGUUUCCUAAAAAGUAACCCUACCCGGAGGGCUAACGAGGUAGAGACGUCAUCCAUUCAGCAGCAGAUAUCAGAGCUAACAUUUUUUGUUACAAUUAGCUGUGGGAAACAUGCAUCAAGCUAAGGCCUGUGGAAUCUGCACAAAUGUGGGUCACUCCACUGACUCAUACCCUAUGUUGCAAGAGGAUGGGGGUGAACAAGUGAACAUAGUCGGAGGCGUGCCCGUGCCUCAUAGACAGUACGAUCCAUACUCCAACACAUACAAUCUGGGUUGGCAAGACCACCCCAAAUUCAGUUAUGGUAAUAAGCCACAGAAUUCAUUUCCCAAUCGCCUACAAGGAUUCCAACAACCGUAGCAACAAAAGUCUCAACCCUCGUCCUCCAGCUCAGGAAGUCAUUUGGAGAAAAUUGUCAAGAGUUCAGCUACGACUAUAACUCAGCUCCAGCAAGAGACUAGGUUCUUGGUCGCGAGCAUUACUCAGUUCCAACAGGACACCAAAGCAGGCAUGAAAGACAUGGAAAUUCGAAUGAGUUAAAUGACAACUGCCAUUAAUCGCCUAGAGUCCCAUGUUUAUGAAAAAUUGUCAUUUCAAUCCGAGCCAAAUCCCAGAAAUGUAAGUGCCAUAACAUUAAGGAGUGGCAAAAAGGUGGAGGGACCUAAGUUGGUAAAUUCGAAAAGCAAAAGUGAGGAAGAGAUAAAAAAGGAGAUUGAAGAAGAAGGACGCAUUCGUAAAGACCCUAAGGUAAAAUUUACUCUUUCAGCUCCUAUUAAAUCUAACUUACCUCAUUUUCCUUGCAGGUUAGAAAAAACAAAGAAGCAAAAUAAGGAAAAGGAGAUUUUAGAGGUGUUUCGAAAGGUGGCAAUCAAUAUCCCUUUGUUGGACGCGAUCAAACAAGUGCCAAAAUACGCUCAAUUCUUGAAAAACUUGUGCGUUAACAAGAAGAAGUUGAGGGGGGAUGAACAAAUUGUGGUAGGUGAGAACGUUUCAGCGAUUUUGCAAAGGAAACUACCACCUAAAUGCGGAGAUUCAGGUAUGUUUAUUAUCCCUUGUAAGAUUGGAUGUUCUAAUAUCAAAAAUGCCAUGCUAGAUUUAGGGGCCUCUAUUAAUGUGAUGCCUAAAUUAAUUUAUGAUUCCCUAAAUUUAAAACCUUUAAAAGAAAUAGGGAUAAUAAUUCAAUUGGCUGAUCGUACAUUUGCUUAUCCGGAUGGAAUAGUUGAGGAUGUUUUGGUGCAAGUAGAUGGAUUAAUUUUUUCUGCUGAUUUUUACGUACUUUACAUGGAUGAUAGAAGUGCCCCAAAUCCAUCACUCAUUAUAUUAGGAAGACCAUUCUUGAGUACUGUCCAAACUAAGAUUGAUAUUAGUAAGGGUACUCUCACGAUGAAAUUUGAUGGAGAAAUAGUCCAUUUUAAUAUUUUUGAUACAAUUAAAAAUCAUGUUAACUCUCAUUCUGUAUUUGCUAUUCAGGCUACUAAUCCCUCUGUGCAAGAAUUCUCUGAGUUUGUUUGUAGGGGUAAAUUCAAAAUUGUUGCGAACAAGUAUCCUGGAAUGAAAGCAAUUCAUGAGGUGAAAAUGAGUAGAAAAUUCAGGAAAAUAUUGCAUUCAAUGGCUAUUUGGAUCCCGGAGGAGGGCCACAAAUUAGAAGAAAAAUUGAAUUACAUCCAAACUGAAGAGCGGUGUAUAGUGUCUAGCCAAAAACAUUAAAGAAAGGCGCUACUUGGAAGGAAAUCCAAGGCUUUCAAUUGUGUUUUUUCAUAUUUGUGUGUUCAAGAUCAGUGGGUUUAGGUUCCUAUUGACAAGCAAUCUUUAUUGUAGGUCAUGGGUGUUUCUGUGUAGUUUUAUUCUAUGUUGGGAGCAAAAAUUUGCGGGCAGAAGACUUCAUGUUACAAGGCUUGCCCGCGCCUUGUACUCACCGCGCAUGAACAUUUGUAAAAUUUGGCGGACAGAAGAUCUCGACCUUCAAGGCGUCCCCACGCCUUCCAACCUUUGCAACAAUGAAAGUUAAAAAAAUUGAUCAGGACCUUCUCUAACCCCCCUUUUCUACUUUUCUCUUUUCUUGUCUUAUCUGGUCUUUUUAAUUUCCUCUAUCUUAGUUUCUACUUUUCAAUUUCCUUUGUUUUGUCUUAGUUUCAGUUUCUUUGUUUCCUCUUUUCUUGUUUGUCCGCUGCGCACAGCGCGUCGCUGUGGCGUGCUCCUCUUACCAUGCUCCUCCUGCUGGGGAUUCCCAAUACCGUGCCCUCCAAGAUUCUAUCCGUGAACUAGGUGAGCGGGUUAAGGGACUAGAUGGCCAUCUUGCAGGGCUACAGGUUUUUGCUCGCAUUCAGGCGAAGAACCAAGCAGCUUUCUUUGCUCAUAUUGGAUUCACUCCAGCUCAUCCUUCCCCCCCUUAGUGUCUAGCUGCACCCUCUCGGUGGUCAAGGAAGUUUAUCUCCUUUUCUUCUAAUACUUCAUUUGUCUUUUCUAUAUUGAGAGCAAUGUAGGUUUUAGGUGUGGGGGAGUGGUUUCCAUUAUUUCUUUUGGCUUUGGUACAAAAAAAAAUGAAAAAAAAUGAAAAAUGAAAAAAAUGAUGAAAACAAUGCAGUUAGUCGGCUUUCUGUUCAUUUCUAUGUUUGUUAGUGCUGGAGUGUGUUGCUAUGAUGGAUUAUACAAUCCUGGGGCACAGGUACAUGGUCAAAUAUGCUAGCUGGACAUUUUGUUUUUCCUUGGCAAUAUCGUUGAAUGUAGAGUGUGUUGAACUUGACCCAUUCUUGUAACUUUUGGAAGCUUUUGAGCCAUGCAUGGGCACAUUAUUCUUGUUUGCUCUAGUUUUGUUUGAUUGAGUGGGUAUCACACAUGGUAUUGGUAUUCUAGAACUUGCUAUUUUAUACAUGUCGAGACUAUAUUUUGUUGAACUGGAUGCAUUUGAAAUGAUAAGGGCAUUUGGGAUUAAACCUUCUUUAACUUCCUAAAACCCAUGCCUUCAUCUUGUCUCCCAAUAGUGAACCAAUUUGAACUUUUAUCCGUCAAAUUUGUUUGUUAGCCAUGUUGAUAACCCAAGACCUUUUUAGACUUUCUUGUUCACCCCGGUGUUGUUAAGGGAUGUCUGAAUUUCAUCAUUUGUGCAAGACAAAUAAAUCUGGAGUCGCAAGUGUUGUUAGAGUAGAAUCUGUAUGAUGCUAUCUUUGUGCAUUUAGAACAAAAAGGGGAGAAAUCGACAAUAAGCUGCUGAUCAGAAGACUCUGUCUUACAGGGUGUGCCCACGCCUUGCAACACGUUUUUCAAAAAAAAUGAAAAAAAAGGAGAAGAGAAGCUAGUGAACAUAAGGCUCUGGCCUCCAGGACGUGCCCAUGCCUUGCAAGACAUCUUUGUAAAAAAAAAAAAAAAUUGCGACAUUUGCACAGUAGGUACAGCAGGUGAAACUGUCUUGUUCGCGGAGUUCAUGUGGUGAAGCAUUGUGGUUAUAUGGUGGGUUUUGGACAUCCUCUUGACACAUUACAUCUUACCUUCACCUUCUUAUCCCGCAUUUUACCUAAACCCCAUUACAACCCUAUUAAAAUCUCUUUGAUUAGUGUAUUUAAUUCACUUUUAAGUGGUGGAGAUUUAAUAAAUGUGCAAGCCUAUGGUAAUGUCAUUCCGUGUGUUGAUUUGACCGUUCCCAGUAUUCAUACAUUCUCUUGAAGGUGACGAGUAUUACUGAGCAUAUUCUUUGGUUAAUUGCCUAUCCGGCAUAUUCUAAUUUCGGCGACAUUGUCGGGGGGGCGAGAUGCUUGUGCUAGUAUAGAUUACUAUAUGACCUCUGUUGUCUUGAUUGUAUUUCUGAGUUUCGGAAUGCUUGAGGACAACCAUUGUUUAGGUGUGGGGGGAUUUGAUAGAGUGAUUUUUUAGCACAUUUUGUACCAUUAUUCUAUCCUAAUUUUGGCUACUCAUGAUGCUGAAAAUUGAGAUUUUACUCAUAUUUGAUAUUUAUAUGAAUUGUAGGUGGUUGGCGUUAAAAGUGAUCUUGCGAGGUGAAUUUCCAGAAGACCCUUCAGCUCAAGACGUGUCCACGCCAGAAAUAGUGGAAGGUUACCCAUAAAGCCGGACUCGCGGGCUUGGUAGCAGAAAAAGUCAACUAGGGAACCAGGUCCACGUGGACCAGAGGCGGGGGAUUAGAACCCUUAGGCAAAGCUUGUUCCUUUUUUUGGAUUACUAUUGGCGGCGCACAUGAAAAAUAUAAGAGACGAAGCCAGAUUCAUGCGAAAGGAAUGAGAUAGCUUAGUUUUCUUUUCCCAAAUUUGUCAGACGUUUGUCUUGCUUUUCUCGGUAGAAAACAGAAGACAAGCCAGAAUCACGUGGGCUUAGUAGUUUAGUUUUCGUUUUCUUCACUGGAGACAAUUUCUUUCUCUGUUUUGACUUUUGAUAAAUUUCGUGAGAUUGCUCCAGUACGGACACGAAAUAAGUAAAGGAAUUAAGAGACUUUCUCUUCAUUAUUCCUCCGUUAGUUCACUUUUCCCAAUUCUUCGGCAAUUAAUUGAAUGUUUUCAAUUAAAUCAUACGGGAUUGACAGGAUGAGGAGCGGCUAGUUCUCCCCUCUACCCAGAGAUCGACGCGAGGGCGCGGUCCAUAAUAUCUGUGAGAUUUGAUCAAACUUUCAUUAUUUCUUCCAAUUUGUUACUAUUCGUGUGUUUCCUGAAUUAAUUGUUCGUGAGUAUUUUAUUAAUUGAAUAUCAACGGCAGGGUAUUUAAUUUAAUUUAAUAGCCUACUAUCACAUUAACUAAAUUCAAUUCGUAAUUGUUCGUUUAGUUGAUAACUAGUGACAACCACUAUAAUUGGCUUUAUGUUGGAGGAAUGCAAGAUCUAAUUUAAAUAAACCCUCUUAGCUGUUUAUUGGUUAGGGUUGGAUUGUUCUAGUUGUAAUGCAGCUGGAUAAUUAAAUUUCUAUGGUCGUACUUAGGAUUGUUAUCUGGUUAGAGAAACAGUCAACGGUCGUACCUUAGCUGUCGAAAAGGUAAGGAAGAAUUGAUUAUCAGAGCUUGUUAUUAGCUAUAACUAGGGGUGGCAAUCCGGUCGGGUUCGAGUUGGUGGGGCGGGUUGAGACCCAAAUAUAACAAAAAAAAUCAUUGACCCGAACCUGACCCGUCAACCCGAAACGGGUCAGGAUGCCUGACGCCAACCCGAAAAUUUCGGGUUGGCGGGUCGACCCGAAAUGACUCGAAACUUAAUUUUAAAUUAUUAAUUUGUCAUUGUAAUUUCUAAUAAAAUCAAUUUCUCACAAAAUUAAUUACAUCAUCAAGUAAUAAAAAUUUAAAUAAAAAUUUCAAACCAAAUCUAAAAUAAAUUAAAUACCGUAAAAGUGUUUUAUCCCAAACCAAAUAUAAAAUAAAUUAAAACAGCAUAAAAGUGAAAAAUAACAUAAUAUAUUAUUUGUUCAAAUAUAAUAAUUUUAACUUCACACAAGUUAAAUAAAUUCAUUUAGGAUUAAGUAAUUAAUACCUUUGAAAAAAAAAGAAUGAUUUAGUUUAGUUAGAUAAAAUAAUUUUAUGCUUAUGAAAUUAUUUUUAAUUCGUAAACGGGUCAUAUCGGGUCAUAUCAGGUCACCAUGGGUUGACCCGAAAUCGACCUGUUUUGUUUUCGGGUCAAUCGGGUUCGACCCGAUUCUGACCCGAAUUCCUGAAACCUCAAUCCAAACCCGUUAAUUUCGUGUUACGUUCAUGUCGUGUUUUCGGAUCGUGUCAGAAAUUGCCACCCCUAACUAUAACCAACCAAGUAACGAAUGAGUGAAAUAUCUUUGCAUCGAUGAUCGUUUAAUUGGACCAUGCCUGAAAAGUUGAUCCUUUGGGUAGAAUUUUAUUAAUUGCUAUUUUUACUAAACUGCACUUGUUGAGUUAGCUCUUGAAUUUUACUUAUUUUAUUUUUACUUUCACCCCAUUAAUUAUCCCUCUCUUUUAUUCUAUUGACUUAGAAAGAAACCACUUCCUAUUUGUUCCCUGUAGAAUUGACCCUACUUGCCAUUGUACGCAAAUUUAAUAUUUUUAUAGACAAAUCUGGUAUAUCGGAUCAAGCAAACUUUUCGGGAACAUGAUGAAUCAAGUAAUCCAUUGCACAUCUAGGGUCCCUACUCCAGUACUUGGAUUUGUUCUAUAAUGAAUUGUGGUGGUAAUUAGGACUUUUUAGUAAUUAUUAUUGCAUAAGUUCGGUACCUGUCAAUGACUAUAGAAUUUUUCUAGUCGGUGAUACAAAAUAUUAAUAUUUGAAAAAAAUUCUAAUCACACAAUUGUAUUUGAUCUCAACCAACCGUCACUACUUUAAAUUAAUUUGGAUUGCAAGUAACGUCAUUACUUUAUGUGAAUAUCAAACAUGAAAAGCGCAUGAUAUAUACGAGCAAAAAAAUUAUAAUGUACUAAUUUUCAAUUUCUUUAUGUAGAAUAUUUUCGUGAAUAUUAAUUUUUGACAUAUCUUAGUCAAGGUCAUUAAUCAACCCGGACCUAAUCAGCUCCAAACCCAGGGCAAAUUUCUGGCAAAUUUCUUUGAAAUACUGCCAAAAAGAAGUUUGAAAAAUAUUGUUGAAAAGUUGAGCAUUUUUCUAUCUAGGCUCUUCGUGUCUCCUACACGCAAUGGAUAGUUUAUUUGUUCAAUUUUCUUUUUAUAAAAGGAGCUUGUCGUAUGUCAGGCACAUGGCGAGCCACAUUUAAAAUUUGGUUCCUAUCAUAGAGUCUAUUAUGUCCCUAACACUGAUGGACUGUUUUUUAAUUUUUUUUUUUUUUAAAAAGCAAGUGAAAAGUGUUGCAACUCAAGAGUUGGAUAGUAAUUUUAAAAUUUAAUAGUGCACCUACCUUUUAAUUUUUUCGUGUGCUUUUAAGGUAUCAAACGGGGAAAAAAAAACCAACACCAUAUAACUUCAAAUGCAAGAUGGUACGGAAUUUGUCAAUAUGUAGAUGUUAAUAGACAUUAAUGACAUGUAAAAAGUGCACCAUUCAUCACAGAGAUAUUUAUCCUAAUAUUACACUCUUUUUUUUUUUUUUCAAAAAUUCCAUAUUUCAUGCAAACAUGUAAUCAAUAUGCCUAAUCAACAUUAGAUGAAUUUAAACAAGUAGCCUACAAAUUUAAAAAUAUUUGAUUUCAUAAAUGUGCAUUCGCAAUUUAGAAAAGGUACUCUUCAAAUGGCAAAUCUAGAGAGCAACAAAUACUCCUACUCUAUUUUGAUUUCAGAUCUUCUUUUGACUUGCCAAAAACGUGAAAACAUGAAACUAAUACUGUGUCAGAUGGAGAGAAGUAAUAGAAAUUUGUUUUCUAGAUUCUUUGGCCUCCCAAUUUUUUCAGCGGGUCAACUCCGACCAUUAUCAUGGUCAUGUGAUUGUAGGUGUACCUGGCUUUGUAGACCACAACGUGGAUUGGAUAUGUCGAUUAGCUCCCAUCCUAUUAUAAUAUUUUUUCUUUUAUAAAUCAAUAUCUAUUCUAUUCCUAUUUCAACUUCUAUUCUAGGGAAAGGGGAGAUUCAACUGAAAAAUUGAUAGUGAUUGAAUCACGAUCGGACCAAACAGAUGUACUAUGCACAUAUACGAAUCUUGGAGAAGCCGGUGCAAUGAUGAGAGGUAAUGUUUGAGUCUUGACCUUCCAUUCCACUAAAAUUUAUAGUCUUUGAUAGUGGCCAACCACCCAAAGAGUUGUUGGUUAACUCCCACCCUGUUAGGAAGUAAAGGUUUUCGACACUCUAAAACAAAUGUUUUUUUUUUGUUUUUUCAAUUAUUUUCAUCUAUCACCAACAGCUGGCGGUCAUGGGUCAUUCAUCAAAGCAUAAAUCCGAACGACACUAAUCCCUCACUAGUCAUCCCCUCAUUCCUUCACGUAUGUUUUUAAUAAAUUGGAUUCAUCUAUUUGGUGUUCUAAAAUCACAUUUAAAAAGUUUUUUUUUUUUUGCAAUGUGUUAUUAUUCAGGACAUGAAUGAUAAUUUUAAAAUUUGAAUAGUGGACCUAAAAAUAAAACUUGUAAAUUUUACAUCUUAGCCUACUUACUUUUAAAACAGAGGGAAAAAACAGCACAUAAUUUCAAGUCAAAGAUUGUAUGCAGUUUGUCCAAUAAAUAAAUAUUCAUAAUUCAUAAUUUCAAACGACCGUGCCUAGUUGCGUGCGACCAUGCCCCGUCGGCCUGCGUUCCGCACACUAGGAUUCUAGAACUGUGUGGAACUCUUUAGAGUCCUUAAAGGAUAAGGAUGCAUGAAUCUUGAAGAUAAGCAUGAACCUUGUAAAUAAGGUUGUGUAGAAAAUUCUAAGCACUUGUAGUGUUUUGGCUUGCCUAUAAAUAGGCCAAGCCCUUUGUAUUGGAAAUGGUUGGCGACCUUGUGUAAAGAAACUUUAUGUAUAAUAUAAGCUUUUCUUUGCCACACUUACAUAUCUUUGCAUACUACUUUGGCGCUUCCGCACUUUAACCGCGCAUUGAGUGUUAAUGCUGAACUAGUUAGGCGUUCAUAGCUUAAGACAUGAGCGUAUGUUAGUGCCGCACGAGGUGUUGGUUUGUAGGAAAACAAGCAGCCCGUGACAAUAGGAAUGUGCUUAGAAAUUGACAUGUGCACUGAUGAUUAAUGCGGUGGACCCGUAAGGGAAAGUGGACAUCGGAAGCCACACGCGCAUGAAUUAAGUGUAAGGAGGAAAUGAUUUCGGGAAUAGCUAAUAUUACCAUUUAUCACUGAUUUUUAAAUUCAAAUUAUUUUUUUAAUUUUUCGUAUGUUGUUUGACAAGAAAAAUAAUAUUUUAUUAUUAUUAGAUUCGCAAGAAAUUCAAAUUUAUCUUCUUAACACUUAGUAAAAAUUGAGUUUAAAUACAUAUUUAUUUUUAAAUGAAUAUAAAUGGAUGAGUCGAAUCAAUCAAUUAUCCUGAGUAUUUUGAAUAACUCAGUUUCAUGUCCGUUUCAAUUCUUCAAAAAUUGCACAGAAAAGUGAAAACAAUGAAAAUGUCUUGGACUCGGGGCACGGACGGUUGCAGGUGCAACCGUCCCUGCCAAUUUUAGUCAUUAUCAACUGUGCGUAACUUUCUUUGUACAUCGUAUAACUUUUUUUUUACAGGAUAUAUUUUCACAACAGAUAGUGGUGAGUCCCACACUUGGCGCGAAAAUCGAGUUACAUGGUGUUAUCUUAGCCGCACAAAAUUUUGAGGACAAAUUUUGAUCCUUAACCGUGCAGGGACGGUCAUACUGCCCCAAAUCCAAAUGUCUUAUAUUAGCUUGGCAGUCCUGCUGAGGUAUAUACAGGUGGAAAUCAUGCUACACAUUGUACAGCUUUCCUUUAGAACCAAGAAACCUGAGCAUUCUCUUUCAAUUGAGAUAGGCUAUCCAGUUGAUUAAUGAUAUGCUAUUUACUUACCUUGUCAAUCGUUUUCAGUCGGUGCCAAAAGCACUGCAGUAGCCGUUUUUUAGUCAAUAUCUAAACACGGUACUCAUUUUGUUCAGAGUACAGCUUUUUGUCUAUUUGUGAAAGCCAACUGCAACUGCCUCAUUGACUUCUCCAAGUAAUUCAAAGAUUUCAGCAGCUUGCUUACAUUAAGCUUUUAUGAAACAAUUUCUGUCUUCUUUUUCUCAUGUAGUCAGCAAAGAAUUGUCUAAUUUACCCUGAGUAUUAGGAAGAAACUUUCUUGCAGUUUAAUCACUCAAAAAACAGGCAAGUAUAAAGGAAAUCAAGGAAAAUUGACAACUGAUAAUUGAUAUGUACAGCCAUUAUUAUAUAUAGACGAAGUCAGCAAUUGAUUUAAGCACGUCUCGGUAAGUUAAAAGGUUAAAACUUUACAUACAAAUAAAUGGUCAAAUUCACUUUAAAUUUGUGGUGUCAUCUUCCACCUUAAACUUUUGUACUACCCAAGUUUGUUUUAAUUCCUUUGGGAAAAUCAAACAUCAAAUGCUUACCAUUUAUUGAAACAUUACAUCAUCCAUAUUUUUUUUUGACAAAAAAAGUAGAUAUAUAAUUAAUAGCAGUAUUCAUAUUAUUUUUUGUAUAUUACUUGUACAUCUAAUUAGUCCCAUUUGGAAAAAAAAAGGAUGAAAACAAAAACACAUAAUAGUCACAAAAAACACAGAUCUAGCUCAAAAUAUGGCAGUGACCAAUUGUUCUGCAAAAUUAGUAGGAUAAGCAGUUGACAGAUUCUAUAAUCGCUUUUGGUCAAAUAUUAUUUAAAUUAGCUGGAUGGUCAAAUAUUACUUUUAAUUUUAAUCAUUUAAAUUACCAGUUGAAUGUUGACUUCCCAUUUCACUAAAAUUUAUAGUCUUUGGUAGUGGCCAAUCAUCCAAAGAGCUAUUGGUUUGUUCCCACCCUGUUAGGAACUAAAGGUUUUCGACCUUCUAAAAAAAAUGUUUUUGUUUUCAAAAAUUAUUUUCGUCUAUCACCAACAGCUGGCGGUCAUGGGUUAUUCAUCAAAGCAUAGAUCCGAGCAACACUAAUCCCUCACCAGCCAUCCCUCAUUCAUUGUCGCAUCCUUUUUAUGAAUUGGAUUCAUCUAUUUGGCGUUCUAAAAUCACAUUUAAAAGUUUUUUUUUUUUUUUUUUUUGCGAAAGUGUUAUUAUUCAGGAUGUGUAUGAUAAUUUAAAAUUUUAAUAGUGGACCUAAAAAUAAAACUUGUAAAUUUUACAUAUGAGCCUACCUACUUUUAAAAUAGAGGGAAAAAAACACCACAUAACUUCAAGUCCAAGAUUGUAUGCAGUUUGUCCAAUAAAUAGAUAUUCAUAAUUCAUAAUUUCAUAUACACAUGUUAACUAGAGAUGUCAAUCACAACCCAAUUAUAUUGAUCCGUUCAAAACCGUUCACUAAUAACCCAUCCAAAUUCACUCAUUAAAAUUUAAAUGGGUCUAAGGUUGUGUUUGGAUUGCAUUUUCCGUCAUUUUUCAUGGAAAAAUUACUGUAGCGAUUUGAUAUAUGUGAGGGAAAAAGGUGAUAGGGAAAUGUGAUCACGGAAAACGACAAUAUUUUUCGACAGAAACAAGCAAUCCAAGCAUGACCUAAGUGAGUACCUAAUUAAAUUCAUUUAAUUGGUGGAUAGUUGAUUGAUUCGAUUCACCUAUUUAUAACCAUUUAAAAAAAUAUAUUUUUAAACUCAAUUUUUACUAAGUGUUAAGAAGAUAAAUUUGAAUUUCCUACGAAUCUAAUAACAAUAAAGUAUCAUUUUUCUUGUUAAACGACAUGCAAAAAAUUAAAAAAAAUAGAAUUUCAAAUCAGUGUAAAUGGGUAAUUAAGUAUAUUCAUAUCCAUUUAUUAAAUAGAUAUAAAUGGAUUGAUUCAAUUAUAUCUAUUACCCAAUUAAAAUUUGCUCAAAUCCGUACAAGUCACUCAUUUUGAUGCUUUUAAUGUUAAUAUAUAUUCACAAGUGAAGAGUGCAGCAUUGGUUGGGAAGAUAUACUUAUUUAUCUCAAUAUUAUAAUCGUUUUUUACGUUGCAAAAGUAUUGAUAAUUUCAUAAUUUCAUCGAAGUAUGUAAUCAGUGACAUAACAUUACAUGAAUUUCAACGAAGUAUGUAAUCAGUGACAUAACAUUUCAUCAUUAGUCUUCAGCGGUGAAUCUAUGCUCUUUUCACGAGGCUUCUUUUCAAAGCUUUGAUUAUGGCAUACACUUCUGACAAUAUGCCCCUUUUAGAAUAGGGAUAAGUUUCUGGGUGAAUCUUUUCACGAGGCUUCUUUUCAAAGCUUUGAUUAUGGGGAUAAUUUCAGAUACCUCCCCUGAGGUUUCUGAGAGUUUCACUCCCCUCCCCUGUGGUUUCAAUAAUACCACAAACCUCCCUUAAAACUAGAUAGGCAAUGCCAAAAUAGACCCAUUUUAAAAAUACAAACAAUAAAAAAUUAGUAGCUGGUGAGAGAAACAAGUGUAUACCACAAAUGCCCUCAUUAUCUUGCAUUAAUGAACUAAUCUCAUGUGAAGAAAAAACAGGGAAUUUAAGAAGAAAGAAACUUGAGGGGGUGGAAGUGAGACCAAUGCAUUCAUUAAGGUCUGAACGUCAGUAGUGAACAAAAUGGAAGGCAACGGCUCUUUCUGGUAGGGCAUGUUGUUUUGUCAAGCGAGCAUAUAACUGAAGAACGGCCUGCAUAACCAAAGCUAGUACAUGUUGUUUUAUCAAGUCACAAGCAAUAAUCAAUACAUUACCACAAUCUUCCAUCGUCAAAAAGCCUGUAGGUUUUCCAAAUGUUUUCUCAAAGAUUUAUCGACUUUCUUUAUCCUGCAAAAGAGGAGUGGAUUUUUUCUCAGCAACAUCUUCCAGAACUGGAGAUGCAACAUGUUUCUCUGAUGAGUCAGGUAUUAGUCCUGCUGCAGUCUCUUCUGUACUUUCACGAGAGAUUCUGGGCCUGGAUUGCAACAAAUUAUCCAGGAUUAGAAGUAAGGCACUAAUACAUUUCGGGCUCAAAAUCUCAUUUCCUGCAAUAGUCCUUGCUUUGAAGUUCAUCAAGAUAUCAAUUGCCAAUGGGACAAUGCCACUCUGCACAGCAAUUUGUCGAGCAUUUUCAUCUUCAGAUAAAAUCAAUGCUAAAGUAUGUGAAACCAUGCACAAUGCACUAUUAUCUUUUGAGAAUUCCAUGGGGCACUGCUUUAGCUACUUUACAAGAUAAGGAAUCACCCGAUCACGGUCUUCUCCUUUGUUCCUAUUGCAAAGAGUCACAAGCAAAUCUGUCAACUGGAAAGCCAUUGAAUCACUACUGUGAAACAACUUCAUUGUUGCAGCAAGGAUGUCAUCAACAUAAGGGGUCUUAAUUCGUUCCUCUUCUGCCAAAACAUCCACUGAUUUUUCAGUGUUAUCGACUUUAGAUGCUUCUGAGGAAUUUCCUAGAGAUAAAGCAAGUGCACGAGCCAAUUCAUCAUCCUCCAGCACAGGAUCUUCAGCAUGACUAAAUAACCAUUCCAUAGCCAUUUCGACACUAUUAGUUUCCACUCUUUUUAAUGCCUUCUCAGCUCUUGCUCUUGAGAACCCCAUCUCAACAAUGGUAGCAAUGGUAGCUUCAUUAGGUGGUGGAGCCACCAAACGUUGGUUUGUAUUCCCUAACAACCCACUACGAUUUGUUUAACAUCACCAACACCAGAAUAUACAUGAGUGAUUAGUGAAAUAAUAGAAGUUAUAAAAACUGGAUUACAAUUUGGAAACAAAGGGUGAUUCCAGAUGGGAACUAUAGCAUCCAGAACCUGAGACUGCAGCAUACGAACAAACACUUAAGGGUCCUUAGGAACAGGAAGCAACCCAAUAGACAGACCAACUGCAACAGGUUGCACAAGCAGCUGUGCCUGGGAUGCUAAGGUUGGAGACAACAGCAAAGAAGAAUUGAUAAAAUAUUCAAGAAGGCGACAAUAACUCUGCAAUGUAUCAAGCAGCCAUGAACUGUGAGACAAUUUGCCCUCCUCCGGUAAGACAAUCAUAAAAAGUUACAAGUAACUCUUGGGGUCUACCUUAGCCACUCUUACUUUUCUUCCCAUAAAAUGGAGCACAAUAUCAUGAAAAUCAGUGAUAACCAUCCUACAAUAGACAAUCAUAGGCUACUGAAGUUACAAUAUUAGUUAUUGAAGUUACAGAAAAUAUUAGCUACAAUAUUAACCAUCUUGCAACAUUGGUUGCUGAAGUUACAGAGCAAGUAUAAGCUUUCUAAGUACUGAGGUUUGGCAUCUAACUAUAUCAAACAAUCCAAGUCAGACGAGAAAUUUAGAAUCAAGUAAGCAUAGUCUGGUAGAGGCUUAGCAAACCAAGUCACAUGACAAACCAGAAAAUCAUAAGCAAACAUGUAUCAAGCUUACACAAACAACAACCAAAUCAUCAUAAGCUGCCAAUAUCAUAUUGAAACAGAGUAUGAAAUCUUAAACACUUACCUGGUAAAUUUUUCUUAAUGAGCUAAGAGACUCUUCAGUUUGUUUGCCAAGACCUUUGUUUGCUAAGAACUUUCUUAACGAGAAUCAAGAGCUUUGUUUGCCAACCAUCAACCUCAGUUGCUAUAUCUCAACAAUGGCGGGAACAAAGUAAGUUUCUUGCUUCUAUAGGUACCGUGCCUAUCAAGCUGUUGUGUCAAUCAGACCAUGGCGCCUAAGUUUGGCGCCAUUUUGCUGAAGGCUCCUUUCUAUAUUGGUUGUUAGGACUCUAAUUUUUCGUUAAUUAAUUACAUUAAUUGUGUUUAUAACUAAUUCAACUAAAGUUUUCCAGAUAAUCAUGAAAUAUUAGCAAACUAGUGAGGGUAUUUAAGUCUUUUUGGCACCAAUGACGUAAGAAAUGGGACCUCACAAUCUGACAAGGGAGGUUUGUGAUAUUAUUGAAAUCACAGGGGAGGGAAGUGAAACUGUCAGAAACCUCAGGGGAGGUAUCUGAAAUUAUGGGAUACACUUCUGACAAUAUGCCCCUUUUAGAAUAGCGAUAAGGUUCUGUGUGGGAUAAUUUCAGAAACCUCCCUAGGGUUUGUAACAAUUUCAUCAAGCUUUCUUGAGAUUUUCAAUAUUACACUUACCUCCCUUGAUGAUAGUGACUAUAAUAAUCUUCAUAAUUUUUUCAGAGACAAGCCAUUGAUAAAAAAGGAUUAAAAAAAAACGAAAACAAUUCUUCUUGGCUAAGCCACAUAUUGUGACUAAAUUGUUUCAUCCAUGACCACUAAAUUGUAAUUUUCUAUUACUGAGAAAAGGAAGUAUUUUGGUAAUUGAGGGGCUUGGUUGUUUGAGUAGGAAAAGGGUAAGAAUUAUGAAUUUUAUGAUUGACAGUUUGGUAGACAACAUAUGGAAAAAACUUAUAGAGAGGUAAAAAUUAUAAAGGUAAGAAUUAUGAUGGUGGAUUUUGACAUCUAAAAUAACGAGCUUGUUCGAAAGAGGAAGAAAUGAUAAGACUUUGAAAACUUGGGUAGAUGUAGAAAAUUAUGAGAUGAAAAAUAUUAGGACAUUGGCUAAGUAAUAAAACUCAUAGGUUUAUAGUAUACAAGUGUAUUCUUGAUUUUUGAAAAAUUUUAAUGACUAUUCAUAUUUUGAAAAUUAGAUAAGGACAAUUUUGGGCAUUCGUAUAUUUUUUUGGUCUUACAUCGUCAAGGUGAAACUCAAACCUAUGUUUGAGUAAAUAUAUGUGUAAUUUUCAAAACGUGAGAAAAGCUGUCUGAAAUUAUCAGAAACCCCAGGGGUGGUUUAUGAAAUUAUACAAAAAACUCCAAUAAAGUGGCAGUUCAAACUGGGCCAACCAUCUCCUAUCUUCGCAUGUCCUCCCGCCGGCGGCCCUGAGUCAUCUAUAAAAGUAUAGACCAAGACAGCACUAAUCCCUCAUCAGGCCUCCAUACUUCUUCUUCAGGCCUCAGCAACGAAACAAUAAACUCUGCUCCACUCAACUCUUUCCUCUGUGUCUUGUACUCUUGUCUGAAAAUGGCGGCGUCAGAAGAAGUGAAAGUGCCAAGAAUCAAGCUGGGGUCGCAAGGUUUUGAAGUUUCAGCUCAAGGGCUGGGCUGCAUGGGCAUGUCAGCCGUCUACGGGCCGCCAAAGCCCAAGCCUGAUAUGAUCAAACUCAUCCACCAUGCUAUUUGCAGAGGAAUCACCCAUCUUGACACCUCCGAUAUCUAUGGACCUCACACCAACGAAAUACUCAUUGGCAAGGUACCAUAUUUGCAAAUUUUCUGCUGUUGUCUGCUAUGCAUAAACUCUUGUAAUUUUAAUUUCUAAAAGAGCAUAUUUUUAAAUAUUUUAUUUAGGUAAAUUAUGCUUAAUCCCAUGCACUUCAAAAUUUGUCUCCCUUUGUGCCCCCUUAAUUUUGUUUGUCAGCACUUAAACUCCAUUUGUUUAAAUUGUAAGUAUUAUUAGUCAAAUAUGACAUUGUUCUUCUUCAACUUUUCAUGUUACUGCCUUUUCAGUUUGUCCUCCUUUAUAAAUAUGGGAUGAAUUACUUUGAUUUUGAUUUUGGUGCAAUUUUGUAUAAAAUGAUUUUUGCUAUGAAGUUAUUGAUUUAUUAUGAGCUAUGUGUUGUAUAUUUACAAAAUUCUGCUAGUUAAACAUUCACUUGAGCAAGCCUUCCAAACAUGAGCAAUAUAAUUCUCUAUGGGUGCAUUUGGUAAAUUUGAAGUCUAGAAAUUGAAAUCUAAUCUAAAGUCUGAAUCUAUAAAGUUAUUAAAUUGUUAAGUACUAAAUUUGAUACGUUUGAGUGUAUGUCACAUCAAGUGAAAUGAAUAACUCAUAACUUAUUUUUUGAAGCAAGUUUUGCUUAAGAAAUUUAAUGUCAUUUAAUUAAUUCAGAUAUUCAAUUUUUGGUUAUCAAACGUGUCUAAAUAUGUUAAGAUCUGAAUUUAUUAAUUUUAAGUGUUAAAUUAGGUUAUCAAACAUGACCUAUAAUUAUUAAGUAACCAAGCAGACAACAUGUUUAGUGUAUAAUAGUAAUUAGCUUUCAAUUUGUCUUGUUAUUCUUUGGUAAAGAACUCUUUGAAUUAAUAAUAAUAAUUUUCUCAUACACGGGAAUCAAAAUAAUUGAAGUGUUAUCUCUACAAUUGAGAUAUGUCACCUUCUAAAAGAAAGGAAAGGGAAGGAAACAUGGGGGGAAAAUAGGGAAAGGGCAAAGUGAUGAUAAAGAAAAUUGGAAGUAGCAAAAUGACACAAGUGAAUUAUUGCAAGGGGUUAAGUGUAAAUUAUGUUUAUUUUAUUAGUCUAUUUAACCAGAAAGAUUGGGCUCUUGUAAGGCACCAAUCAAAAGUUCCAAUUGCUGGAAAUAACAUAAAAACUUAGACUUUGUUUGGUUUGGCAUUUUUGGAGGUGGUUCAUGAAAAUUUUAUUGUAGUUUUUUUUUUCUUGUUGAAAAAAUAUACUUGUAAGAGGAAAAAAAAUGGUUGAAAAAAAAUUGAGAGUUUUUUUUAAUAAAUUGUUUUCUAAAUAGCUCAGUCACCCAAAAUUUUCAGUAUUCUGACAAUGGCAUCCAUGUGGUGUCAAUUGUCAAACUUGCAACAAAGUUGAGAAAAGAAGGUCGUAGGUCUAGCUCUUUUUUAAUACGUUGAAUAGCUCUAUCCCAUUAGAAGGAUUUAGAACUCUUCUACCAUCUCUUUAUUUUCUUUUUUUUUUUCCCUUCAAAAUUCUACAUCAUAAUGGAGUUGGUAAAAUAGUACUAUUUUCGUCUUUGAUGUUAAAAUUUUCAUCAAUUUAUGGAAAGUUUACUAUUUCUCUAACAAGAGUUAGUAAAAUUUACUUUUUAUGAGCAGUAAAGUUUUAAAGAUUAUGAAAAAAGAAUUGUAUGAAGGAACAAAGGGGAAAAGAAAGGUAAGAAAAUGGAUGGAUUGUAUUUGGAUUGAUUUUGAGAGGGGAAAGGAGAGGAAAACGGAAAGAAAAGGAAAUGGAUGGAUUGUGUUUUGCUCAGACAUCAUUUCCCUACAAAAGUAGACGGAAACAGAGGGAAAGAAAAUCUUGUUGAUGAUUUUCUAGUAAAAUGCCUCAAGCGCCCAAAUUUUACAUAAACUGGCCAUUUGUGAAACCUGCUUUAGAUAUGAAUUGUGGGAUGCAACAGCAGGCUAGGAAUGUUUGACGAAGCAACUUAUGUAAAUAUUUUAUCGUUAAGUAAAGUUCCUCUUUUGCUGUUAAAAAAAAAGAGAGAGAGAAAAACCAUUCCUUUCAUGUCUGUCAUUCUACCAAACAGCAUAUUUAGGUUUUCUUUCUUUCCCAUCCAUAUCUUAUCCAAAUAAAACAAAUGAGAACUAUUUUCCUCUACUUUCCUUUCCUUUCUUUUUCACUAGGAUGUUUUAUUUAUUUAUCUUUCCUUUCCUUUGAUCCAAAUGGUUCCUAAAAGGGCACUAAUUCAUCUACAUUGAUCAGUUCCCUAUUUUUGUAUUAAUGUGCAUGUGCAUGUGCACGAUUCUGUGUACGUUCAUGUUGUGCAUCAAAUCUUAAGAAUGAAAAAGCUAGAUUGUAAAUUUAAGUUGAAGAAAUAUAAAACAAAAAGAGAAAAUGGAUUGGGUCCUUAAGAGUAUCAGACUUCUAAACUCCAAGGAUUACAUAAUUUUCAUAUCCUUUGCUAUAUAAAGAAGUGGGAUAGCCUAAACAAUGAAGUGUUGGAAAAACUCCAGAGGAACUGUGCCAUCCAUGAAAUCACAAAUCCACUUGCUAUACCAUGCAAUAAUGUUCAUGUCCUUGAUGAUUAAUAUAAUGAAACCAUGGUUCUAGGCCUUGAAGGAAGGAAUAAGAGUGAAAGUGGAGCUAGCAACAAAAUUUGCAGUCAGUUUUCAGGAUGGGAAGUUUGAUGUACGUGGUGAUCCAGCCUAUGUGAGGGCUUCUUGUGAAGCGAGUUUGAAGCGGCUUGAUGUGGACUGCAUUGAUCUCUAUUAUCAACAUCGCAUCGAUACACGUGUGCCCAUUGAAGUCACGGUUUGCUUGUCUUGCCUUUCUUGUUUUUUAGCUCCACCUCAUUCUUGAUGAAACAAAAAUUUGAUCAACUCCAAAUUUUGAAUAAUUCAGUUUCAUUUCCGUUUCAAUUCUUCAAAAGUUGCACAGAAAAGUUAGUCAACCUUAUGGUCUCGGCUAAUCUGCAGUAUGGUAUAGCUGAUUUUGCACAAGGCAUCCUGAAAAGUGAAAACAAUGAAAAUGUCUUGUAUUAGCUUGACGGUCCUGCUGAGGGAUAUACAGGUGGAUAUCAUCCUAUACAUUGUACAGCUUUCUUUAGAACCAAGAGACCUGAGCAUUCUCUUUCAUUUGAGAUAGGCUAUCUGGUUGAGUAAUGAUCUGCUAUUUACUUACCUUGUCAACCAUUUUCAGUUGGUGCCUAAAGCGCUGCAGAUAGACAUUUAUUAUUGAUAUCUAAAAAACAUGGUACUCAUUUUGUUCAGAGCACAGCUUUUUGUCUAAUUGUCAAAGCCAGCUGCAACUGCCCCAUUGACCUCUCCAAACAAUUCAAAGAUUUCAGCAGCUUGCUUACAUUCAGCUUUUAUGAAAUAAUUUCUGUCUUCUCUUUCUCAUGUAAUCAGCAAAGAAUUGUCUUGGUUUCCCUGAGUAUUGGGUAGAAACUUUCUUGCAGUUUAAUCAGUAUAAAGGAAAUCAAGCAAAAUUGGCAACUGAUAAUUGGUAUGUACGGCCAUUAUUAUAUAUAGAAGUCAACAAUGCCAUGUAAUCAUAUUGGAGGAGCAUUAUGUUGGCAUGGUCCAGUAGAACUAAGUCCUCUGGUGGGCUGUACAUAGAGAAGUAUCACCGGAUGCUUAUUGCCAUUUUCAUCAAUUAGUGAUUUCAGUUUGACGUGUACUUUGUCCAUGACUUCGAUGAACUAGUGCAACUUUUACUUUUUGCACGUAAUAUUUUGAUUAUCUGCCUAAGUGCUGAAUGUAAUAAGUCAGCUUAGCAUCUUCUUGUCCAUUGAAAUUCUCUAGAUAGGAGAGCUUAAGAAACUGGUUGAAGAGGGUAAAAUAAAGUAUAUAGGUAUGUCUGAGGCCUCAGCUUCAACAAUUCGAAGAGCACAUGCUGUUCAUCCAAUAACAGCUGUACAGUUGGAGUGGUCAUUGUGGACCAGAGAUGUCGAGGAAGAGAUUAUUCCCACAUGCAGGUAGUGCAUAUAUUCUGCUGCAUUUUCUACAUGGUCUAGAAGAAAUAUUAAGUUCUCAAUUCAGUUUUUGGUAUAAUCUUUCAGAGAGCUUGGCAUAGGGAUUGUUGCAUACAGUCCACUUGGACGAGGUUUCUUCUCAUUAGGUCCAAAGCUGAUCGAGAAUUUGGCUGAAGGUGACUACCGAAAGGUUUGUGCAUAUCGAAAAAGAUGGAGUUUUUUAGUAUACAUUGUUUAUAGUUCGAAUAAGUUUCUCACUCAUCUAUUUUUACCACAUUCAGUGGCAAUCAUGCUUGAUAUCCCUAUUGUUGUCUAUCACAAGCAAUGGGUAGUAUCAAUUUUUAAAGUGCAAAGAUGUCAAAAGAGGAAGAAACUAUGUCACUUUUUAAGUAAAAGUCUCUUUACGGUUUUGAGGGGAAAUGGACCUUGGACUUCAAUUUCAUCAUUUAAUCUCAGGCACAGAACUUAUGCUGUCCUGUGAAACUAUCAUUUUUCCUUUACCAUUAAUCCUAAAACUGAGUUUCAUUGGUCAGAAAUAUACUUCAUAGUAGUACCUCCUCUAUCGUUCAUAGUAGUACCUCCAUCGUUCAAACAAACAAAAAUUAGUUGAUUUGUAUUUUAAGUUUCCUCUUUGAUGGGAAAUGUAUCUCAGAACUUAACUCCAACGGUUGAUGCUUCCUCCGUGGAGUAUUCAGUCGAACUUGAUGUAUUGUUCUUUCCCCUGAACUUGUGCCCUUCAAACAGUAUUUCUGAUCAUCUUGAAGUAAUUAGUACCGUCUGUUCAUUACUCCCUCCCGAUUUCUUGCAUUAUAGUUUCCUCUUUAAUGGGAAAUGUAUCUCAGGAUCUACCUUCUACAAUUGAGGUUUCUUAGAGUACUCAGUCCACCUUACUGGAUUGUUCCUUCCCCUGAACUUUGUACACCUUAAACAAUACUAUCAAUCAUCUUGAAGUUAUUCAUAUUGUCUUCAUUUGUAGACGACACAUGCUUUGCUCCCUUUUGAAUUUCUGGCAUUACAGUUGCUUAAAUUUUGAAAUUCAUACAAUGUAGGGUAUGCCAAGGUUUCAAGCAGAGAAUUUGGAGCACAACAAGAACUUGUACGAGCAGGUCAAUGCCAUUGCUUCAAGGAAGGGUUGUACUCCAUCACAGCUAGCAUUGGCCUGGGUCCAUCACCAAGGCAAUGAUGUUUGCCCCAUACCUGGCACUACCAAGAUUGAGAACCUCAAUCAGAAUAUAGGAGCUUUGUCUGUAAAACUGUCAGCAGAGGAAAUGGCGGAACUUGAAUCUUUGGCUUCUGCGGGAGUCAAGGGUGAUAGGUAUGGGCCUGGCCUUGGUACUUGGCAAACUUCUGAAACUCCACCUUUGUCAACCUGGAAGAGAACAUGAAGACAUACUUUGUUAUGGCAAUAAUUCCUUCUAGCUAUGUGCCUGAUGGUGGAUUCCACUAUAUUAAGAGUUGAGUGAUAUGUAUUUGUUCCAAU